UCUCUGCUAACUAGUACUCUAUAAGGCUUGCCGUCAACAGUCCACAACGUGUACCCUUUUAUGCCCUCUGGAUAUCCCAAAAAAUAUCCCUUAAUGGCCCUUAGUUCAAGCUUAUCUUGUUUUACAUGAGCAUAUGCAGGGCACCCAAAGAUUCUCAUGUUACUCAAAUCUGGUGAUUUCCCUAACCAAAUCUCCUGUGGUGUUUUGAAGACUAGAGCUGAGGAUGGGCAUUUGUUGAUCAAGUAGGUAGCUGUUGUGACUGCCUCAGCCCAAAAAACUUUAGAUAAAUUUGCAUUCAGCAUCAUACAUCUAACCCUUUCUAUUAAGUUUCUGUUCAUUCUCUCUACAAGCCCAUUUUGCUGUGGAGUGUAUGUAACAGUUCUAUGCCUUGUUAUGCCUUUGAUUUGCAGAAUUCUUUAAACUCUCUACUGCCAUAUUCCAGGCCAUUAUCAGUCCUUAGCCUUUUUAUUUUCUUAUCAAUUUGAUUCUCCAUCAGAGUUGUCCACUCCUUAAACUUCUCCAACGCCUCAUUUUUGUGUUUUAACACAUAAAUCCAUACCUUCCUCGAGAAGCCAUCUAUAAAGGACACAAAGUACCCAGCUCCACCUAGAGAUGGAACUUGUGAUGGCCCCUAAAGAUAUGACUGAAUGUAAUCUAAGGUCUGCUUGGUUUUUUGUUUCCCCAUACUAAAUUUCUACCUUCUAGCCUUCCCAAAUACACAUUUCUCACAAAAUUUUAAGGAGGAAAUUUUUUCAUCACCAAACAGGCUCUGAUUGUUUAACCCCCUGAGACCUCUUUCAUUGAUACGAGCUAGUCUCAUGUGCCAGAGUUUAGUUCUAUCUCUGGUCACACUUAUUGAGAUCCCAUGCACAGAUGAGGAUCCAACAAGUAUAUACAUCUCAUUUUUCCUAACCCCUUUCAUAACAACAACACCCUUGUCAAUAACCUGUAUUACUCGAUCUUCAACAUUAAUAGUACACCCUGACUGAUAAACCAUUCCUAGGGAUAUUAAAUUCCUUUUGAGUUCAAGAACAUAUCUCACAUGAUGUAAGUCUCUAGUGACACUAUUAUACAUUUUUAAGCUAAUGAUUCAUAUUCUAGAUACUUUGCAAGCAAAAUUAUUCCUUAGCAGUACCUUCCCACCAUUUACAUUUUCAAAGGUUUUAAAGAACUCUUUAUUCGGGCAUAUGUGGAAAGAACAACCAGAGUCUAAGAUCUACUUACCAGUUGGAUGUUUCUCUGCGGCUACUAAGUCAUCAGUAUAAUCAUAAUCUCCUUCAUCCUCCGAGGCUACUGCAGCCUUCCCAUUUGACUUCUUUUAAAGUUCUUCUAGCUUUUUUCUCAAAAUAAUCUUUAAUGCAGUGCCCUUCCUUCUGGCAGGAAUAACAUUUCCUUUUCUUAUUCUUUUUCUCAGCUUUAUUUUUCUGAUUGUUGUUCUUCUUUUGUUUAUUAUUUUUCUUAUCUGACUUUCCCUUGGCAACCAGGCCUUCAACAUUGCUUUGAUCAUUCCCUUCUGCCAUUUUCUUUAAGUCUUUAGACUCCAGAGCAUUUUUUACAUCUUUUAAUGUGAGAGUUUGUUUUCCAUAGAGAAGGGUGUCAACAAAAUGUUCAUAAGAAUCUAGAAGGGAACUUAGUAAGAUAAGUGCCCUGUCUUCAUUUUCAAGAACUAUGUUUACAUUCUCAAGAUCAAGAAUGAGUUUAUUAAACUCAUCUAGAUGGUUUUUUUAUUACUACCUCAUCUUUCAUUGAGAAUGUAUACAAUUUCCUUUUCAUUUACAACCUCAUUACUAAGGAUUUCUUCAGAUAUAACUCUUCAAGUUUUAACUACAACCCAGAUGCAGACUUUUCUUUUGCCACUUCUCUUAAUACUUAAUUAGAAAGAUGCAAGAUAAUCGUGCUAUGGGCCUUGUUGUUAAUGGCUCUCUGGUCUCCACCAAAACUUGAAAACCCUUCACCCUUUUUUUCUUAGCCAUAGGAUCUUCUUCAUCAUCGAGAGCACUGUCAAGCCCUUACUAAAUCAGAAUUGCUUUCAUCUUUAGACUCCAGAGACAAAAGUCCUUACCUCCAUUAAAUUUUCAACAUCAACCCUAGUGCUUGCCAUUUUAGAAUUUGAUCCCAAACAAAACUAGGCUCUGAUACUAGUUUGUUAUGUUAACUGAGCUAUAUCAAACUCUUUAAGCAAGAAUUACUAACUCACGAACUCAGAAUCAACAAAUGCAAGACAAGACGAGAAGUAAGAAAGACAGAGGAAUCAAGAAUUAUCAAUACACAAAUAAACUAACGUAGUUCAGUUACACAAAGGAACCUACAUCCACGGCUGAAAAUGCCAGCUAGGGCAGAAGCUUUAUUGAACAAGAAUGGCUGAUUACAAUGACACUCCACAAUACAGAUUAAAACCGCUCUAAGCUUAGCAUUUUUUUUCUCUUUGUAAUGCUACAGUAAAGCAUGUCUCUCGAGCUUUAGAAAUAUAUAUUGCUUAUUCUCAGAAAUAACACAUAUAUGGCAUGCAAGAUUGCAGACUAAGUGACACCCUUAUGGCUAAUAGAGACAAAUUUAGUCUUAAUAAGUGUCUUAAGAAUAAUUUUAAAGAGAAAAAUACACAAUAUUCCUUAUACGUUAGUGGUAGAAAGUCUUAUGUAUGCUUAGGCUUUUACAUGACUGGAUAUUACAUACGUGACUUGGAUGUUGGGCAAAUGUUUAAUUAAUUUAGAAGUACACUAUUGGAAAGGUCUUGCCGUACUUGUAGAGACUAAAAGGCUACAUACUCACGUAAGAAAACAAAACACUCUUUUUAUUUGAUAAACUUUUGAAAUAUGUUACAAGGAAAAUUCAUACAAAAGGAAAGAAGAAAAAAAAAAGAUAGAAAUUCUUCAGUUCCCUUUUGGCUACAACUCCUCUCUCAGAAAUCGACUUAAGCUUCUUAAAAUAGCUUCGCCCCUCGCCUCCGCUCAAUUGCCUCCUUUUUAUAGACAACAAAUGCUUUAACUUAAUUUAUUUUAUUAUUUAUUUAUUAUUUUAUUAUUAGUAUAUACAUUAUCAUUGUUUUGAAAUGUGUGAUGGUCAAGUGGCCGUCAUGGCCACUUGACUAUCACGAGGAACUAAUUUAUUUGUUUUAGUUCGUUUGUUUUUUUAAUUAUUUUAUUCAUUUUCAUUUUUUAUUUUUAUUUUAUUUUAUUUACAUCUCCUCAAUAAUGCUUCCAAAUUACUCCAACAGUCCUUAUUUGUUCCCACUUUCAAGUCCAAUUUAUUCCUGAAAAAUAUUUAUAAGAUAAAAAUUAACAUAUAGCGAAUUAAUUUAACAUAAAAAUUUAUUUGUGGAGCAUUCACAUAAUUUAUAAGUUAUGCACGCAUUAAUCAACACUUUAAGUGAAAAACUAAUAAUUUUAUCCUUAUUACACGUACACUUUUUAGUGUUAAUCACACCCCCAACUAGCUUAUUGCUAGGCCUUAGCAAUUUAAGCGAUAAAAAUUUAGAGAAAUUUCAAAACCAAAUUGAAAUUUUUUUUUAAAGAAUUGUGUUUACUUUUUUUUCAUCAGAUUAAUGACAACAAUCAAAUAAAAGUAUUAGCAUUAUCUUCAGCCUAAAGAAAAUCACACCCGCACAAAACAAUUCAAUAAAAUCCUAUAAAUUGAUCAAUUAUCAGGGCUACAUUAAUCAAGCUACUUUUAAGAAUGAUACAUCAAACCCCAAAAUCUCACGAUUAAGAGUGACUUUCUCGAAAGAAGAUAUACCCCAAAUUAAAUUGUCACUCUAAAAAAAUGGUAAAUUUGAGAGGAUAAUAAAAUAAUAUCACACACUCUCACCAAGAUAAAAAAAAAUAAUGCCCACAGUUUAGAAAUUAAAUGAUCUCAAAUCCAAGGAAUUUACUAACAAAAGUUAUUUUUAUUUUUAUGCAUCACCACAUCUUUUAGUCCAUAUCACCAACUUUACUUCAGACUAUAGUUCCAUAAAAUCAAGGACUUUUAUUAGGACGUAACGUAAGUUAGGGUCAUGGAUAACAAAAAAAGUAAUAGGGAAAACAAAAAUAUAUGUUUGAAAAAUAAGGGACUUUUUUUUAGAUUACAAGAUGUUAUUUUUUGCUUGGAUUUUUUAUUUUAUAUUUUAUUUUAUUUAUUCAUAUAUACAUAUCAUCUUUUUUUUUCUUUUUUUUUAUAGCACCAUUAUUAGGAAUACAUAAUCAUCCCUAUUUUCAAACAUAAUUGGGUGAUGGAAAACAUAAAACAUAAGGUGAUACUCCUCAUUAGAGUAGGAAAAUAUGAUAGGUUACCAAAGAAUUUUUUUUUUAUUAAAGGCUCAACGAGGUUAACUAUGGAUUCUUUAUAAUAGGGUUGGGUAGAAAGGCUCAAACGGAUCAAAUAGGGCCUUCUGUCAUCUUUUAGGGCUCUAUAUAAUUUUUCAUAUUCACUAGUUCAAUGGACUUUUAGAUGCGGCUGCACAAACUUUCUUUUUUUCUUUUAAAGAAAAUAUUGAGAUCUUAAUAAAUUGUGAAGUUGUAUAGGCAAAUAUAGUUACUCUCCAAAGAUAAUAGGCUCAAAAACUCGCUUGGUCUUUUUAUGAUAUGUAUAUUCCUCCAAAUGACUUAAUCAAUUUCACUCAUCUAAUUUCUCAAUUUACGUUUCAACAUGCAAAAGGAAAAGUAUAGUGUAACAUAACUCAAGGAUAAAGAUAAUACAAAUACUAAAUUUUGAAAAUCAUCAUGUUAUCCAAUGUUAAAAGAUCACACCGAAAAAGAAAACUCUUUUUUUUUGUUAAAGAAACACUAAAAGAAAUUGAGACUGAUUGCAAAAACUUAAGGGAGAUGAUUAAGAGAAAAAUAGAAAAAAGACAAAAAACAAAAUGUUAGAAGACAUUUGUUUUUGGGAAACAAAACACUAAACUCAAGAAGAUGCGUUUCUAGAGGCACUACAUUUUAUAUUCUGCCAUCUUCGGCUCAAAUUUUUAUUCAAAGUUAGUCUUUACAACAAAAAUUAGUAAAAACAUCACUAGGACUGAGACAUUCCACAAUUAUCAACUAUUCCCUCCCCCCAACCUGAAAGAGACAUUGUCCUCAAUGUCUAAAAAAGAAGUAGAGUUUAAAAGAUAUCACCUGGCCACUGUUGGAAAUAUUUACAAACGAAGAGUUAAAUCUAAUUUACACUUUUUAUGAGAGUUACUGCCAUCGUCCUUAGUUGCCCAAUCCAACGCCAAAGUCACGGGAUCUGGCUCUGGUUUGUAAGCUUGCAAAAGAUCAAGUAACUCAUUAGCAGUAGGAGCACAAAUGAAGAGUUUUUUCGCUGAAGAUGAAAUGAAAUAAUUUUUAAUUGCAUGAUUAAGAAAUGUUAUUGAUAACUCUAUGAAAUGAGAGUUAUUACAUCAAUUCUAGACUUAAAUCAAGAUCACUUAGAGAGCAAAUAAGGCGUUUUUAUUACAUUUUGGUUAUAUUUUGCAUAAACAUUCAUUUUAUUGAGUCUUAAUAAGUUUUCUUGAAUCAAAGUAAUUUGUGCUCAAAACAUGUGCAUAAUUGUAGGUUUUCAGAAGUUCUUAAUUCAUGAAGGGAUGUUGAGACAUUAAACUAGCAAGAGGGGGAAAGAAGAUGGCAGCAAAAGAAGAAAGCACAAUCGGGAACAGUGCAGUGUUGUAGCUGUUGUUAGAGCAACUAGUGCUAUAGUAAUCUAGGAGCACUAAGGGAGAAAACUUAAGCGCGGGUCAGCUGCAGAUUUGCUAUAUGCAUGUUUGUUAAUUUAUCCCAUGCACGACCAUAGACUUUUAUUUACCCUAGUUUGCAAUAUAAAAGGGGGCGCGCACCACAUAAAACGGCGACAAAAGGAAUUAUCAUUAAUACAUUAGAGAAAAAAGGAGAAGAAGAAGAUAAGACUUGAGAGGACGACUUCAGGAGCAUUGAGGAAACCUACAGAGUUAUUUGGAUUUGCUUUUUGCCGUUCUUAACUUAUACUUUUCUUUUUUAUUUGAUCGUUCUGAUGUAUCCCGUGAACAAUAUAUUGAUGUUUGUUUUUCUCAUUCAGAAUAUGAACUAGAUUUUCUUGUAGGUGAGUGACAAACAAUCUAAUGGGUUCUUAACUGUUCUUAUGUGUUGUUAUGUCAUUGCUGUAAUAUUUUACUCUAGUAGUUAUUAUUAAUAUAACUGUUAUUUCGGUUGGCCACCCAUUUAAUAGUUCAAGUUAAGAUAGAGCCGCAAAAGGGCAUGUCUUAGCGGAUAUUAUUAGAGUAUUACUUGAUCUUGUAGGGUGGAGAGACUAAAGGGUUAUAAGGUCAUAUCAUAAGUAGAUUAGCAACUGGUCAUUGCUAAUAUAUUUAAGGGUAUGAGAGUUCCAAUACGCGACAGCUGAGGAUGCAGAUUAAUUCUACCUAAUGCUGCAGCACUUGCCGUAACAACUGGUGUUAACUUGAUGAAAAGUAGUUAGCUCAUAAGGAGUGUUUGAUCAUUCAACUACCAUGGUCUCAAUUGAAUCUUAGACACAUUUAAUUUAGUUUAUUUCAUUACGGUAUUGUUUUAUUUUAUUCUCUCACAAUCAUCAAUUUCGAUAGAACCUACUUUACGUUUAUUAACUUCGGACUUAAGUUAAUUUGCACUAUUAUGAUUGCUAUAGCAUUUCAAGUGACAUCAAUCCCUAUGGAGACGAUCUUGAAUAUUCAUCACUUUAUUACUUGUUGUGUAUACUUGCACAUUAGCAUUAGUAGUAUUUGAUUAUAAAAUUAACCAAUAAGUUUUUGGCACUGUUGUCGGGGAUUGAUUGUUUAUUUUUAAAGUGUGAAGUAAAUCUUGAUAGCGGCAGUUUGAUUUGAUUCAUUCUAUUUAUCGGCAAAUCAAUACUUGCAUGCGCAAAGACGGAUAUGUGGUAUUCCAAUUUGAUCCUGAGAUUUAAAGAACUGUUGGGAGACUGUGAAGAGAGCAAAGGAAUUCAAUAAUUGUUUCAGGUACGAAUAAUUUGCCGAAUGUGGGAAAUUUGGACCCUCACAUGCCUUUACAACUAGUCAACAUUUAAGAAGAGCAGAAUGAACGUGCUAACCAGAGACAACCAGGCCAUAACAACAUUAUUUACAUGGUUGAUGACAGAGACAGAGCUAUUAAAGAUUAUGAUGUGUUAACUCCUUAAGUUGUACACCCUGUGAUAAUCAGACCUGAAGUAGAGGCCGCAAACUUUAAAUUGAAGCCAGUGAUAUUUCAAAUGUUGCAAACAGUAGGCCAAUUCAAUAGAUUGCCAAAUGAAGAUCCUCAUCUCCAUCUCAAGUUGUUCUUGUAACUAAGUGAUGCUUUCAAGAUUUUUGGAGCAACACAAGAUGCCUUAAGAUUGAGGCUUUUUCCUUAUUCCUUAAGAGAUCGAGCAAGAGCAUGGUUAAAUUUGUUACCAUCUGAUUCCAUCACUACAUGGAAUGAGUUGGCUGAUAAAUUCCUAACGAAAUAUUUUUCACUAACAAAAAAUGCAAAAUUGCGGAAUGAGAUUACUUCUUUCUAUCAACUUUAAGAUGAGAGUUUGUAUGAGGCUUGGGAAAGAUUUAAAAAACUGCUCAGAAGGUGUCCUCAUCAUGAAAUUCCUUGUUGCAUUCAAUUGGAAACUUUCUACAAUGGGUUAAAUCUGAGUACAAGAUUAAUAGUGGAUGUUUCAGUAAAUGGAGCUCUGUUAUCCAAAUCUUACACUGAAACUUAUGAAAUUUUGGAGAGAAUUGCCAAUAAUAAUUAUCAGUGGCCAUCAACUAGGCAACCAGUAGCAAGAGGAACAGUAGGGGUACAUAACAUAGAUACAAUUGCAGCAUUAGCAGCGCAAGUGACCUCAUUGACUAACAUGGUAAAGGCCAUGACAUCUGCUCCAGUAGUAGUGAAGCAAGUUGCUGAACUUUCUUGUGUAUACUGUGGUGAAGAACAUGACUUUGAUAAUUUUCUUGGAAAUCCAGCUUCAGUAAACUAUGUGGGUAAUUUCAAUCGACAGCUUCAAAGCAACCCAUAUUUAAAUACUUAUAACUCUGGCUGGAAACAAUACCCAAAUUUUUCAUGGAGCAGUCAGAAUCGAAAUGCUCCAGUAUUAAAUGGACAAAAUAGGAACACUCAACCACUGGUUUUCAUCAGUAGAGUCGAGGGGAAAAACAUAUCAGUCAAGAUCUAAUCACUUCACUGGAAGCACUCAUUAAGGAAUACAUUGCAAAAAAUGAAGCAAUUGUGCAGAGUCAAAUUGUAUCAUUGAGGAAUCUGAAAAACCAAAUGGGACAACUUGCCACAGCAAUGAGUAGCAGGACUCAAGGAAGCUUACCUAGCAACACAGAAGACCCUAGCAGAGAGGGUAAAGAACACUGCAAAGUAAUUAAUUUGAGAUCUGAAAAGGGAUGGAAUUUAAUUCCUCACAAAAACCACCUCAAGAUGGAAGCAUGUCACAAUAACCUAAUCAUCAAGACACUGGUUACAGGGGCCAAGCUACAGUAACUUCAGAAGGAACUCAACCAGUACGUGCUGAAAAAAAGUUGUAACACCAGUUGCCACAACCUACAACAAACCAAACAAGUAGAGUUUGGUACCUCCUGAAGCUACCCAGCAGUUUAGACAUCCACCAUAUUUCCCACAGAGAUUCCAGAAGCAAAAAUAAGACAAACAGUUCAGCAAAUUCCUGGAAGUGCUGAAGCAAUUACACAUCAACAUACCUUUUGUGGAAGCUUUGGAGCAAAUGCCUAAUUAUGUGAAAUUUCUAAAAGACAUCUUGGCACGAAAGAGAAGACUGAGAGAAUUUAAAACGGUUACUUUAACAAAGGAAAGCAGUUAAAUGCUCCAAAGUGAGAUUCCUACAAAAGUGAAGGAUCGAGGAAGUUUUACAAUACCCUACUCUAUAGGAACUAGGUACACUGGCAUAGAACUUUGUGAUUUAGAAGCCAGUAUUAAUCUGAUGCCAUUGUCUGUAUUUAAACAGCUGGAAGUAGAGGAAUGCAGACCAACAACAGUCACUCUGCAAUUAGCUGAUAGAUCUCAUGCAUAUCCUGAAGGAAAAAUUGAGGAUGUACUGGUAAUGGUUGACAAAUUCAUCUUUUCAGUAGACUUCAUUGUACUAGACUUUGAAGCUGAUAAAGAGGUACCCAUUAUACUUGGAAGACCUUUCCUAGCAACUGGGAAGACUCUGAUAGAUGUGCAAAAAGGAGAGCUCACCAUGAGAGUAAAUGAUCAGUAAAUCACAUUUAAUGUACUAGAGGCUAUGAAGAACCAAGAUGAAUUAAAAGAUUGCAAUUUCCUAAGUGUUGUGGAUUUUGUUGUAGCAGACAGAAUCGAUAGAUGCUGCAGUAAUGAGAUCAACAAAGUUACUACCUUUGAAGGUUUAGAAGAGGAAGAUGUUGCAGUGAACUCGAUAGAUUGGAUGGAAGAAAAGCAAUCUGAUAGGCAUAACAAGUUUAUUGAGCAUCUGAAUCUUUAAAAACAAGUUUACAUCUAUUAAAUCAUCUCCUAGUCUUGAAUUAAAAUUGUUACCUUCACAUUUGAAAUAUGUUUAUCUUGGUCAAAAUAACACACUCUCUGUAAUCAUUUCCUCUACCUUGAAUGCGGUUCAAGAACAGAGUCCAGUAGAUAUACUUGGAAGAUACAGAAAAGCAAUUGGAUGGACCAUGGCAGACAUCAAGGGGAUAAGCCCAUCAAUAUUCAUGCAUAAAAUUAUGUUAGAAGAUUGCUACAACAAUUCAGUGGAGCAUCAGAGAAGGUUAAACCAUAUUAUGAAAGAAGUGGUGAAAAAGGAAAUCAUCAAAUGGUUGGAUGCUAGAAUCAUAUAUCCAAUAUCAGACAGUUCGUGGGUGAGCCUAGUUCAAUGUAUUCCAAAUAAGGGAGGGAGGACAGUGAUAACUAAUGAGAGGGAGUGUUCAAUAAACCAGGAGAAAUUUUGUAGUGAGCGUAGAGUUUUACCCUCAUAUGUCAUAUCGGUCGUUGAUGCAAGACAGUUACUAAGAAAAGGUUGCUCGACUUAUCUUGCACAUGUAUAGACACUGAAGCUCGGGAGUUGAGAUUGGAGGAUAUUCCAGUAGUCAAGGAGUUUCCAGAUGUAUUUCCAGAUGAACUUCUUUGGUUGCCACCUAAUAGAGAGAUUGAGUUUUCUAUUGAUUUAGUCCCUGGAACAGCUCCUAUAUCUAUAACGCCAUAUAGGAUGGCUCCAGCUGAACUAGAGGAACUUAAGAUUCAAUUGCAAGAAUUGGUAAAUAAAGGGUUUAUUAAACCUAGUGUAUCUCCAUGGGGAGCUCCGGUUUUGUUUGUUAAGAAAAAGGAUGGUUAUUGUGCAAAUUUUAUUGAACUCGCAAGUGCACGAAUCUAUUGUAGAAUAGAUUAAUAGAGACGAGUGUCGAUCCCACGAGGAGGUGGAUUUUAAUUAUAUGUAGAAUUAAUUUUGUAUGAGGGUGGUUGGAUUUAUGGUGAAAGUAACUUAGAUUAUUCUAAAAUUGGAAUUGAAACGGAGAGAAUAAAUUGAAGAGAAUUCUAUUGAAAUGACGUACUUGGGUAUCUGGAUCCGUAUCAACAUGCACCAUGGGCUAAAUAUUCCUUAUUAAUGCCAAUUAAAUCAUGAGGGGGGAAUCCACACCUCAUGAACCACACUCUAAUCAAUAUGGUGCUAAAGACUUAUCGUGCCAAAUAAUAACAAUCUUGUACUAGAGGGCCAGUGAAACCAAAGUGGUACUAGACAAGAUUAGUAUUAUUUGUUGAUGUGAAGUCAAAACAUCCACAAAAACUAGAGGGGAAGAUAAAAUAAAUUUACCAAAUAAAGCCCAUGACACAUGUUGAGACUUCACCUUCAACCCAAACUUGAAAGAAAAUUAGCUACUCAUAAUUGAACUAGGGGCAAAAUAGAAAUUUAUUAAAAUACGAAGAAAAUACAAGAUGGAAAAGGAAUUACAGAAAAUGGAUUCUAAAAAUGGAUUCAGAGAUAUCCAAUUAGGGGGGGGGAGGCCCCCUUUUUAUAGAUACAUGGAGUAAAUCAUGGCCAUCGGAUUAAAAAUAGUUUGGAGGCUCAGGAUUGUGCCACGUCAUCAGUCAACAGUACGCAGUUUGACCACGCAGAUGAACAGUAACACGGUUUGACCCGGGUUGAACAGUAACGCGGUUUGGUUGAAAAUAAUCCUGUGUGAUGCAUGUACCGUACGUGAGAUUUUUGGUCCACUGAUAUGCUGCCACGUUACCAUCAACAGUACAUAAGAAUUUUAGUCCAACAGGAUCGUGACACCUCAUCAGUCAAUCCCACAUCAUCGAUUCGUCUAUGUGAACAGUGUCGUGAACAGUAACAUUGACAGUACCGUACACGUGAAUAGUACUGUACAUGUGAACAGUAUCAUUUUUCCUUUUAUACUUCUCCUAAGGUUUUCGACCGUCUUGAGUUCAAAAGUGAUGUCCGUUUUGCCGUCUGAUCUCUCGUUUAUUGUGAAAUGACCAUGAUGCCCCUAAAAUACAUAAAAUACUUAAUUAAAAUAAAACACACAUAAUUAAAUUACAAGAAGCUUAAAUACAUAAAACUAAGGGUUGUUAGUAAGACUUGAAAUGUAAAAUGACGAUUUUCUCCUUUAUAAAUAUGCAUUUUCUAACACUCAACAAUGGUACUCUUAGACUCUGCAUUGACUAUAGGAACAUCACACCCACAUCAACCAUCCACAUGAAUCAGCCUAGUAGACUUUGUCAUAGCUACCUUCAAGAAUGACAUGUCAAACCCCAAAAUCUCACUGGAAGUAGUGACACUCUCACAAAGAAAUUAAACCCAAUAAAAAUAGUCACUCCAAUGAAUGGUAAUUGAGAGAAAAUAAUAAAGAAAUGAUAUCACAUUAUUGCGGACCGCCCAAUUCGCUAGCCCAAUUGCCCAUAAUUUUGGGCUAGAGAGCCAAUACAAGGCCAAGAGUGCUAACUUGGCCCAAUUCCGGAAAGUUCUAGGCAACUCUAGCACAUUGAGCUUGUAAAUACUCUAGAAUUCUCCUUACAAUUCCAGCACAUGUAAAUAGCUAGGAAGUGGUAGAAUUCUCUAGAAUCUCUAGAGCUUGGCAAGCCUCCCCUAUAAAUAUGGGAUGGCAUUAGGCAUUUGUAUCCAACAAACACAACAACAAGCUUUGUAAGCAACUCAAACAUUGUAAUCUCUCUUUGUGCAAUACAAGCUUUCUCAUUCGGCUCCAUUGCUCUCUUCUCUAGUUCGAGAAGCUCUAGGUUUACUUAGCAACAUUCAACAAAGUUGUCUAAGUGCCGCACGGGUUAGCUGCGUAAAAUACUCAUCCUGUGACAAGUGGUAUCAGAGCUAAGGUUUGCACGCACGCAAGUUAGCUCACGAAGCAAUGGCCAACCCUUCGAACAUAGCACAAGAGGGUGUUGUUGGUGUGGAUGUCCACUGGAACCAAGCCGCGGUCGUGAGGGAGAACGCGCCCAAGGCAAGACUCGUGGUAAGUCCAAGGCCCCAUCCGUGGAUGAGUUGGAGCCUCGUGUGACUACUCUCGAAAUCACAUUGUCCGCCGCUCAAGAAAGCCUCAAGGGAUUGGAGGAACGAGUGGACGGUCUCGAGGGAGAAUAUGCCGAGUUCACGGUGGCAACCAAAGCUCUCAUCCAAGAACAAGCGAACACUCUCCGAGGUGAGUUUCGCUCUUUUCAUGAUGAGUUACUAAAACUUUGUAGUUUUGUUCAGAACGAACUACGCGUUGUCCGUGCGGAAGUGGAUGAAGUCCGCUCGGAUUGGGCAUGGCACAAGCGCACACUCUCCGCUAGUCCAGCUUCCGCAAACUCGAGUGAUGCGCACUGCAUUGACGUGCCGAAUCCCGACACCUACGAUGGCACACGCAAUGCCACAAUCGUGGACAGUUUCCUCUUUAGGCUUGAUCAAUACUUCGAUGCCAUGGGUGUCCGAGACGAGGCAUUGAAAGUGGGCACUGCACCCACCUAUCUUAGAGGCGCUGCACAACUAUGGUGGUGUCGCAAGCAUGGAGAGAUGGGCAAGGGCAUUUGCACCAUCAACACUUGGGCCGACUUUAAGUAAGAACUCCGAAAGCAGUUCGCCCCAAGCAAUGCGGAGAAGGAAGCGCGAGCGCGCUUACGUCGCCUCAAGCAAUCGGGUAGCAUUCGGGACUGCAUCAACGAGUUCACUACCCUUAUGUUAGAGAUAAGCAACAUGUCCGACAAGGAUUCACUCUUCUACUUCCAACAUGGCCUCAAGGAUUGGGCCAAGACCGAGCUUGAUAGGCGUGGUGUUCAAAUACUUGACGACGCCAUCGCCAUUGCGGAAUCGCUCACCGAAUACUCUACCCAAUCCAAGGACAAAAAGGCCAACCAAGGCAAAGGUGGGGGAGAGAGUCGCAAGGACAAGGGCAACAACCGCAAAGAUUGGGGGCAGAAAAAGCCGCCUAGCAACAAGAGCGGGCAAGGAAAAUCGGAGGGCAAGAAGGAGGCGCCAAAGCCGCGAAGCCCAUGCUUCAUAUGCAACGGUCCUCAUUGGGUACGCGACUGUCCGGAGAAAAGGUCGGUUAACGCUCUUGCUGCCCAACUCAAGAGCAACCCCACAAUGUCCACGGAGGAACCCCAACUCAGCAUGGGUUCUCUCCAACACCUUGGCGCACUCAAUCGCCAACAGCCCGCACUCGUCAAGAAAGGGCUCAUGUAUGUAAGCGCAAAGGUAAACGGUCAGUCCGUUCGCGCACUGCUAGACAUGGGAGCAACACACAAUUUCGUGUCCGUAGACGAGGCCAAGCGCUUAGGCCUCAAGGCCACCAAGGAAGGAGGUACAAUGAAGGCAGUAAACUCACCCGCCAAGCCAAUUGCGGGAAUUGCACAAGGCGUGCACAUCAUACUCGGUACGUGGAGCGGAAAGCUUGAUUUCUCCAUUGUGCCCAUGGACGACUUCAAGAUGGUCAUCGGUAUGGAAUUCUUCGACCAAGUCCAUGCCUUCCCGCUGCCCGCUACAAACUCCCUAAGCAUCCUCGACGGGAGUAAGGCAUGCAUGGUUCCCACGGAAUGAGGCAAGUUCGAGGAGAAGACACUCUCCGCCAUGCAAUUCAAGAGGGCUUUCAAGAAGGACCCAAGCUUCUUGGUCUCCAUUUGGGAACUAAACGAUGAAGGAAAUAGCAGAACGUUGCCAAGCCAAGUCCCUCCGCGAAUUCAAGCCGUCCUCAAUGAAUACAAGGACGUGAUGCCUCCGGAACUUCUGAAAAAGCUCCCACCUCGGCGAGAGAUAGAUCAUGUAAUCGAGCUGGAACAAGGCGCGAAGCCACCAGCCUUGGCGCCCUACCGCAUGGCGCCACCCGAAUUAGAGGAGUUGCAGAGACAACUCAAAGACUUGCUGGACACAGGCUACAUUCGCCCCUCAAAGGCCCCAUUCGAUGCACCAGUGCUCUUCCAAAAGAAAAAGGAUAGAUCGUUGCGGAUGUGCGUCGACUAUAGAGCGCUCAACAAGAUCACCAUCAAGAACAAGUAUCUGAUUCCAUUGAUUGCGGACUUGUUCGACCAGCUUGGCAAAGCGCAGUACUUCACCAAACUUGACUUGCUCCAGGUACUACCAAGUGCGUAUCGCCAAGGGAGACGAACCGAAGAUAGCGUGCACAACAAGGCACGGGUCUUUCGAAUUCCUUGUGAUGCCUUUUAGCCUUACCAAUGCACCUACCACAUUUUGCAUGCUCAUGAACAAGGUGCUCCAACCAUUCCUCGACCGCUUCGUGGUCAUGUACCUGGAUGACAUAGUGGUGUAUAGCACCACGCUCGAGAAUCAUGCCCAACACUUGCGACAAGUCCUCCAAGUACUCCGAGACAACGAGCUCUUCCUCAAGUUAGGGAAAUGCUCGUUUGCACAACAAGAAGUGGAGUUCCUUGGCCAUAAGAUUGCGGGCGGGAAGAUUGUGGUGGAGAACGCCAAAGUAAAGGCCAUCCUCGAUUGGGAGGCUCCUUCGAAAGUGCCCAAGCUUCGCUCAUUCCUUGGGCUGGUGAAUUACUACCGCUUCAUCAAGGGCUAUUCGGCCAAGGCGGAACCCUUGACGUAUAUGCUCAAGAAAAACAUAACGUGGCAUUGGACCAAAGAGUGCCAACGCGCAUUCGAGGAGUUGAAAAGAGCAAUUUCGGAGGAACUUGUCCUUGCUCUUCCGGACCACACAAAGCCCUUCUAAGUCCAAACGGAUGCCUCGGAUUUCGCCAUAGGAGGAGACCUCAUGCAAGAAGGCCACCCUAUAGCGUUCGAGAGUCGAAAGUUAAACGAUACGGAACGCUGCUACACGGUACAAGAGAAAGAAAUGAUAGCCAUCAUCCAUUGUCUAAGAGUGUGGCGACAUUAUUUACUUGGCUCUCACUUCACGAUUAUGACGAAAAAUGUCGCGACAAGCUACUUCCAAACGCAAAAGAAGUUGAGUCCGAAGCAAGCACGGUGGCAAGAUUUUCUAGCAGAAUUCGACUAUCGGCUUAAGUACAAACCAGGAAAAGCCAAUGUCAUUGCGGACGCUCUAAGCCACAAGGCAGAAUUGGCGAAACUGAGCAUGAGCCAACUGAAGUCCGACCUUGUCUCACGCAUCAAGGAAGGCCUCCAACAAGAUCCACUUGCGAAGGAUUUGCUGGAGAAGGUGCUCGAGGGAAAGACAAGGUGAUUUUGGCAAGAGGAAGGCAUCCUCCUCACCAAAGGAGAUCGGCUGUUCGUGCCAAGGUGGGGAAACUUGCGAAAGGAAGUAAUCAAGGAGUGCCACGACUCUAAGUGGGCUGGUCACCCAGGAAUCGAGCGUACCACCGCCCUAGUUCAAGCCUUGUAUUUUUGGCCGCACAUGAGGGACGAUAUCGAGGCAUAUGUGCGAACUUGUCUUGUGUGCCAACAAGACAAGGUGGAUCAUCAACUCCCAGCGGGAUUGCUGGAACCGCUACCACUAGCAACAAGACCAUGGGAAAGUGCCUCCAUAGACUUCAUCACAUCGUUGCCCAAGUCCGAAGGUUGCGGAAGCAUCAUGGUCGUUGUCGACUGAUACAGCAAGUACGCCACAUUCAUUGCCGCACUAAUCGAUUGCAAAGCGGAUGAGGCAGCCCGCCUAUUCGUCAAGCACAUUGUGAAGCUUUGGGGAGUUCCAAGGAGCAUUGUGAGCGAUCGAGACCCUCGGUUCACUGGGCGUUUUUGGACUGAACUCUUCAAGAUGUUGGGGAUAGAUCUCAAGUUCUCGACAAGCUUCCACCCAUAAACGGAUGGGCAGACCGAGCGCAUUAAUGGCCUCCUCGAGAUGUACUUGAGGCAUUAUGUGAGCACUCACUAGCGGGAUUGGGCGAAGCUACUCGACAUCGCCCAAUUUUCUUAUAACUUGCAGCGAAGCGAGGCUACGAGCAAGAGUCCGUUCGAGAUCAUCAUGGGAUUCCAGCCCAUGACCCCCAAUACCAUAGCCUCGACUUACGGAGGGAAAAGCCCCGCGGCACACAAGCUCGCCCGCGAAUGGCAUGAGGAAACGGACAUCACGCGAGCCUACCUCGACAAAGCCGCGAGGAAAAUGAAGAAAUGGGUGGAUACAAGGAGACGACAUGUUGAGUACAAGGAAGGUGAUCAAGUCAUGAUCAACCACCUACCCCAACAAUUCAAGACUUUGCGAAAAGUUCACAAGGGGUUAGUGAGGCGGUACGAGGGACCCUUCCGAGUUGUUCGACGUGUGGGCAACGUCUCGUAUCAACUCCAACUUCCACCAAGACUCAAGAUCCAUCCGGUCUUCCAUGUGAGUCUUCUCAAGCCAUAUCACGAAGACAUGGGAGAACCAAGUCGCGGAGAAUCGAGGCAUGCGCCAACCGCCGUUGUCACAUUCGACAAAGAUGUGGACUACAUCAUUGCGGACCGGGUGGCUUCGAGGAGGGGCGUGCCAGCACAUAGUGAGUACUUGGUGAAGUGGAAAAACCUCCCCGAGAGCGAAGCCACUUGGGAACGUGAAGAUGAUUUGUGGCAAUUCGCUGAGCACAUCCAACGCUUCAAGUACGAGAGCGCGAUGAGGACGCCGCGAGCUUAGGUGAGGGAGGAUGUUGCGGAUCGCCCAAUUCGUUAGCCCAAUUGCCCAUAAUUUCGGGCUAGAGAGCCAACACAAGGCCAAGAGUGCUAGCUUGGCCCAAUUCCGGAAAGUUCUAGGCAACUCUAGCACAUUGAGCUUGUAAAUACUCUAGAAUUCUCCUUACAAUUCCAGCACAUGUAAAUAGCUAGGAAGUGGUAGAAUUCUCUAGAAUCUCUAGAGCUUGGCAAGCCUCCCCUAUAAAUAUGGGAUGGCAUUAGGCAUUUGUAUCCAACAAACACAACAACAAGCUUUGUAAGCAACUCAAACAUUGUAAUCUCUCUUUUUGCAAUACAAGCUUUCUCAUUCGGUUCCAUUGCUCUCUACUCUAGUUCGAGAAGCUCUAGGCUUACUUAGCAACAUUCGGCAAAGCUGCACAAAAUACUCAUCCCGUGACAACAUGCUCUCACCAAGAUGAAAGAAAUAUGCCCUCAGCUUAGAAAUAAUAUGAUCUCAAGUCAAACAAAAAUGCUAGUCAACCCACUUUAUUUAUCUUUUUUUUUCUUUUUCUUCUUUUUUUCUUUCUUCUUCUUCUUUUCUUUUUUUUUAUUAUGCAUCACUACAUCUUUUUAGCCGAUAUAACUAGCUUCUACUUCAGACUAUAGUUCUCUAAAAUCAAGAAGGACUUUUAUUAGAACAUAACGUAGGUUAAGGACAUGGCUAACAAAGAAGGGAAAUAAGGAAAACAAAGUGUAUGUUUGAGAACAAAUGCAGAGGAUUUUUUUUUCUUGGAAGUUGCAAGGUGGAUUUCACCUAUUAUUGUUAUUAUUUUUUUUUUGAAGCAACAAUUUUUUUUUUUUUUGCUUUUGUUGGGCAUAACUUCACUAUACAAAAUAUUUAUUUACAUUUUUCUCAAACAUAAAUAGGUGAUGGAACUUGGAAGAUAUUGGAUAAUACUCCAAAUCGGAGUGGGUCAAGAUGAUAAGUUUGACAAAGAAAAGUUAUAUAUAUAUAUAUAUAUAUAUUUUAAAGGCUUAAAAGGGUUAACUAUGGAUAUUUGAUAAAACGGAUGGCUAGAAAGGCUCAAACGGAUCAAAGAUGGCCUUUCCAUCGUCUUUUAGGGCUCUAAAUAAUCUUCCAUAUCUACUAGUUAGAUGAGCCUCCAUAUGUAGCAACACACAUUUUUUUUUUAAUUUUACAAUUUUUUUUAAGGGUUAACUCAAAAGAAAUCUAGAGAUCGUGUAUACAAUAAUAAACUGUUAAGUUGUAUAAAGAAUGAGCAAAAGGGUUACUCUCCAAGAAAAAUGAUAGGCUCAAAAACUCACUUGGUACUUAUUAUGACAUGUUCAUUCCUUCAAGCAACUCAUAUUUGUCCCCGACAUCAACAUGUAGAGUAGCAAACAUAGUGUAACAUCACUUAAGACCAAAGAUAAUACAAAUACUAAAAUUUGAAAUUAAUCAUGUCAUCCAAUGUUAAAACAAAUCACACAAUUUUUUUUCCAAACAACAUCCUACCACCCAACCUAUUCUAAACGUGAAAGGAAAAUAUGUAUGCAGAAAUGUGAAAAUGAUGCAGAAAAAUUAAUUAGAAAAGUUACAUUUAAAAUGAUAGAAAAAGAAAUGUUUUUUUUUUGACUAAGAAGAUGCGUUUCUAGAGGCACUAAAGAAAAAUAUAUAUUUAUAAAGGAGAAAUUAAAAAGAAGAAGAAAAAUGAACAUCAAAACUUAAUAAAGAAAAAGAAAAUGUUUGAAUUUUUUUUUUGGAAUUUUUUUUGAAUUUUUUUUUCAAACGAUGAAGAUGCGUUUCUAGAGUCACUACACUCUAUAUUCAGCCAUCUUCAACACAAAAAGUUAACAACAGUUAGUUUCAACAACAAAAAAAUCAAUAAAAUCUUAACCAAGAUUCCACAAUUAUCAACUAUUCCCUCCCCCCAACCAGAACGAAAUAUUGUCCUCAAUGUUUUAAAGCAAAGAAGUAGAGUUUAGAAGACAUCACCUGGGUGGUGCAACAAAGAAGAAAAUAUUUACAAGCGGAGAGUUAAAUCUAAUUUGUACUUCUUACUGCGGCUACUGUUACCAUCAUUAUUAGGAUGCUCUAACACAAAUGUCCAGGGGUCUAGCUCCGGUCUAUAAGCUUGUAACAGAUCAAGUAGCUCAUUAGUAGUGUGAGCACAAAUAAAAAGUUUUUUGGCAUUGGAAGGAACGAAAUAAUUUUUUAUUGCAUGGUUAAGAAAUGCAAUAAAGCCAUCAUAAAAAUUAUUGACAUUUAACAAACCGAUGGAUUUCUGGUGAAUGUGCAGAUGGGCCCAAGAUGCUAGUGUGAUAAGUGCCUCUAGUGUUGCAAGAUCUCCUGGAAGGAAAAUAAAAGCAUCAGCAUGAUUAAGCAUUUCAGUUAUUCUUUCUUGCAUACCUGAGAUGACUAACUCUUCCCCAGUCGAUGAGUCAGACAAACUGCUCAAAGGUUUUAGGACUCUUGGGAUGAUGCCUAACACUUGGCUUCCUCUGACAAAAGCUGCUUCUGAGACAAUUUUUGAUAACCCUCGAUUACCUCCUCCAUACACCAAGUGUAAUUUUCUCGCUGCUAUGCUUCGACCAAGAUUUAUGGCUGCCUCAACGAACGCUUUAUGUUUGCCAUAGUUAAAUCCAGAAAGCACACAAAUGUUCUUGAAUUGUCUAUUGGGAGUAGCUGCCAUUGGAAUACUUCUCAAAAACAAUUUGUGAGUGCUUGAUAAAAAAAAUCACAUUUAAGAGUCUUGGUGACAGUGGGUCACAGUUGUGUAUGAGGUAACAUGUCAGUGUCAAAUAACGUGUAAAGCACAUGGCUCGCGAGUAAAAAAGGAAAUAGUAAAAAGGAAAAAGGAAACAGUAAUAAAAUUAUUAAAGACAAUAAUGCAAACAAUAAAACAAUAGUGAAAUAAAAUAACAGUAAAUUGAAAGGAUAUUUACAGGUAGUUGCGACUGUGGCUUAUAUCUUCCUCUAGUUUUACAUCCAGAAACGACUUGAAUUCUCUCUAUGGGUCGAGGAUAGGCUUCCCAUCCAAUUUUCUUAUAAACUGGCAAAUAGGGUUGUUUAUAGUCAGAUUCCUGAGACUAUAUUGUGCAUGCUCUUUCUGGAAUAAUGGCCAUAACUGGAGAAUCGCUCCUUGCACAUAUCCACUGGGAUGCGUUUCAAGAGACAGAAGGAUAUCAUCCAAUGACUCCUUAUUCAAGCCAUCCCUAAUGAAUUGAAUCUUAUCUUCCCUGUUAUCAGACAACAUACCUAAAGAACAUGGUUUUUUAUCGCAUCUCAUUUUGGCACACUUAUGACAAGCAACAGAAAUUCUUCGAGCUCGUCAUUUUCUUGCAUAAUUUCUUUUACCACAACCAGGCAUGUAUGCAAUAAAUUUUGGAGGUAACUCACCUGCCGAUCGUACUUUAGCCUCGAUUAACCAACGAAUGUCAGCAGGUAUGUUAUUCUUCAUGAGCAAUCGCAUGCAUUCGGACCGAGCUUUAUAGAUCGUAAGGAGGGCAUUAUGAGGAAGUGAAGGGAAUCGCUUGUGAAGCUUUGCUAGAGUCUCGUUUCUGUCCAUACCUUCGCCUCAAAAUAUCAGUUAUUAUGGGAAACUGAAGUAACCGACUUGAUUGUCACGGAGUACCGUCAUCCGCUACUUCACCGGGGUAACAAACUAAAGCACACAAACAGAAAAACAAAUUAAAACACACAAAGAAAAUAAAAUCAUCCUCUUAUUGAAUUUACCUCAAGCUCCAACUGGAUGUCGUAAACACUUCUCUCAAUAUCUCUGAGUUGGCUUUCUAAACCCUCAACAUAGGCUACUAACUCUGGUGGCUGUAGAGCCCAAAUGCAAUGUGUUUUACAAAAUUGAAUCUGCCUUUUGAGAUGAGUUUUGACACGUUGAAGUUGUUUAAGAAUGUUCAGGAGGAACGGUCUAAGUAAGGUACUCAUGAUUAAAAAUGAUAAGAGAAAACUUAAUAGUUAAACAAACACACUUAUGCAAAAAUAAUUUCAAUUAGCAAAAGAAUAAUAAAAAGAAAGAAAGAAAAAUCAAAUCAAUGAAAAGAAAAAAAAAUCAAUUCAAAUAUGGUGGGUCACUCAAAUUUAUUUCGGUGUUUUCUCCAUGUGGUUGGUACUCUAGAUAUGGCUUUAAUCUUUGACCAUUAACUUUAAACGUGACACCGUUCUUUGGGUCCUUAAUUUCAAUUGCCCUAUGUGGAAAAACAAUAUGAACAAUAAAGGGGCCAGACCAUCGAGAGCGUAACUUACCUGGGAAUAGGUGCAAGCGAGAAUUGAAUAAAAGCACUUUCUGACCUGGAGUGAAAGAUUUUCUCAUAAUUUGCUUGUUAUGAAAGACUUUCAUUCGUUCCUUGUAAAUCUUGGCAUUUUCGUAUGCAUCAUUGCCAAUUUCUUCAAGUUCUGCCAGUUGUAAUCUUCUUUCUAAGCUGGCUUGCUGCAUGUUAAAGUUGAAUUUCUUGAUGGCCCAAUACGCACGAUGCUUGAGUUCCACAAGUAGGUGGCGAGCUUUUCCAUACACUAUCCUAUAUGGUGACAUCCCAAUCGGGGUCUUGAAAGCCGUUCUAUAUGCCCAUAAUGCAUCAUCAAGUCUUAAUGACCAAUCUUUUCUGUCCGGCCUCACCGUCUUUUCUAAUUUAUGCUUUAUUUCUCGAUUGGAGAUCUCAACUUGGCCACUGGUUUGCGGAUGAUAUGGGGUUGCCACUUUGUGAGUGAUUGAAUACUUUGUCAAAAGAGCUUUAAAUGCUUUGUUACAAAAGUGGGCACCACCAUCACUGAUUAUUGCUUGAGGGAAUCUAAAGUGUGAAAUAAUGCUCGAGAUCAUUGGUUCUACAUGGAAUUGCUUCUACCCAUUUCGAUACAUAGUCAACAGUAACCAAUAUGUAUUGAUGGCCAAAAGAAGGGGGAAAGGGACCCAUGAAGUCGAUACCCCACAUAUCAAAAAUCUCAACCACUAAAAUUAGAUUUAGUGACAUCAUGUUCCUUCGUGUAAUGCUCCCCAUUCGUUGACACCUAUCACAUGAAGAACAUAAAGUGUAAGCAUCUCAAAAUAUAGUUGGCCAAUAAAAACCACAUUGUAAAAUUUUCGUUGCUACUUUCUUAGCACUGAAAUGGCCUCCAGAAGCUUGUUCAUGGCAGAAUGAAAAGAUAUUUUGAAUUUCAGUUUCUGGGACACAUCGCCUAAUAAUUUGAUCUGCACAAUACUUGAACAGAUAAGGGUCAUCCCAAAAGAAAUUCUUUAUUUCUGCAAAGAAUUUAGCCUUGUCUUGCUUGGUCCAAUACUCUGGAAGUUGACCUGUAACAAGAUAAUUCACAAUGUCAGCAUACCAUGGUAAUACUUCCACACUCAUCAAUUGUUCAUCUGGGAAUGACUCAUUCAAUGUUAAUGAUUCUGUAAUUGUGUCAAAAUGGAGACGAGAGAGAUGGUCCGCCACAACAUUUUCUGUGCCUUUCUUAUCUUUGAAUUCCAAGUCAAAUUCCUGCAAAAGUAACACCCAACGAAUUAGUCUAGCUUUUGCAUCUUUCUUUGUGAAAAGAUAUUUAAGAGCAGCACGAUCUGUGAACACAAUUAUUUUACAACCAAUGAGAUAAGACCAAAAUUUCUCUAAUGCAAACACUACUGCUAGCAUUUCUUUUUCAGUAGUUGAAUAGUUUAACUGUGCAUCAUUCAAUGUCAUACUAGCAUAGUAAAUAACAUGGGGAAUUCGAUCAACUUCUUGUCCUAAUACUGCUUUUACUGCAUAAUCAGAUGCGUCACACAUGAGUUCAAAUGGUAAGCUCCAGUUUGGGGCCUGAAUGAUGGGUGAUGAUGUCAACAACUGCUUUAAUUUUUCAAACGCCACAAGACAUGAAUCAUUAAAGAUAAAAGGUACAUCCUUAGCAAGUAAAUUGCAUAAGGGUCUAGAAAUUUUGCUAAAAUCUUUAAUGAAACGUCUAUAGAAACUAGCAUGCCCAAGGAAAGAUCUUACUUCUCUGACUGUUUUGGGUGGAGGAAGAUUAGAAAUGAGAUCCACCUUGGCUUUGUCAACCUCAAUACCUUUGCUCGAAAUGAUGUGACCGAGAACAAUACCUUGUUUUACCAUAAAAUGACACUUCUCCCAAUUUAAGACUAAGUUCUUCUCGAUACAUCUCUGCAGAACUAGUGUUAGAUGAUGUAAACAUUGAUCAAACGAGUCACCAAAGACAAAAAAGUCAUCCAUAAAGACUUCAAGGAAUCGUUCAACCAUAUCAGAAAAAAUGCUCAACAUGCAUCGUUGAAAUGUAGCAGGUGCAUUACAUAAUUCAAAUGGCAUUCUCCUAUAUGUAAAUGUGCCAAAAGGGCAAGUGAAAGUAGUUUUCUCUUGAUCUUUUGCUGCUAUGGGAAUCUGAUUAUUUCCUGAGUAGCCAUCUAAAAAGCAAUAAAAUUCAUGGCCUACUAAUCUAUCAAGCAUUUGAUCAAUAAAUGGUAAAGGAAAAUGGUUUUUACGUGUGACAGAAUUCAACUUUCUAUAAUCAAUGCAUACACGCCAUCCUGUAGUCACUCUAGUGCUCUUUCAAAACAUCCAACAACUUACCUUUUUGUUUGUCGUUUAGGGAUGAUGAAAUGAUUACCGGCACAAUACUUUCUUUUCCCAAAAACGCAUACUCCAGAGUGUUGGGCAAUGAUUUGAGCUCGAGUUUCGGUGGUGAUGGGAUGAGUUUCUUCUCUGAUUGUGCUAGUUGUUCAACUCUUGACUUCCAUUUAUUAGUGUCCAUGGAUGGUGCUGAGUCAAGCAGGGCGUUGACCUCAUCAACUGAUCUGUCAAUAUCAAAAUCCAAACCAAAGUGAGUUAAAUAUGUUUGUAAAGGAUCAUCACUAAGGUUUGAAACAAAAGUAUCAUCAACUAGUGCUUCUAUUAAAUCUACAUCAAUAAUUCCAAAAUUUGCACUAUGAGGUUGUUUGGCAAUGUUGAAGAUGUUUAGCUUCAUAGUCAUAUUGCCGAAGGACAACUGCAUAUUUCCAGUCCUGCAUUGAAUGUGAGCAUCCGUAGUUGCCAAGAAAGGUCGGCCUAGAAUAAUGGGGAUGUGCUUCCUUGAAUCCUGUAUUGGUUGAGUGUCAAUUAUAAUGAAAUCAACAGGAAAAUAAAACUUGUCUACCUGGAUAAGCACAUCCUCCACAAUACCACAAGGUAUUUUCGUGGACCGAUCUGCAAGUUGUAACACCACUGGAGUUGGGUGUAAUUCUCACAGUCCAAGUUUCACAAAUACCGAAUAAGGCAACAGAUUUACACUAGCUCCUAAAUCUAACAAAGCAUUCUCAAUUGUGUGGUUCCCUAUACUACAUGAGAUAGUGGGGGAGCCUAGGUCUUUGCAUUUUUUGUUGGAGUAUAGAACUAACGUUUUCUGUUAAAAAUGCCUUCUUUUGAACAUGCAUAUUUCUCUUUUUAGUACAAAGGUCUUUAAGAAACUUGCCAUAAGAUGGAACUUGUUUAAUAGCAUCAAGUAAAGGGAUGUUAACACUUACCUGUUUGAAGAUUUCAAGAAUCUCGCCUGUGGAUUUUCCCUUUUUUCCUUUAGCUAACCUCUGAGGAAAUGGAGCUUUCGGAACAUAUUCUCGUGGGUUGGUUUCUUUUUUCUCCUCCGGUGAUGAUUCCUCAACAUUCACAGGUACAAUUUGAUUUUCUUUUGUCAUCGGCAUCUCCACUUUGUUGUCGACUUCGUUUCCUUUUCACAAGGUCAUGACUGUUUUGACCUCUCCAUGCUGCUGUGGUGAACUUGUACUUGCUUCAUGUACUCCUUUAGGUUUAGGCACUGGUUGACUCAAAAAUUUACCUUUCUCAACAAUCAUUGCCAAGGUCUGAACUGAAGAAGCAAGUUGUCUCACCGUCUUCUCGAGGCUUGAAACUGAUUGGUUUUGUGAAUUGAAGCCUGCUCUCAACUCAUUUCGUAGUCUAUCAAUAGUGCGGUUCUGUUGCUCAAUUGUGGAAUGAGUAAGAUUCUUGAGAUUCUGGAAUGAAUCCUCCCAUGGUCUGGGUUGAGAGUAGUUUUGGUUCUGAUUGUAUGGUCUGAAUGGUGGCUGAGAGGCUUGAGGAACUUGAGGAAUUUGUUGCAUUGGUGGAGCUGGAGUUGCUGGUCCAUUCUGUUGGAAUCCUUGAGACCAUGAAAAAUUGGGGUGGUCUCUCCAUCCAGGGUUAUAUGUGUUGGAGUAUGGGUUGUAAUUUGAUGGUUUUCUCAUUACACUUAUGGCAUUGGCUUGAUCGAAGUAUGAGUCAUGGUCAUGUGGCUCCGUUGGUUUAGCAGUCGAUAACGAUGCUAUUUGUCGAGAGAGACCUUCAAUUAUCGCUUUGACUUCUUUAAUUUCUGAACUUGACUCGCCAAUGUGAACCUCAUUCACUCCCUUAAUUCUUCUAGUAUUCUUGAGCGAUCGACUUCGUUGUUGGGAAUUAUCCGCUUGUCGCUGGAAGAAUUUCCAAAUCUCUUAUGCACUUUUUGACAUUAGCUCCCCUCCACUUGUUGCCAUUAGCCAUUCUUGCACAUUCGGCAAUAAUCCCUCAAAAAAGUAUUAGCAUUGGUGCCAUUUCUCGUACCCAUGAUAUGGACACUUCAAGAGUAGCCCAUUGAAUCGCUCCCAUGUUUCGAAAAAUUGCUCGUCCUCUCUCUGGGUACACUCCGAGAUUUCCCUGCGAAUAGCAUUGGUUUUAUGCACUGGGAAAUAUUUAUUCAAAAAUUUAGUUACCAUUUGUUCCCAUGAUGAAAUGCUAUUGGCAGGCAAUGUAUUAAGCCACGAACGAGCUCUAUCUUUUAAAGAAAAUGGGAAUAAUCUAAGUUUAACAUCAUCAUCUGAAAAAUUCUCAUAUUUAAAUGUUUGACACAUAGCAUGAAAAUCAUUCAAAUGAUUACAUGGAUCCUCAUUUUCUAGGCCAUAAAAUGUGGGGAGACAUUUUAGCACACUAGGUUUUAGUUCAAAACUCCUAGCAGCUACAUUUGGGUAUCUUAUGCAUGAUGUGCUCAAAUUUACUAAAGGACUGAAAUAAUCCUUAAAUGGCCUCUCCUGUGGUGCUUGUAAAUCCAUUUUAUUUUUAACGUGUUUGUGUGUGCGAAGUGUUUUUUCUAAUUCAAGGUUUAUAGGUUCAAGAUUAGGUAUUAAUGGCCUACGACCAUGCAUGCAAAACAAAUAAAAUAAAAAUAAAGAUGGGAACAAAACAAAUAAAAAUAAAGAACAGAGAGAAAUUACGAUAGUAACCUUAUUGCGCUAUUACAACCUUACUAUAAAAAUACAUAAAAAAAAUAUGUGAAAUAAAUUUACUAAAAAAAAUUAGUAAGAUAAACAAAAAUUACAAAGAAGAAAAAAAAUAAUAACUUGAAAAUUAAAUUACAUAAUUUUAAAGAAGAGGAAAAGAAAAGAAAUACUAACCUCUAAAUGCGGAUUCACUUUUUUUUUCUUUUUUUUUAAUAAGAAAAAAAAUACAAGAAAACAAAUGAAAGAAAUUAUUCACAAAAAUUAACUCUGAAUUAAAAUUACUUACCUCCCCGGCAACGGCACCAAAAACUUGUUGUGCAAAUUUUAUUGAACUCGCAAGUGCACGAAUCUAUUAUAAAAUAGAUUAAUGGAUACGAGUGUCGAUCCCACGAGGAGGUGGAUUUUAAUUAUAUGUAGAAUCAAUUUUGUAUGAGGGUGGUUGGAUUUAUGGUGAAAGUAACUUAGAUUAUUCUAAAAUUGGAAUUGAAACGGAGAGAAUAAAUUGAAGAGAAUUCUAUUGAAAUGACGUACUUGGGUAUCUGGAUCCGUAUCAACAUGCACCAUGGGCUAAAUAUUCCUUAUUAAUGCCAAUUAAAUCAUGAGGGGGGAAUCCACACCUCAUGAACCACACUCUAAUCAAUAUGGUGCUAAGGGCUUAUCGUGCCAAAUAAUAAUAACCUUGUACUAGGGGGCCGGUGAAACCAAGGUGGUACUAGACAAGAUUAGUAUUAUUUGUUGACGAGAAGUCAAAACAUCCACAAAAACUAGAGGGGAAGAGAAAAUAAAUUUACCAAAUAAAGCCCAUGACACAUGUUGAGACUUCACCUUCAACCCAAACUUGAAAGAAAAUUAGCUACUCAUAAUUGAACUAGGGACAAAAUGGGAAUUUAUUAAAAUACGUAGAAAAUACAAGAUGGAGAAUGAAUUACAGAAAAUGGAUCCUAAAAAUAGAUUCAGAGAUAUCCAAUUGGGGGGGGGGGGAGGAGGCCCCCUUUUUAUAGACACAUGGAGUAAAUCAUGGCCAUCGGAUUAAAAACAGUUUGGACGCUCAGGAUUGCGCCACGUCAUCAGUCAACAGUACGCGGUUUGACCACGCAGAUGAACAGUAACACGGUGUGACCCGGGUUGAACAGUAAUGCGAUUUGGUUGAAAAUAAUCCUGUAUGAUGCAUGUACUGUACGCGAGAUUUUUGGUCCACUGAUAUGCUGCCACGUCACCAUCAAGAGUACAUAAGAAUUUUAGUCCAACAGGAUCGUGACACCUCAUCAGUCAAUGCCACAUCAUCGAUUCAUCUAUGUGAACAGUGUCGUGAACAGUAACGUUGACAGUACCGUACACGUGAAUAGUACCGUACAUGUGAAUAGUACCGUACAUGUGAAUAGUGUAAUUUUUUCUUUUAUGCUCCUCCUAAGGUUUUCGACCGUCCUGAGUUCAAAAGUGAUGUCCGUUUUACCGUCUGAUCUCUCGUUUAUUGUGAAAUGACCAUGAUACCCCUAAAAUACAUAAAAUACUUAAUUAAAAUAAAAUACACAUAAUUAAAUUACAAGAAGCUUAAAUACAUAAAAGUAAGGGUUGUUAGUAAGACUUGAAAUGUAAAAUGACAAUUUUCUCCUUUAUAAAUAUGCAUUUUCUAACACUCAACAAUGGUACUCUUAGACUCUGCAUUGACUAUAGGCAGUUGAAUAAAGUUACAAUACGUAAUAAAUAUCCACUUUCAUGUAUUGAUGACUUGUUUGAUCAACUUCAGGGAGCGAAUGUGUUUUCUAAGAUUGAUUUCCGCUCGGGAUAUUAUCAGCUUCGAAUUAAAGAGGCCGAUGUUCUUAAAACAGCAUUCAGAAUCCGUUAUGGACACUAUGAGUUCUUGGUGAUGCCAUUUGGGUUAACAAAUGCUCCAGCAACUUUUAUGGAUCUUAUGAAUAGGGUAUUUCGCCCUUAUCUGGAUCGAUUUGUGAUUGUGUUUAUUGACAAUAUUUUAGUGUAUUCUCGGAGUCAGGAGGAACAUGCGGAGCACUUGCAGAAUGUUUUGCAGACUUUAAGGCAAAAGCAAUUGUACGCCAAGUUCAACAAGUGUGAGUUCUGGUUGUAUAAAGUAGUAUUUCUGAGCCAUUUGAUAUCAGCUGAAGGGAUUUAUGUCAAUCCUCAAAAGAUCGAAGCAGCCGUGAAUUGGGAACGACCUACAAAUGUCACAGAGGUUCGGAGUUUCCUCGGAUUGGCUAGUUAUUAUCGUAGAUUUGUGGAGGGAUUUUCCAAGAUUGCUAUUUCUUUGACAAGAGUAACUAGAAAAAAAUGCUAAGUUCCAGUGGAAUGAUGACUGUGAAAAGAGUUUUCAAGAACUCAAGACACAUCUUACUUUAGCACCAGUUCUUACACUUCCUUCUGGUAAUAAAGGGUUUGUAGUAUACAGUGAUGCCUCUAGGCAAGGAUUGGGUUGUGUGCUAAUGCAACAUGGGAAAGUAGUGGCUUAUGCUUCUAGAAAACUUAAAAAGCAUGAGCAAAACUACCCAACUCAUGAUUUAGAGUUAGCAGCAGUGGUAUUUGCACUCAAUAUAUAGAGGCAUUAUUUAUACGGAGUAACGUGUCAGAUUUUCACUGAUCAUAGAGCCUGAAGUAUUUGUUUACUCAGAAGGAAUUAAAUUUGAGACAGAGGAGAUGGAUUGAGCUGAUUAAGGACUACGAUUGCACUAUUGAUUAUCAUCCAGGCAAAGCAAAUGUGGUAGCUGAUACACUAAGUAGGAAGUCUUCUAGCUCUAUAGCUCACAUGCGAGUGACAUAUAUGCUUUUAUUGAUUGAGUUGAGAUCUUUGGGGGUUGAGUUGGAAGUUGAAAAUUACAGAGCUUUGAUAGCUAAUUUUUUAGUUAGGCCGACUUUAAUUGACAAAGUCCAUCAGAUGCAAGAUCAGGAUUUGCAGUUACUGCAGUUGAAAGAGGAUGUACAAAAAGGCUUACCAACUAAUUUUGCGGUGAGAGAUGAUGGAGUUUUAGUUAUUGGUAAUCGACUUUGCGUACUUGACAUUAAGGAGUUAAAAAAGGAGAUCAUGGAAGAAGCUCAUUGUUCAGCUUAUGCAAUGCAUCCUGGUAGUACGAAGAUGUACCGUACCUUAAGGGAUCAUUACUGGUGGCAAUGUAUGAAGAGAGAGAUAGCAGAAUUUGUAUCUCGGUGUUUAGUUUGUCACCAGAUUAAGACUGAACACCAAUGACCUGCAGGGUUUUCACAGCCGCUUCCUAUCUUUGAGUGGAAGUGGGAGCACAUCACCAUGGAUUUUAUAGUAGGACUUCCACGUACCCAGAGUGGUCAUGAUAUUAUUUGGGUGGUUGUUGAUCGACUUACAAAAUCUGCUCCUUGGAAAGGGGUACUUCGAUUUGGGAAGCGCAAAAAACUAAGUCCACGUUACAUUGGACUAUAUGAGAUCGUGGAGCGUAUUGGUCCGUUGGCGUACCGAUGAACUCUACCACUUGAGUUAUCUAGAAUCCUCGAUGUGUUUCAUGUCUCGAUGCUCCGGAAGUAUGUGUAUGAUCCUAGUCAUGUGUUAUCGAGACAACCAAUUGAGUUGAAAGAAGACUUGACUUAUUAAGAAGAGCCCGUGGAAAUACUGGAACAGAAGAACCAAGUUUCGCGUUCAAAAACCAUUCCGUUAGUACAAGUAUUGUAGAGGAAUCACACAAGGGAAGAGGCUACUUGGGAACGCGAAGACUUAAUUCGAGCCCAAUACCCUCACCUAUUCUCAUCAGAUGUGUAAAUUUCGAGGACAAAAUUUUAUAAGGGGGGAGGAUUGUAACAUAUGCACUUUAAUUUUCCUAAUUAAGUGUAUUAUUUAAUUUUCCCCUUCGAUAUUAAUUUUAAAUUUGUCAUGACAUAAAAUUGAGACAGUUCGAACACGAUUCAAUGGCCGUGUAGUUAGAUUUUAUUUCAACACGUGUCUAACAUUAGCUUAAUUAGUAGUAAUCUUUAAAAAAAAGCUAGUUUCUAUAAAUGGAAAGGGGGGUGCUGGUUUCCAAAAAAGGAAAGAGAGAGGGGCACGUGAGAGAGAAGGAGAGAAAGAAGUUGACCCGGAUCUGACCUGCGUCCUUAACCCGGCUCCAGCCACCGAUUCUAGCCACCUCACCGGCCAAGCUUGUUACCGAUCUAAAGCUUGUGAGAUGCCAGCCACAUCCCUGCCAUCAUCGUCGUUGAAAGCCGACCAAAACGCCGUUGUUUGAAGCUCGAAAAGCCUUCCUCAACUUGUUUUUGUCGCCAUCGAUCUCGCUAGAUUUUUAGCCACGCCAUCGCCUGGAUCUUGUUGCUCAACUCACACUCAUCACUUUCCGACCGACCACGACCACCGAGGAUGCCGUCUUGGCCGCGAACAACCACCGGGAAACUCACGGAUUUUAGAGCUUCGAUCUACCGCCGUCGCCGCGUGUGGGAGGUCACCUUCGGCACCGUUGGACUCACCGAGGUCUGAACUAUCUGACCUGAGCUUCCUGUCGUCGUUGACUGAAUUCCAGUCAAUUUGUAAUUUAUGAAAAUGGUGGACAAUUUGGUAAUUUCUUAUUAGGAAAGAGAGGUAAUUUGAGAUUUCGAGGGUAAUUCAAUAAUUUAAGUUAUUAAGGGCAUUUUGGUAAUUUCGCACUUCGAGGGUAAUUUCGUAAAUUCAAAACUUGUGAUUAAUUUUGUUAUCCGAAUUAAGGAAAAUUUGGUAGUUUAAGAUAUUGAGGAUGAUUCGAUAACUUAUGAUUCCGAUGGUAAUUCGGUAAAUUUCGGUGUCAAGGGCAUUUUGGUAAUUUUUGGACAUAAGGGUAAUUUUUAAAUUUUAUGUAUCCGGGAGUUUGGUUUUGAGCUUUAUUUUGUACUAUUAGUCAUAUUUUAUAAUACAGAUAAUAAUUAUGUCGUUUAUUUAAUUAAGAGGACCCGUGAGUGAAAAUCAACUCGCGGACGUUGGUGAUACCGAGUCUCGACAUCGUCACUGUGAGUGGAAUAUACAAAACGUAUUUUCAUAGUAUAUUUUGAUUUUACCAUACAGUACAACAUGUUUUGAUAAUAAUUAUUUGAUGCUUCGAUUUAAUGAUUUUCUAGAAAAUUGAUUUUUAUUCUACGUGUUGAUAUUUAUUAUUAUUGAAGAUGAGUUUGAUUAAUGUUUUUAUUAUCAUUUUUUGAGUAAAUGCAUGAUAUUAGAAUUGAGUGAUUUUGAGAUAUGUUGAAUAAAAAGGAAAUGAGAUUUUAGAUGUGAUUAUAUGUUUAUGUACAUGUGUAUAAAAGGUUGUUUGGAAAAUUACUGGACAGUACUCUUCCCCUUCAGAUACAGAGAUAUAGAUAAUAUGAGAUGAAUACAGUGAUACAUAUGAUAUGAGAUGAGAGGCCUUUGGGGCCCGUCUGAACACACAUAGAGGCUUUGGGCCGUGUGUUUGGGCGCUUUUGCCUUUUGGGGGCUUAUGCAUGCAGUAUGAUGAUUACAAAGAUACAGAUGUUGAGAUACAUGAGAUAUGAGAUGACAUUUCCCCGUCUAUCUGUUGUAGCUCCGGGGCAUGACGGGUCCCUGGUUGCCCGUCCGUCGAGGUUUGGAUAUGAUGAGAUUAUUCCCCUAGGUAUUUGUUUGGUGAUAAUUUUUUGUAUUAAGUAUUUGAUAUUAUAAGCAUUAUGAUUUCAUUGAUUUUAUGCAGAUUUAUGUAAUAUUGUUAUUUCAGUGCAUGAUUUGAAUUAAAUAAGUUUAUGUAAGUUCUUAUGAUAUUUUGAUGAAAUUAAUUUGGAAAAGAUUAAAUCAUUUUAAAUAAAUUUAUUUUUUCCAAAUCUACUCCAGUCACUGAGUUCAUUGAGUUUUAUACUCACCCCGUUUUUAUUAUAUUCCCCCCCCCCUCCCCCCCGCACAGGAGAUUUGCAAGUACAUCAGUCGACCCAGCAACGAUAGUUAGAUUGAAAUUAUGGCCACGUGAUGGUGUUAGGAAUCAUAGAUGUUUUGUUGGGACAUUUUGAAUUGUAUAAUUUAUUACUUAUUUGUGAUUAAGGAUAAAUGAUUGUAUUCUUGACAUUAUAUAUUUGAAGGAUACUGGUAUUUAAUUUGAGGAAGUUGGUUGUGGAGGUUGAUUAAAUAUUGUAUUAUGUUUGGGAGUGUUAAUUGUAUAAACUGCAGGUUUGGGGAUGUCAUAAUUAUAUAGGAGACUCUGUCGAAUUUUUGAUAAAAUUUCUAGAUAUCGUAAUUAUUAUUAAUUUGAUUAGGCGAGAUUAGAUAGAUUCGUCUUGGAAAUUCGGGGUGGAUCGUUUCAAAUACAGCUAAGGAGGAAAAACUAUUUGCAAUCAACAAUUAGACAAAUUUUUACGUGAUAGAGUUAUUUAUGCUCUAAAAUAUAGUUUUACAUCAUUCAAUAAAGGGAAAAACUCAAAUUUCCCUUGAAAUUACAUUGUUUUGUGCUCCUUUAGAUUACAGGUAAAUGAAUAUUGUUAGUUGAAGAUUUGAUGAGAUGUACUAAAUAUUUCAUUAUUUUUUUCAAUCAUCUUCUUUCUCCUCCAACGAUCUUCGUGGUCAUCUUUACUUAUUUUACCCCCUCUAUCAUCUCUCCUUUUCUUCCCGCUAUCAUCUCUCCUCCUAAUUCUUUCUUUUCCCCUCUCUUUAUUUCCUUCAACUAUGUUAUAGUUGCUUUAAACUUGUGUAAACUUCUCUUCCAAAGUUUUUAACAGUCCAGAGUCAUAAAACGAAAUUAAGGUUUCUUUCUCCUUAAAAAUUUAAGAAAAUAUGAAAAUUGAUUGUUCAGUCUUUGAUAAACAUUCUAAUACUUGCACUCCCCUUUAUGGUAAUGGAUGAUACACUUUCUGGUUUCCUACUUUUUUACUAUUAUUAUUGAAUAUUCUUUACCGCUAAUUAAUAUUUGUUGAAACUUUGGCAAUUUGAAUUGCAAAACAAAGAAAAGGUUUUGACGGCUAAAGCAAAGGAGAAAAAUGAAAAGAGAACAUAGAGAAAUAUGAGAGACGGAAGACAGAGACAAAAAAAAAAAAAAAUUAAUAAAGGAGAGAGGAGAGAAAAAUAAUAAAUAGAAAUAAGUGUUACUUGUCAUUUAAUUAAUCUAAUCAUAAUUAUUCAUUUAUCUAUAAUCUAAAGGCUUGCACAAAGUGUAAAAACAAGUAUAAUUUUAAAAAUCAUUGAUUCAUCCCCUUUAAUAUAAAUUUUAAAAUAAUAAUAAUUUUUAUUCUUCACGCCCUUUUAAAUGCCAAAACAAUACCCAUUUAUGAUUUAAGUACUUUUUUUUAUUUUUAUAUCCAUAAAAUAUUUCAUCUUUCUCAAAGUCAUAAUGCCCAAGAUUUUUCUUACUUUUUUUUAUUAGCUUUUUUCUUUCUUUUCCUUUUGUUAUGGUUUGAUCUAUUUUAACUCCUCUUCGAUAUUUUUUUAGACUGAUUAGGUGUAUAAAUACCAAACCAUUCCCUCAAGACCUAAUCCUAGUCGAAGAUUGAUUAAUAAACUUAAGAACCAAAGUUUAAUCACACAUAAAAGAAAAUGAAAAUCAAUAGAAAUAAAACUGUGAACAUAAGACACAAGAAUUUAUAGAUAUUCACCUAACCGUCUACAUCAACUUGAAGACUAGAAUAGAGCUUUUAUUAAUUCCCGAGAACAAGUUACCUUUCAUGUCUUUACGUACAAAUGGUGCAAUUUGUUAAUCUUUUAUUCAAUCUGUCCAUUUUUUUUCCUUUCGGUUGCAUUGCUGUAAAAUGUGUGUGGCUUGAUGACUUCCAGAUUAUGUUGUUGGCGACUAUUUAAGUAUUUUGCUUUACCAAUGGUUAAAUUGGAUAAUGAAGCAGAAAAGUUUUGACAUUAAAUUCUUCUACCCGUACAUGCCAGAUGGGUUUUAAGAGUAUUCAUAUUUUUUAAAAUUAUAUUAAUAUCCUUGAUACUAUCAUUUUUUUUUAACAUUAGGGUCAGUUUUUUGUUUUUUAGGCGAAUCUAUGACGAUAUUAGCGAGAUUUAUUAAAAAGAAGAAUAAAAGUAACACUUAAAUAACAUGAAGUCAAGGCUAGCCAACUAACAAUUAACCUAAACAAAAUGUUGUCUAAAAAGAUAAACCUGAAUUACAAAAAUGCAAACAACAGAAACAAAAUCUAGUUAAAACGAUAACAUUAAGGUUAGUUUAAUCGUGAUUUGCAUGAUGACAAACUAUUGCUAUCCCUUGUGAGUUGGGACUCGCGUCAUUCAUCAUCUCUAGAAAAAAAUGAAAGAGACUUUAUUUUUUGUGGUGCAAGUUAAAGAAAAUAAAGUGUUUGGUUGAAAGCAAAAUUCUAAAGUUUCAGAGAAAAUAUAUCAGUCUGAAUUCAUUUUAUUAAUCCCUUAAACUGAAAUGAAGAAUUACAAAGCUUUAUAUACACAUGUCUAGAAGAUUCUACAACAAUCAACGCAAGUGAAUAAUCUCAACAACUUAUAACAAACUAUUGGCGGGAAACAUUAACAAACUCUAAGAGUUGUUUUGCACGUAUAACUAAUUGCUUAUGCGGUCAAUGAGUCAACAAGCUUGCUGACUCAGCUGCUGACAUGGACAUUAAGAUUUAUUCUUAACAUGCCCCCUUAAGCUCAAGGUCUGGAACAGACAUUGAACUUAGCUCUCAUAUAAGCAAAAUGAUCAAAGCCAAGUGGCUUAGUAAGUACAUCUGCCAAUUGAUUUGAGCUUGAUACGUGUUCAACGGCAAAUUCCUUUUUGGCAACGUGUUCUCUCACAAAAUGAAGGUCUAAUUCAAUGUGCUUGGUUCGUGAAUGAUACUUUGGGUUGCUUCCCAGAGCCUCUGCACUUUUAUUAUCACAGUACAAAACAGGUGUGUUGUUGAGCUGCACUUUGAGUUCCUGCAACAGAUAUGAAAUCCAUAAUACUUCUGAAGUUGUCAAGGCUAAGGCUCUAUACUCUGACUCAGUUGAUGAUCGAGAAACAACAUUUUAUUUUUUAGAUGAUCAAGAGACAAUAUUGGAUCCAAGAAAGAUGCAGUAGCCUCCAACAGAUCUUCUAUCAUCAGGGUCACAACCCUAAUCUGCAUCUGAGAAGGCUUUGAGAGAAAGAGAUUUUGAAUUGUAAAAUUGAAUCCCAUAAGUAGUUGUACACUGAAGAUACCUAAGAACCCUUUUGCAGGCCUGCCAGUGAAGUACAAUAGGAGCAACCAAGAACUGACUUAACUUAUUUACAGUAAAAGCUAUAUCAAGCCUUGUCAAGGUUACAUACUGAAGGGAUCCAAUAACACUCCUGUAGAGAGAAGGAUUCUCAAACAAUUUACCCUUAUCUUUAUACAACUUAUCAACUACACUCAUUGGAGUAUUACAGCCUUUGCUGUCAAGCAUGUGACCUUCUUUAUGUCUCCAACAUAUUUUGUUUGAGAGAGAUGUAACCCAGCACUUGAUGGAGUAACCUCUAACCCAAGGAAAUAGAUGAAGUCCCCCAAAUCUUUAAGAGCAAACUCAGAACCAAGAAGUGUAAUAAUUCUCUCUAUUUGUGCACUGCUAGAACCAGUAACUAAGAUAUCAUCUACAUAAAUGAGAAUAACUAAAAUAUCUGAACCAGUGUGCUUAAGAAACAGAGAGGUAUAUGAUCUAGAACUUUGAAAACCCCACUGCAACAGAGAGCCUUUUAAUCUAUCAUACCAUGCACGAGGUGCCUGCUUAAGACCAUAUAAGGCUUUAUUUAACUUGCAGACAUAAGUUGGAUGUUGAGAAUCAAUAAAUCCCUCAGGCUGAUGCAUGAAAACUUCUUCAGUUAGUACACCAUUUAGGAAUGCAUUAUUGACAUCCAGCUGCCUUAUGGUCUAAUGGUUCAUCACUACAAGGCUCAGAAUAAUUCUAAUGGUACAACGCUUUACAAUAGGGCUGAAAGUCUCAAAGAAAUCCACACCAUAGGUUUGAUGAAAACCUUUUGCAACUAAUCGUGCCUUAUACUUAGGAGCACUUCCAUCUGGAUUAUACUUAACUUUAAACACCCAUUUGUUUCCAAUAAUUUUGGUGGUUGAUUCAGCUAGCACAAGAGUCCAGGUUUCAUUGUUCUUCCAGGCAUGAAACUCUUCUAUUAUGGCCAUAUACCAUUUCUGAUCUAUUAAGGCUGCUUUAACACUGGUUGGUUCAAUAUCUUGAGUGGCUGUAAGAUAUGUAUUGGGUUUGAAAAUUCCUACUUUGGCUCUUAUAAUCAUUGGAUGAGUAGGAACUAUUGGUAAGGAUGGUUGAGGAGAGGCUACUGAUGAAUUUUGGAUAGAUGUAUGAGAAUGAGCAUUUGAAGAGAGUGGUGAAAGAGGAGUGUUUAUUUGUAGUAAGGAAAGGGAGUUUGGAGUUGGUGGCACUGCUGGAACUGAUGAUGAUGUUGGAGACUGCUAUGUUGAGUUACUGUCAUAAAGAAUACAUAAUGAAGGAGAAGAAAUUUGAAUUGACUCUAAUGAAGAAUCAGAAGAGAGAAACAAUUCAGAAUAAGGAAAUUCAUAUUCAUUGAAUGUAACAUUAAUGGCAAUAAACAUUGUCCCUGUUUUAUCCAGACAUUUGUAACCCUUAUGAAGAGGACUAUAACCUAUAAACAAACACUUUUGAGAAUGAGAGUCAAGUUUGUGUUGAUUAUAUGGUCUAAGCAAAGGAUAACAAGCACUGCCAAACACUCUGAGGAAAUCAUAAUUUGGUAAUUGUUGAAACAACUUUUGAUAAGGUGACUGAUUGUUUAGAACUGUGGUUGGCAUUCGGUUAAUGAGAUAAGAAGCUGUGUGAAAAGCCUCCCACCAGAAAGAAACAUGCAUUUGGGCUUGAGCAAGGAGGUUUAACCCUGUUUUAACAAUGUGCCUAUGGUUCCUCUCAACCACACCAUUUUGAUGAUGUGUAUGAGGGCAGUUAUGCCUAAAUUGGAUACCCUAUUGGUGAAGAAAAGAGGUAAAAGCUUUGAACUCUCCCCCCCAUGUCAGAUUGUAAUGCUUUGAUAGGUAAAUUGAAUUAUUUUUCUACCAGGUUUUUGAAGUUUUUGAAGGUACCUAAGGCAUCUGAUUUUAGCACAAGAGGAAAGAUCCAGCAAUACCUAGUGUAGUCAUUAACAAAAGAAAUGUAAUACUUAUAGCCUUCCAUAGAAAGUACAGAGGCUAGUCCCCAAAGAUCAGUAUGGAUUAAUUCAAGAGGAUGUUUUUAUUUGAUUUCGGUUGUUGAAAAAUGAAAUUGAUAUAGUUCACCAAGUUGACAGGCAUUACAGAAUUCAAGCUUUUGCUUAUUAUUACAAGUAAUGUUUAUACAACUGUUUCUCAAGAGAGUUUGAACAACAUGCUUGCUUGGAUGACCAAGUUUAUUAUUUAAAAGACUGACUGAAACAUUACUUGAAGCAUGAAAGCUUACUGAAAAACCAGACUUUAUUUUCAUAGACAAAGGAUCAACACAAGUUUGAUGAGAAGAAAAGACUGACACCAUAGAACUUGGUUGGAAAACUGAGGUAUCAAAAAAAGGAAAUGAUUCUUCAUAUGACAGCAACUUAUAUAGCCCUCCUUCAACAAUCCCCUAAGCCAGCAGUGUUCGCUUCACCUUGUCCUUUAGAAAACAGGCAUCAAACGAAAACUUAAUUGUAAUGUCACUAUCAGAAAGAAGCUUAGAAAUACUUAUAAGAUUUUUGGUAAUUUUGGGAACACAUAGGAUAUCAUGAAGCUGAAUGCAUGAACCAAAAGAAGUAUACAAACAUGCAUUACCAAUAUGUGUGAUUUGAAGACCUUGGCUAUUUCCUACAAGUAGAGAAUUGGUGCCAAAAUAAAUCUUACCAUUAGUUAAGUUCUGAACUGAGCUGGUAAGGUAAUGGGUAGCUCCACUGUCAAGAUACUAGCCUUGAUCAAUAACUCCCUCAGAUGUAGCCAUAUAAGCUGACUUUGGUCCCUGAUUUGGAUGAUAGCCUUGAACUGGAAAACUUGGAGCAAAGUUUAUGUUAAACUUGUCUCUACACUCAGCAGCAGUAUGGUUAUACCUAAAGCAAAUCUGACACAUAACUCCUCCCUGAGCAAAGUUGUUUCUAUUACCACCAAAACCACAUCUGCCAAAGCCACCAGCAUUAGCAUUCCCAUUGUUAAAGUUACCAGCAAAGCCUCCAUUAUUAAAAUUUCCACUAGUAUUAAAACCACCAGCAAAGCCUCUACCAGUAUUAAAAUUUUGAUUCCAGUUACCUCUUCUUUGACCUUGAUAUCCUCCACCUCUACCAGCAAAAUUUUGAUUCCAGUUACCACCUCCAUUUUUAUUCCAAUUAUUCUGAUUAUUACCAUUGCCUUUCUUUUGAAAAAUCCCAGUCUGAGCUACGUUAGCCAUAUAAUUGCUUUUAGCCUCUUUAGUAUCAACAUUCUUACUGUUUUCAAGUCUAGCCUCAUGUGUCAAUAACAUAGCAUAGGCUUCACUCAGAUCCAUGGUCAACAUAUUUGCUUCAAUGUAAACAAUAACAUGAUAGUAGGAAUGAUCUAAUCCAGUGAUAAGAUGAGUGAUUAGAUCAGUGUUACUUAGAGGAUUUCCAGCUAAAGCAAGACUAUCAAAAAUUGUUCUAAGUUUUGUGAAAUAUUCAGUCAUAGACAAGGAUCCUUUUCUUAGGUUACUAAGAAGCAUUUUAAGAUGAACUUUCUUAGCUAUUGAUUCUGAUCCAAAUUGUUUUUCCAGAUUCUUCCAUAGCUGAAGAGAAGUUUGUGAGCUUACCACAAGACUAAGAAUCUCAAGACUCAUCGAGGACAUGAUCCAGCCGAGUAGAAGCUGAUCUUGACGUUUCCAUGCAACAUAAUCUGGAUUCUCACGACCUUGUCCACUUGCUUCACUAGAUCCAAAUUUAUUAGGAAGAAAUUGAUCUGGAUAGAGCCUAGAUUCAUCGAUGUAGUUCUCAAGACCAUUUCCACGAAUUGAAGAGAGUACUUGUUGUUUCCAAAUCGUAUAAUUUGUGCGAUCAAGUUUGAUUGGUGUGGUAAAGGUAAAGGAUGUUCUAGAAGAAACAUGAGUUGAAGGAUUCGAGCUUGAAGAAGCCAUCACUUGUAAACAGAGUGGCUCUAAUACCAAGUUAAAGAAAAUAAAGUGUUUGGUUGAAAGGAAAAUUCUAAAGCUUCAGAGAGAAAAUAUAUCAGAUUGAAUUCAUUUUAUUAAUCCCUUAAACUGAAAUGAAGAAUUACAAAGCUUUAUAUACACAUGUCUAGAAGAUUCUACAGCAAUCAACGCAUGUGAAUAAUCUCAACAACUUAUAACAAACUGUUGGCGGGAAACAUUAACAAACUCUAAGAGCUGUUUUGCACGUGUAACUAAUUGCUAAUGUGGUCAAUAAGUCAACAAGCUUGCUGACUCAGCUGCUGACAUGGACAUCAUGAUUUAUUCUUAACAGUGCAGAUUUCAGCAGCUUUUUAUCAUGUUUUUCUCGUUGCUAGUAUUAAUUUACGUCGAUAAUGGAUGAUUCUUCAAGUCUUGGAUUUUUAACACGUAUAAUAGACUAAACAGUAGAUAGGGCAGGUAACAAUCCCUUAAUUAAUUAAUUUAAUUGAUUAACUCCCUACCAACGAACUAAAAAUAUCAUGAAUAUUGCGUUGAAUUCGCAUAUGAAAAAUAUAUGAUAAAUUAUCAAGUUUUGUGGCUAUACAUCUAUUUUAAUUAUUUAGCAAUCUGUUAGAUUUUUAGCAUGGUGAAAAAGACAAAAUUAUUAAUUAACAAGGGUAGAAUGGACCUUAAAAUCACUAAUAUGAGAUAUGGGGGAAUAAUUAUCACUUUAUAUUUAUGUUAACGUUUUUACAAUUUUUUAAUGGUGAAAUUCAUUACUGAAGGAAAUGAAAUAGAUUCAAAUUUUAAAGGACUUAAGUUGUCCAUUCUAAAAGUUGUUGAUCUUUGAGUUUCUUUCUGCAAACAAUAAGGAAUCAACUAAAACUUUACCAUGUAUCAAUUGGACUGCGAUCCUUACUUAAUUGUAAGUUAUUUCAAUCGCGGAAUUGCACCAAACAAACAAAUUGCUCUUUAUCUAAUUCAACUAUGUGCUUCUCCGUAGUUGACAUAAUUUUAUAUCAUUGUCUAAGAGAUUUCUUGCUAGUUAAUUAACUAUAUAUUGAGUCAAAAGUCAAUAGGUAGCUUAUCUACGGUAGAGGUGGCCAAUGGGCUGGAUGGCAUGAGGCACCGCACGGGCACGACACGGCACUAGUACGUUUCGGUAGAGCACACGGCACGGCACGUCACGCACGCGGGCUAUGUCGGGCUUAAAUUUUAGGCACGUGGGCCUUAAAAGCACCGCACGAUUAGAGAUGGGCCAAAGCACGGCGCACAAAAAAACACGCAAUAAGCACGUUUCAUUUUUUAAUGUAAGUAAAUUUAAAAUUUUAUGAUUUUAUAAAUAACUUGAAAUUGAAUCAUUUAAUAUAUUUUAUUAGUUCAAGUUUUUUAAAUUUAUUUAAUUCUUAGUUUCCAAAAAAAAAUUUGAUUUUUGUUUAUAAUUUAUUAAAUAAAUAAGUGAUAUCAUGAUUUUAUAAAUGUGUAUUAAUAUUAUUAUAAACUAUGAUAUAUGACUCUACGUAAUUUCAAGUUAACAAUUAAGUUAACCCUUAAAAACAAUUAUUAUUGUUGUUGUUAUUAAGUACUAAAAAAGAAUUAUAAUAUAGAGUCAAACUUAGUAAUUAAUAUUACAUUCUUUUAUUAUUCUUAAUUUAUUAUUAUUGAAUAUGAACUCGAGUUUUGAAUUCUUUAUUCUAUUAAAUUUGAAUAAAGACAUAUGAAUCCGAAAAAGUACAAAAGCUUGAAAAAAAUGAGACACCAACUUGACAUGUGCUCUUAAAAAAAAAAAAGUUUAGUAAACUUUUUUUCUUAGGCACGGCGCGGCACGACACGUGUGGGCACAACACGAGUGAGCACGACACGUGUGGUGGGCCGGGCCUAAGUAAAAAAAAUUAAACACGGCACGGCACGAAACGCAUAAUGGGCAUGACACAGCAUGAGCACAAGCACGUGUGGGCUUCCUUUGAUGGGCCUGGGCUGGCACGGCACGGCCCGUCAGCCACCUCUAAUCUACGGUAUUUAGUUUGAGAUCUGCGCCAACAACCCACGCUUGCUCCCGCGAAAUUAGCCAGUUGAACUAAAGUCGAUCAAUUUUGGUUGUCCACUAAUCCUCAGGCACUCAGCUAAAUGAAAUAUGGAUAACAAGAUAAAGUACAUGUUCUUGGCAAGUAGAUGUUUUGAGGAUUAUUCAUCGAAGAGUAGUAUCAUGUUUAUUCUCGUGAGAUAUUCAAUGAGGUGGCACUUUAUGUACCAUCUAUUAAUUAAUUAGUAAAAAAUCAUAUAUUCAAAACUAAAAAUAAAAUUAGUUGCUACUAUAUACACAGAAAUAAUUGAUUGAUCACACAUUAAUGAGCAUCACGAUUAAAUAUCAUAACUAAGUGAAUAUAUCAUUAUUAUUGAAGCUGCUAAUUCAGUUUGUACAAGAUUACUUCUACAAAUCUAGGUGGCUAUGUAAUUAGUUAUUCCAAACUUGUCUCCCUUGAGCUAUUCCUUUUACUAGGGGUGGGCAUAGUUGGAUUUGGUUUUAUUUUUUGCUGAACUGAGCUGAACUGAAUAAAUUUAAUGAAAAUUGUGAACCUAACUAAACCAAACUGAAAUGGAUACUAUUCGGAUUCGGUUCCCUUUUUUCUUCACUUUUUAAGUUUUAAAAUCUUUAUUUUUACUUGUUACUCAGUUUUUAGGUCAGUUUUUUAUUUAAUUAACUAAACUAAUGGAUAUUUUUCCUGAUUUUCAAACCGAUCUGACCUGCCAACUCGGUUUGAUUCAUUUUGUUCCCUAAUUUUUCUGUUCACACCUACCUUGCCCACCCCUGCCUUUGACUUCUUUAGCUUUAACGUCUCUUGUUUUUUUAUCGUUUUACUGGAAAAUGUGUUACAAUGUAAGUGUUUAGAAAAAAAAAAAAUUAAAAUGGCAUCAACCUGACAAGUCAACAAAUCCUUCCUUUCCAAAUCAGUUUGAAGAAAAUAUUACGAAAUGCGCUGCAUUAGCAAGGGUCUACGCGAAGAUUGUUUGAGGGAAAUUCCAGAUAUUGGAGAUUUUACAAAUAAUGAAUUUGAUCGUGAACAUAACUCAAACAUUAGACCGGAUGCAUCCCAAAUGGUUCUUAGAAUAUCAUGCACACGAUUAAGUCAACGAUGCGGCCUCUAAUUGUGUAAAUAUCUUUGUAGUUGUGAGAUAUAUAUUCGUUCCUUUUAUCUUUUAGAGCAUGAUACGACUUUUAUAUAUAGUGUAAAAUUCUAUUUGAAUAGAGUAUUGCAGUUAAUUCUCAUAUUUACUUUUUCUACACAAGCUGACCACGAAAACGACAAUUCUUUUCAUAAACAAUGUGUGGUUUUGAUGUGUUAUAGUGUCACUGUAAAUUGCUAGGGUGCAGGCAAUAAUAUUAUUUUCUGUCGUCCUGACAUGUGGCUAUUGAAAUAGCAGUGCUAAGAAGAAAAUGAGGCACAGGCAGCUUAUAUAAAAAAAAAAUAAAACGCUAUAUGAUUUCAUACAUUCACACGUGAAAUUAUUGUUGUAUAUGUUUAGAGUGGGGGCCAUCAAAAAUGUCGCUCUCAUAGCGAACGAUUGUAUUAAGAAACGCCAGAUGAAAUUCCUUUAAAAUCCGUAACACAGAAUCUGUCGGUGCCGUAUCAUUCUAUUCUGCAGGGAAAGCAAACACACGACAACAUGAUCUUGUGAGAUUUGGCAGCACCCCUUAAUUUUGACGAAUUGUCGUCAUGCCAAAGUCUGAUCAAUGUAGAUUGAAAGAUUGUUCUCAUAAAUAGUUAUUUAUUUAGUGGACCCUCUGGCUUAUGAUACUUGGAAUACAUUAGACUUUUGAACAGACUUGAGUGAUUGUUUUUAUUGUUUGUAAGACUUUACAAGAAAAAUAAACACGUUUGUGAGAGAGAGGGAUAACCAAACAAGAAAAAAGCACUAUUCGUCAAAGCAAUUCGAGUGUUACAUGACAAGUAGAUUAAAGGGGCAACUGCCACCAUCGAACUAAAAGAUAUCGAGAAUAUUGUCUUGAAUGCGUCUGUGAAAAAUAUAUGAUAAAACUUCAAUUUCUGUGGCUAUAAAUUUAUUAUAAUUAUUUAGCACACUAUUCGAUAUUUAUUAUGGUAAAAACGAAAAAAUGAUUAAUUACUAAGGGUAAAAUGGACUUUAAAUCACUCUGAUGAGAUGUGGGGGUAUAAUUAUCGUCGUAAGUUUAUGUUAAUAUUUUCACUAUUUUUUUAGGGCGAGGUUAUGCUAACUCACCAAAUUCCUCUUUAAAUUCCUCUUUACAUUGAUUUUAAAAAUAAAUUUAUUAUUUAAAAUUUAAAAUUUCAAAAUUAACCUUCACUAAUCUCUUUCUGUCUCUCUACUUUACAAUUGUGUGUUCUCUCUACUGUCAUAUACUAUAAACUAAAGACUCAAUUUUACUCUCUUUUAAAUUCAUUUUUUGGCCUUUCUUAGCAUAUCAUUAUCUCUAUUUCAUACUUUCUAUAUAUAAUGAUUUUUUUUCUUGAUAUUCAUUAGGAUUUUUGUUUUGGUAGAAAUUAAUUACUUGAUAUUCAUUAAUUUUUAUGACUUAUAAAAUUUUGUUGGCGUUUAUUUUUAAAUAGUGAAUUUUGUUUCUCUUAGUUAUUGAUACCAAUUAUUUGUAACUAAAGGAAUAUAUAAAAAUGAACUAUAUUGUUUAAUAUAAUGCAGUCUUGCAAAGGCUAGCAACCCCCCGCCUAUAUUGUUUAGCUAAUAUUAUAGCUGUUGCCAGUUAAAUUAAGAUAGAUUGCUGAAAGGCUAAAGAGUGGAUAAUAUUUUUGCCCUCAUUAAAAAAAAAAAAACUAAGGGUGGGCAAACGGUUUUUUUUUAAAUCAAUACCACUCUAUGGUGGGGGGUUAGGUGGGCCCCCUACCUGUCAUUUAGAACAGAUAAUGAAAAUACACGAGGAGGGAGACAUAAUCCAAAACCUCCAAUCAAGGGAAAUAAAUAUAACAGUAAACGAAAUGAUUUAGGCAUAGCCUAACAUAAGAAGAAAAAGACUAAUGCAGACGGUGAUAAUAUCUCUUACGAUACUUGGGGCCGGCAAGUAAUUUAAUGCCCUUUUUUGAAUGACUGACAACGCUAAAAUCAGGGUUAGAGUCAAUUCUCUUAGAAUUCUCAGGAGCAGACAGAAAAUGGUAUUAUUUGCCAAUUGAUCGUCAAAACAAUCAUCAUUAUCAAUAUGAGAAUUGUAAAGCCUAAAAUUUAUGUUGGAUGCUCGAUGAAGAUGUGUAUUAUACUCACCUGGUUCUUGGAUCCUAGAAUCAUGAGUCAUGACAUCCUGGCCAAUCGGCUCCUGAAUGGAGGUAGAAUUUGUAGCGUUAGCUCAGUUCUCCGUAUGUACAAUCGAAGACCCCGCAUCUACAAUCUGCUUAGUGAUGGACGGCUCAGGUUGUGGAGUAUCCAAGGGUUGGGGAGUAUCAGAGGGCAGAACUUUUGACUUCUUAUUAUCUAUUUUGGUCUGCCAAUUCCCACUAGGCCGCUGGGGACUGAGUCCCGGAUUGGCCACGUAACACGUCUCAAUGGUAUGGCCAAGGUGCUUGCAGGAAGCACACUAGAGUGGGAUUUUCUCAAAAAUUACACUCUACCAAAAUUCAAAAUCUCCCACACCAAUUUGUAUCCGUGGUAACGGAGGUUGAGUGACAUCAUACUCCACUAACACCCUAGCUACAGAAGGGUGAGCUAAAGAGACAGUAGCUUGGUCAAUUUGUAAUGGCUUACCAAUAGCUGAUGCAAUAUAAAAUAAUGUUUCCUUACAGUGCAUGAAGUAGAUAGGUAAGUAAGGAAAUGAAAUUCAAACUGGGACUAUAAGAGACUUCUCAGUACAUCGAAAAUCAGUGGUCCAUUUAACCCAUAGGGUGGGCAAACGGUUUGCGUUACCCAGAAUUAAGAUAUGCGGGGGUUGGUUGGCUUGUUUAGUCAAUCUUUAAAUUUCAACACUUGGGGUUGUGUAACUGAUAUCAAUCCUUUCACCACUUGGAACCCCACUCCGACUCUGUAUAUUUGUAAUGUCUAUCAUUUCUACGUUGCACUGCUGAUGCGUAUAUUUUGGGUGUGGGACCAUCAUACAAACUAAUGAUUCUCUGAAGUCGUUCUCAUCCAAAUCAAUUCUGGUAUUAAAUGUAAAUAACUGAAAUAAGAAAAGCAUGAUGAAAUAGCUCAUUGAAUCUACACCACAGAGUCCGAUGGCGCCUUUAUUAUUCAGAAAACACAAACACAAUCAUCUAACAGCUAGCAUUAUCUCCUUUUCACGGGGAGCCACACUGAUCUAUCAAUCUAUCAUUACGUACGAAUUGUCAUCUUGCAUUAUCGGCUUUUUUGUUUUAUACGUGGAAAUUUUUCUUGGACUUUUGAAUAGACUUGAGCGGUUGUUAUGUGAAGGGAGAAAAAUAAAACAAAUCAAAACAAAAAAGAAAGAUUAUUGUGUUGGUCAUUUCUCGCAAUUAACAUCGCAUGUGAAUGUAUCAACGUGAAAAAUAAUUUCUGAAAUCACAUUGUACAAAUUCAUUGUCUUAUUCUUAGUAGUUAUCGCUGGAGAAUUUUAAUUCUAUCCAAGAUCUUGUAAGAAAAAAUAUUAAAUAAAUAAUAAAAAAUAAAUAAUGAAUAAAAACAAUCACUCAACAGAAAAAUUUACAUAGAAAAAUUAAAUAUGUGAAAAACUAUUACAGUCACUCAAGCAUUUUUCUCACACCCAAAGUCUUAAUAAUACUCAAUCUCAAAACAAACCAACCAUUUCUUUAACAUUAGAAAUUGUUUAUUUACAAAAAACUGAUGGCUGUGUUACAGAAAUAAAUAAACCUAAACUCCUUAUAUAUAAUGAUUACUUCUUGAAGGAGAAGUAUUCUUUUUCUUAUAGUAGUUUUGUUCCUUCUUAAAUAAGUCAAGUCUCGAAAGAAAAAUUAUUUAUUCCUUAAAUAAGAACCCUACUAAAAAACAAAAUAUCAUAUGAAAUUUUUGUUGAAAAAUAAGACAUUUUCUAAUAGUUACUAGACGACUUGGUUCAAUCUGCUACAUGAAUUGCACCCCAUAGAAGUUGCAUACUCUAGAGGUCGUUGGGUAUAAAGAAAAAUGGUUGUCAAGGGAAAAAAUAUGGUCCUUGUAAUUCAAAUUGUGAGCCAAUUUAUGAAAGAUGGGGGAAAAAAUCGAGAAAAUAAGGAAAACAAUUCCCAAUUUACGCUUUCAAAAAAGUUCGGUUGCUCCAAGAAUUUUUAUUCUAAGCAAUGGUAAAGUUAUUUAUACUCUAAAUACUUUUUUAUUAAGACAAACCUCGAUGGCUUGAGGGAAAUUUAUUAAUUAUAAAAAGAAAAAUUACAUGAUGUAGGAAGUUAUUUUAGGAUUUCAGAAUUUAUUAUUUUAGAUAUUUUUAAUAUUUUCUAUUUUUAUUAGAGCCAAUUAUAAUAUGUAUUUUAAUCUUUUAUUUCUAUUAUAAUUUUAAUUUAGUUUCCUUUUCAAGUUAACUUAAGGAAGUAGGUUUACUCUAUUAUGAAUAUGAAGGUCUUGUUAUUAUUUUCAUAACCUUUUGAUUAAUAAAAAAAUCUCUCUUUAAUAAUUUCAUUUGGGGUUAUCUAUAAAAAAAUAUCUCUUAUAGAGUCAUUUGAAUUAGAAAAUCAUCUAAUCUCGCUUAAAGCGUUGUUAAAAAUAUCAUUUAUUCAUUUGGAUUAGAAUGAGAUAUAAUCACGCUUCAAUUAGAGCACAAGCUAAUGACGUUGAUUUGGUUCGGUGCAAGAAUGAUAUCUAGUGUUUCCUGCACUAUCAAUUCGCUACCGCUACCCCACUUAGUCAGUGGGUAUUAAGGCAGUUCUAUGCUAAUUGGACAUCUUUCUAGGCUACCCACAUCCAUCCCUUCGAAUCCACCACCAAAAAAAAAAGAAAAAAGAAAAUUCCCCAAAUCAAACCUAGCCACUACUAUUGCUAGCUCAGCUAUCAUUCCUUUGGGCACUGCCAGCUCAGCUGUCAAUCCUCCACCAAAAUCAACAUCAACCACUAACCGAACCUGACCAACCUCUACCUUUGAUCAGUCGUGUAGCAAUUGUGUGAACAACCCAAACUCGCACGCUCCACCACUUACCCCCCCUGCCAUUUUCAAAUUUACCACUGUUGAACCAAGUCACCACCAACAUUAGUAAGUCUCACUAAUCAAAUCAGCGAGAAUGUCAACUUGAGUAAGGCAAACAUUGGUGAGAAUCCAAUGCCCCGAAAACCCAAGGGUUCCUCCGCAAGGUUCGUCCACGGAGGGUGAGUCAGGGCCUAAGGUCAGGCCGAAAGGCGUAGUCGAUGGACAACAGGUGAAUAUUCCUGUACCACUUGGUUUGAUUAGUAGCUAGAAUCGUUGCAACCGAACCAAACUUGCAGCACAAACACUUCUGCCACCGCAAAUUGAUUGUCACCACUGACAUUAGCAUGCUCCCAGCCACCAUAUCUUGCAGAUCCAACACCCUCCAGUCCCAAUCACGACCACCAGUCGUGGGCAAUACCAAACACGAGAGUUAAGCCUUACUUACAGUUUUGCCAUUGUUUAUAUUUUUAAUUUAAGGAAAAAAAUGAUAAAGAAAGAUUAUCAAAGUUCAUAUUGUCUCCUCAUUUUAUUGGUAAUUUUGAUGAUAUUUUUUACUGGAUAUGACAAUGGAUGAUUUUCUUCAAAAUGUUUCUUUGAAUGUUGUUAUCUCUUAUGCAUUAUUUAGAAAAUGAGGACCCAUAUAAUCAUUUGAAUGAUUUUCAUGCUAUUUGUCAAACAUUUAAAUAUGAGAAUUUUUCAGAUGAUGAUGUUAAACUUAGACUAUUCCCAUUUUCUUUAAAGGAUAGAGCUCGUUCAUGGCUUAAUACAUUGCCUGCUAAUAGCAUUACAUCAUGGGAACAAAUGGUAACUAAAUUUUUGAAUAAAUAUUUCCCAGUGCAUAAAACCAAUGCUAUUCGCAGGGAAAUCUCGGAGUUUACCCAGAGAGAGGACGAACAAUUUUUUGAAACAUGGGAGCGAUUCAAUGGGCUACUCUUGAAGUGUCCACAUCAUGGGUACGAGAAAUGGCACCAAUGCCAAUACUUUUUGGAGGGAUUACUGCCGAAUGUGCAAGAAUGGCUAAUGACAACAAGUGGAGGAGAGAUAAUGUCAAAAAGUGCAUCAGAGAUUUGAGAAUUCUUCUAGCGACAAACGGAUAAUUCCCAACAAUGGAGUCAGUCACUCAGGAAUACUAGAAGAAUUAAGGGAGUAAAUGAGGUUCACAUUGGCGAAUCCAAUUCAGAAAUUAAAGAAGUCAAAACAAUAAUUAAAGGUCUCUCUCGACAAAUAGCAUCGUUAUCGAUUGCUAAAUCAACAGAGCCACAUGACCCUGACUCAUAUCCAGAUCAAGCCAAUGCCAUAGGUGUAAUGAGAAAACCAUCAAAUUACAACCCAUACUCCAACACAUAUAAUCCUGGAAGGAGAGACCACCCCAAUUUUUCAUGGUCUCAAGGAUUCCAACAGAAUGGACCAGUAACUCCAGCUCCACCAAUGCAACAAAUUUCUCAAAUUCCUCAAGCCUCUCAACCACCAUUUAGACCAUACAAUCAGAACCAGAACUAUUUUCAACCCAGACCAUGGGAGGAUUCAUUUCAGAAUCUCAAGAAUCUUACUCACUCCACGAUUGAGCAACAGAAUCGCACCAUUGAUGGACUACGAAAUGAAUUGAGAGCAGGCUUUAACUCACAAGCUCAAUCAGUUUCAAGCCUCGAGAAGAUGGUGGGACAACUUACUUCUUCAGUUCUGACCUUGGCAAUGACUGUUGAGAAAGACAAGUUUCCAAGUCAACCAGUGCUUAAUCCUAAAGGAGUAUAUGAAGCAAGUACCAGUUCACCACAGCAGCAUGGAGAGGUCAAAGCAGUAAUGACAUUGCGAAAAGGAAAGGAAGUCGACAAUAAAGUGGAAAUGCCGGUGACAAAAGUAAAUCAAAUUGUACCUGUAAUUGUUGAUGACUCAUCACCGGAGGAAAAAGAAGAUACCAACCCACGAGAAUAUGUUCCUAAAGCUCCAUUUCCUCAAAGGUUAGCGAAAGGAAAGAAGGGAAAAUCCACAGGUGAGAUUCUUGAAAUCUUCAAACAGGUAAGUGUUAACAUCCCUUUACUUAAUGCUAUAAAGUAAGUUCCAUCUUAUGCCAAGUUUCUUAAAGACCUUUGUACUAAAAAGAGAAAUAUGCAUGUUCAAAAGAAGACAUUUUUAAUAGAAAACGUUAGUUUUAUACUCCAACACAAAAUUUCUCUAAAAUGCAAAGACCCAGGUUCCCCCACUAUCUCAUGUAGUAUAGGGAACCAUACAAUUGAGAAUACUUUGUUGGAUUUAGGAGCUAGUGUAAAUUUGUUGCUUUACUAUGUUUUCGUGAAACUUGGAUUGGGAGAAUUACACCCAACUCCAGUGGUGUUACAACUUGCAGAUCGGUCCACGAAAAUACCUCGUGGUAUUGUGGAGGAUGUACUUAUCCAGGUAGACAAGUUUUAUUUUUCUGUUGAUUUCAUUGUAAUUGACACUCAACCAAUACAGGAUUCAAGGAAGCACAUCCCCAUUAUUCUAGGCCGACCUUUCUUGGCAACUGCGGAUGCUCACAUUCAAUGCAGGACUGGAAAUAUGCAGUUGUCCUUCGGCAACAUGACUAUGGAGCUAAACAUCUUCAACAUUGCCAAACAACCUCACAGUGCAGAUGAUGGAAUUGUUGAUGUGGAUUUAAUAGAGGCACUAGUUGAUGAUACUUUUGUUUCAAACCUUAGUGAUGAUCCUUUACAAACAUGUUUAACUCACUUUGGUUUGGAUUUUGAUAUUGACAGAUCAGUUGAUGAGGUCAACGCACUGCUUGACUCAGCACCAUCCAUGGACACUAAUAAAUGGAAGACAAGAGUUGAACAACUAGCACCAUCAGAGAAGAAACUCAUCCCAUCAUCAGAAUCACCACCGAAACUCGAGCUCAAACCAUUACCCAACACAUUGGAAUAUACGUUUUUGGGAGAAGAAAGUACUCUACCGGUAAUCAUUUCAUCAUCCCUAAAUGAUGAACAAAAAGGUAAGUUGUUGGAUGUUUUGAAAAAGUACAAAAGGCAUUAGAAUGGACCAUAGCAUACAUAAAAGGUAUAAACCCAGUAGACUGCAUGCAUUAUAUUCACCUUGACGAAAAUGCUAAAUCUACUAGGAAAAUGCAACGUCAGUUAAAUCCUAAUAUGAAAGAAGUUGUUAGAACUGAAGUCCUUAAGCUAUUAGAUGCAAAUAUCAUUUACCCAAUUUAUGAUAGUUCAUGGGUCAGUCCUGUACAAGUUUUCCCCAAAAAGUCAGGAGUCACAGUAGUUACGAAUGCUGAUAAUGAAUUGAUACCCACUAGAGUGACUACAGGAUGGCAUGUAUAUAUUGAUUAUAGAAAAUUGAAUUCUGUCACACGUAAAGACCAUUUUCCUUUACCAUUUAUUGAUCAAAUGUUUGAUAGAUUAGCAGAUCAUGAAUUUUAUUACUUUCUAAAUGGCUACUCAGAAUACAAUCAGAUCCCUAUAGCACCAAAAGAUCAAGAGAAGACCACUUUCACUUGCCCUUUUGGCACAUUUGCAUAUAGGAAAAUGUCAUUUGGAUUAUGUAAUGCACCUGCUACAUUUCAACGAUGCAUGUUAAGCAUUUUUUCUGAUAUGGUUGAACGAUUCCUUGAAGUCUUUAUGGAUGACUUUUCUGUCUUUGGUGAUUUGUUUGAUCAAUGUUUACAUCAUCUAACACUAGUUCUGCAGAGAUGUAUCGAGAAGAACUUGGUCUUAAAUUGGGAGAAAUGCUAUUUUAUGGUAAAACAAGGUAUUGUUCUCGGUCACAUCAUUUUAAGCAAAGGUAUUGAGGUUGACAAAGCCAAGGUGGAUCUCAUUUCUAAUCUUCCUCCACCCAAAACAGUCAGAGAAGUAAGAUCUUUCCUUAGGCAUGCUGGUUUCUAUAGACGUUUCAUUAAAGAUUUUAGCAAAAUUUCUAGACCCUUAUGUAAUUUACUUGCUAAGGAUGUACCUUUUAUCUUUGAUGAUUCAUGUCUUAUGGCAUUUAAAACACUAAAGCAGUUGUUGACAUCAUCACCCAUCAUUCAGCCCCCAAACUGGAGCUUACCAUUUGAGCUCAUGUGUGAUGCAUCUGAUUAUGCAGUGCAUCUGAUUAUGCAGUAGGAGCAGUAUUAGGACAAAGAGUUGAUCGAAUUCCCCACGUUAUUUACUAUGCUAGUAUGACAUUGAAUGAUGCAUAGCUGAACUAUUCAACAACUGAAAAAGAAAUGCUAGCAGUAGUGUUUGCAUUAGAGAAAUUUCGAUCUUAUCUCAUUGGUUGUAAAAUAAUUAUAUUUACAGAUAAUGCUGCUCUUAAAUAUCUUCUCACAAAGAAAGAUGCAAAAGUUAGACUAAUUCGUUGGGUGUUACUUUUGCAGGAAUUUGAUUGGAAUUCAAAGAUAAGAAAGGGACAGAAAAUGUUGUGGCGGACCACCUCUCUCGUCUCCAUUUUGACACAAUUACAGAGCCAUUAAUAUUGAAUGAGUCAUUUCUAGAUGAACAAUUAAUGAGUGUGGAAGUAUUACCUUGGUAUGCUGAUAUAGUUAAUUAUCUUGUUACAGGUAAACUUCCAGAGCAUUGGACCAAGCAAGAUAAGGCUAAAUUCUUUGCAGAGAUAAAGAAUUUCUUUUGGGAUGACCCAUAUUUGUUCAAGUAUUGUGCUGAUCAAAUUGUUAGACGAUGUGUCCCAGAAAAUGAAAUUCAGAAUAUUCUUUCAUUCUGCCAUGAACAAGCUUGUGGAAGCCAUUUCAGUGCUAAGAAAACAGCAACUAAAGUUUUAUAAUGUGGUUUUUAUUGGCCAACUAUAUUUUGAGACGCUUACACUUUCUGUUCUUCAUGUGAUAGGUGUCAAUGAAUGGGGAACAUUACACGAAAGAACAUGAUGCCACUAAAUCCAAUUUUAGUGGUUGAGAUUUUUGAUGUAUGGGGUAUCAACUUCAUGGGUCCCUUUCCCCCUUCUUUUGGCCAUCAAUACAUAUUGGUUGCUGUUGACUACGUAUCGAAAUGGAUAGAAACAAUUCCAUGUAGAACCAAUGAUCACAAGGUGGUGAUAGGAUUUUUAAAAAGCAACAUUGUUUCACGCUUUGGAUUCCCUCGAACAAUAAUCAGUGAUGGUGGUGCCCACUUUUGUAACAAAGCAGUCAAAACUCUUUUGACAAAGUAUUCCAUCACACACAAAGUGGCAACCCCAUAUCAUCCGCAAACUAGUGGCCAAGUUAAGAUCUCCAAUCGAGAAAUAAAGGACAUAUUAGAAAAGACGAUGAGGCCAGAUAGAAAAGAUUGGUCAUUAAGACUUGGUGAUGCAUUAUGGGCAUAUAGAACAGCUUUCAAGACCCCGAUUGGGAUGUCACCCUACAGGCUAGUGUAUGAAAAAGCUUGCCACCUACCUGUGGAACUCGAGUAUCGUGCAUAUUGGGCUAUCAAGAAAUUCAACUUUGACAUGCAGCAAGCCAGCUCAGAAAGAAGAUUACAACUGGCAGAACUUGAAGAAAUUCGUAAUGACGCAUACGAAAAUGCCAAGAUUUACAAGCAACGAAUGAAAGUCUUUCAUGACAAGCAAAUUAUGAGAAAAUCUUUCACUCUAGAUCAGAAAGUGCUUUUAUUCAAUUCUCGCUUGCACUUAUUCCCAGGUAAGUUACGCUCUCGAUGGUCUGGUCCCUUUACUGUUCAUACUAUUUUUCUACAUGGGGCAAUUAAAAUUAAGGACCCAAAGAACGAUGUCACGUUUAAAGUUAAUAGUCAAAUAUUAAAGCCAUAUCUAGAAUACCAACCACAUGGAGAAGACACCGAAAUAAAUUUGAGUGACCCACCAAAUUUGAAUUGAUUUUUUUUUCCUUUUUGGUGAUUUGAUUUUUUUUCUUUCUUUAUAUUAUUCUUUUGCUAAUUAAAAUUAUUUUUGCAUAAGUGUUUUUGUUUAACUAUUAAUUUUUCUCUUAUCAUUUUUAAUCAUGAGUACCUUACUUAGACCGUUCCUCCUGAACAUUCUUAAACCACUUCAACGUGUCAAAACUCAUCUCAAAAGGCAGAUUCAAUUUUGUAAAACACAUCGCAUUUGGGCUCUACAACCACCAGAGUUAGUAGCCUAUGUUGAGAAUCUAGAAAGCCAACUCAGAGAUAUUGAGAUAAGUGUUUACGACAUCCAGUUGGAGCUUGAGGUAAAUUCAAUAAGAGAAUGAGUUUAAUUUUCUUUGUGUGUUUUAAUUUGUUUUUCUGUUUGUGUGCUUUAGUUUAUUACCCCGGUGAAGUGGCGGAUAAUGGUACUCCGUGACAAUUAAGUCGGUUACUUCAGUUUCCCAUAAUAACUGAUAUUCUGAGGCGAAGGUAUGGACAGAAACGAGACUCUAGCGAAGCUUCACAAGCGAUUCCCUUUACUUCCUCAAAAUGCCCUCCUUACGAUCUAUAAAGCUCGGUCCGAACGCAUGCGAUUGCUCAUGAGAAAUAACAUACCUGCUGACAUCCGUUGGUUAAUCGAGGCUAAAGUACGAUCGGCAGGUGAGUUACCUCCAAAAUUUAUUGCAUACAUGCCUGGUUGUGGUAAAGGAAAUUAUGCAAGAAAACGACGAGCUCGAAGAAUUUCUAUUGCUUGUCAUAAGUGUGCCAUAAUGAGUUGCAAUAAAAACCCAUGUUCUUUAGGAAUGGUGUCUGAUAACAGGGAAGAUAAGAUUCAAUUCAUUAGGGAUGGCUUGAAUAAGGAGUCAUUGGAUGAUAUCCUUCUGUCUCUUGAAACGCAUCCCAGUGGAUACGUGCAAGGAGCGAUUCUCUAGUUAUGGCCAUUAUUCCAGAAAGAGCAUGCACGAUAUAGUCUCGGGAAUCUGACUAUAAACAACCCUGUUUGCCAGUUUAUAAGAAAACUGGAUAGGAAGCCUAUCCUCCACCCAUAGAGGGCGUUCAAGCCGUUUCUGGACGUAAAACCAGAGGAAGAUGUGAGCCACAAUCGCAACUACCUGUAAAUAUCCUUUUACUUUACUGUUAUUUUAUUUCACUAUUGUUUUAUUGUGUGCAUUAUUGUCUUUAAUAAUUUUAUUACUGUUUUCUUUUUUUCUUAUUACUGUUUGCUUUUUCCUUUUUACUGUUUUCUUUUUUACUUGCGAGCCACGUGCUUUACGCGUUAUUUGACACUGACAUGUUACCUCAUACACAACUAUGACCCACUGUCACCAAGACUCUUAAAUGUGAUUUUUUUUUGUCAAGCACUCACAAAUUAUUUUUUGAGAAGUAUCUCAAUGGCAGCUACUCCCAAUAGACAAUUCAAGAACAUUUGUGUGCUUUCUGGAUUUAACUAUGGCAAACAUAAAGAGUUCGUUGAGGCAGCCAUAGAUCUUGGUCGAAGCAUAGCAGCGAGAAAAUUACACUUGGUAUGUGGAGGAGGUAAUCGAGGGUUAUCAAAAAUGGUCUCAGAAGCAGCUUUUGUCAGAGGAAGUCAAGUGUUAGGCAUCAUCCCAAGAGUCCUAAAACCUUUGGGCAGUUUGUCUGACUCAUCGACUGGAGAAGAGUUAGUCAUCUCAGGUAUGCAAGAAAGAAAAACUAAAAUACUUAAUCAUGCUGAUGCUUUUAUUUUCCUUCCAGGAGAUCUUGCAACACUAGAGGCACUUAUCACACUAGCAUCUUGGGCCCAUCUGCACAUCCACCAGAAAUCCAUCGGUUUGUUAAAUGUCAAUAACUUUUAUGAUGGCUUUAUCGCAUUUCUUAACCAUGCAAUAAAAAACUAUUUCAUUCCCUCUAAUGCAAAAAAAACUUUUUAUUUGUACUCACACUGCUAAUGAGCUAUUUGAUCUGUUACAAGCUUAUAAACCGGAGCCGGACCCAUGGACCUUUGUGUUGGAGCGUCCAAAUAACGAUGGUAACAGUAGCCGCAGUAAGAAGUACAAAUUAGAUUUAACUCUCUGCCUAUAAAUAUUUUCUUCUGUGUUGCACCACCCGGGUGAUGUCUUCUAAACUCUACUUCUUUCCUUUAAAACAUUGAGGACAAUGUUUCGUUCUGGUUGGGGGGAGGGAAUAGUUGACAAUUGUGGAAUCUUGGUUAAGUUUUUACUGAUUUUUUGUUGUAGAAACUAAUUGUUGCUAACUUUUUGUGUUGAAGAUGGCUGAAUAUGGAGUGUAGUGCCUCUAAAAACGCAUCUUCAUCGUUUGAAAAAAAAAUUCAAAAAAAAAAUUCUUUAUUAAGUUUUGAUGUUCAUUUUUAUUCUUCUUUCUCCUUUAUAAAUAUACAUUUUUCUUUAGUGUCUCUAGAAACGUAGCUUCUUAGUUAAAAAAAAAAAUCAUUUUCUUUUUCUAUCAUUUUAAGUAUAACUUUUCUAAUUAGUUUUUCUGCAUCAUAUUCACAUUUCUGCAUGCAUAUUUUCCUUUCAUGCUUAGAAUAGGUUGGGGGAUAGAAUGUUGUUUAAAAAGAAAAAAAAAUGUGUGAUUUGUUUUAACAUUGGAUGACAUAAUUAAUUUCAAAUUUUAGUAUUUGUGUUAUCUUUGGUCUUAAGUGAUGUUACAUUAUGUUUGCUACGCUACAUGUUGAUGUCAGAGACAAAUAUGAGUUGCUUGAAGGAAUGAACAUGUCAUAAUAAGUACCAAGUGAGUUUUUGAGCCUAUUAUUUUUCUUGGAGAGUAACCCUUUUGCCCACUCUUUAUACAGCUUAGCAGUUUAUUAUUUUAUACACGAUCUCUAGAUUUCUUUUGAGUUAACCCUUAAAAAAUUAUAAAAUAAAAUUAAAAAAAAAAGAAAAAAAAUUGUGUUGCUACCUAACUAGUAGAUAUGGAAGAUUAUUUAGAGCCCUAAAAGACGAUGGAAAGGCUAUCUUUGAUCCGUUUGAGCAUUUCUAGCCAUCCCUUUUAUCAAGUAUCCAUAAUUAACCCUUUUGGGCCUUUAAAAAAAAAACUUUUCUUUGUUAAACUUAUCAUCUUGACCUACUCCGAUUUGGAGUAUUACCCAAUAUCUUACAAAUUCCAUCACCUAUUUAUGUUUGAGAAAAAUGUAAAUAAACAUUUUGUACAGUGAAGUUAUGCCUAGUUAAAAAAAAAAAAAAAUUUGUUGUUGCUAAAAAAAAAAAGAAAAAAAUUGUUGUUUCAAAAGAAUAAAAAUAACAAUAAUAGGUGAAAUCCACCUUGCAACUCCCUAAAAAAAAAAAAUUCCUCUGUAUUUUUCUCAAACAUACACUUUGUUUUCCUUAUAUCCCUUCUUUGUUAACCAUGUCCCUAGCCUACGUUACGUCCUAAUAAAAGUCCUUCUUGAUUUUAGGAAACUAUAGUCUGAAGUAUAAGCUAGUUAGAUGGGCUAAAAAGAUGUAGUGAUGCAUAAUUAAAAAAAAAAAAUAAAGUGGGUUGACUAGCAUUUUUGUUUGACUUGAGAUCGUAUUAUUUCUAAGCUGAGGGCAUAUUUAUUUCAUCUUGGUGAGAGCAUGUGAUAUCACUUCUUUAUUAUUUUCUCUCUCAAUUACCAUUCAUUGGAGUGACUAUUUUCAUUAGUUUUAAUUUCUUUGUGAGAGUGUCACUACUUCCAGUGAGAUUUUGGGGUUUGACAUGUCAUUCUUGAAAGUAGCUAUAACAAAGUCUACUGGGCUGAUUCAUGUGGAUGGUUGAUGUGAGUGUGAUGUUACUUUAGACUGGAGAUAAUUCUUAUACUUUUAUUUGAUUGCUAUCAUUAAUCUGAUUGAAUAAACACGAGGGUUUCUAAAAAAAAAUCAUUUUGAAUUUGAAUUUUAUUUUCGCUUUAUUUGCUAGGGACUAGGAAUAAGCUGGUUGGGGGGUGUGUUGAGUGUUAGAAAAUGCAUAUUUAUAAAGGAGAAAAUCGUCAUUUUACAUUUCAAGUCUUACUAACAACCCUUGCUUUUAUGUAUUUAACAUUCUUGUGAUUUAAUUACGUGUGUUUUAUUUUAAUUAAGUAUUUUAUGUACUUUAGGGGCAUCAUGGUCAUUUCACAAUAAACGAGAGAUCAGACGGCAAAACGGACAUCACUUUUGAACUCAGGACGGUCGAAAACCUUAGGAGGAGCAUAAAAGGAAAAAUGACACUAUUCACAUGUACGGUACUAUUCACAUGUACGAUACUAUUCACGUGUACGGUACUGUCUACGUUACUAUUCAUGACACUGUUCACAUAGACGGAUCGAUGACGUGGCAUUGAUCGAUGAUGUGGCAUUGACUGAUUAGGUGUCACGAUUCUGUUAGGCUAAAAUUCUUAUGUACCGUUGAUGGUGAUGUGGCAGCAUAUCAGUGGACGAAAAAUCUCGAGUGCGGUACAUGCAUCACACAGGAUUAUUUUCAACCAAACCGUGUCACUGUUCAUCCGCGUGGUCAAACCGCAUACUGUUGACUGAUGACGUGGCGCAAUCCUGAGCGUCCAAACUGUUUUUAAUCCGAUGGCCAUGAUUUACUCCAUGUAUCUAUAAAAUGAGGGGCUCUCUCCCCUAAUUUGAUAGCUCUGAAUCCAUUUUUGGGAUCCAUUUUUUUGUAAUUCCUUCUCCAUCUUGUAUUUUCUACUUAUUUUAAUAAAUUCCCAUUUUGCCCCUAAUUCAAUUAUGAGUAGCUAAUUUUCUUUCAAGCUUGGGUUGAAGGUAAAGUCUCAACAUGUGUCAUGGGCUUUAUUUGGUAAAUUUACUUUCUCUUCCCCUCUAAUUUUUGUGGAUGAUUUGACUUUUCGUCGAUAAAUAUUACUAAUCUUGUCUAGAUACCGCCCUGAUUUCACCAGCUCCCUAGUACAAGGUUAUUAUUAUUUGACACGAUAAGCCCUUAGCACCAUAUUGAUUAGAGCGUGGUUCAUGAGGUGUGGAUUUCCCUCUCAUGAUUUAAUUGGCAUUAAUAAGGAAUAUUUAGCCCAUGAUGCAUGUUGAUAUAGAUCCAGAUACUCAAGUACGUCAUUUCAAUAGAAUUCUCUUCAAUUUAUUCUCGUCAUUUCAAUUCCAAUUUUAGAAUUUAUUCUCGCCAUUUUAAUUUAAGUUUUAGCAUAUUCCAAAUCAUUUCCACCACAAAUCCAAUUACCCAUUUACAAAAUUAAUUCUACACACAAUUAAAAUCCACCUCCUCGUGGGAUCGACACUCGUCACCAUUGAUCUAUACUACAAUAGAUUCGUGUACUUGCGAGUACAUUAAAAUUUGCACAACAGUAGGUUACCUUAAAACUAGUUAAACUGUGUUGGUAAGGAUAUUAAAACAAAAUGCACUAACAUGUCCUUGAAGAGUUCAAGUUCAAGUGCUCUUAACUGAGAAGUAAGAUGAGACAUCUCUAUAAUGUACUCUCUGAUAUUGUCGCUACUUAUAUACCUCAUUGAAAUGAGACUUGUCAAGAGCGUACCUAUUUCUGCCUUUCGUUCUUAACAAACCAUGUUUUAAUGUCUGCAAGGAACUCCUUAGUCGUAGUUAUCUUUUUAGACAUUAAGACCCUAAAUGCUUCUAGAAUGACCUUCUUCAUGAUCAUUAUACACAUGUGAUUUGGUUUCUCCCACCUUCCAAAUCCUUCUUGUCAUUAAGAGUACUCUUAUCCAUAAAAGGUGGGGGUAAUCAACCCUUAAUGCAAAGUUAGGAUCCAUGACCGUGAGAACAAUUAAGAUGUUUUCUUGCAAUGACUUGAAGUUAGCGUCAUUUAGCAUAGAAAUAAAAUUGAUAUUAGUGGUAAUAUUUACAAGAGUCAUAGCCAAAUCAAAGAGCAACAAAGAAACAAUACAAGCACAUAUAAGUCCUUAAAAAAUAAAUUAAAAGAAGGUAAACUCCAUUUCAAGAUAUCGAACACUUUAUUAAUAUUUCAUCUUUGGACAAAAUAUUAACUUAUAAGUGAUAUUGAUUAACACUAAAAAGUGUACGUGUAAUAAGGAUAAAAUUAUUAGUUUUUCACUUAAAGUGUUGAUUAAUGCGCGCAUAACUUAUAAAUUAUAUAAAUGCUCCACAAAUAUAUUUUUAUAUUAAAUUAAUUCGCUAUAUGUUAAUUUUUAUCUUAUAAAUAUUUUUCAGGAAUAAAUUAGAAUUGAAAGCAGAAACAAAGAAAAACUGUUGGAGCAAUUUGGAAGUAUUAUUGAGCAGAUGUAAAUAAAAUAAAAUAAAAUUAAAAAUGAAAAUGAAUAAAAAAAAACAAAAGAACAAAAGCAAAUAAAUUGGUUCCUCGUGAUGGUCAAGUGGCCAUCACACAUUUCAAAACACUGAUAAUGUAAAUAAUAAUAAUAAAAUAAUAAAUAAAUAAUAAAAUAAAUUAAGUUAAAGCAUUUGUUGCCUAUAAAAAGGAGGCAACUGAGCGGAGGCGAGGGGCGAAGCUAUUUUGAGAAGCUUAAGCCGAUUUCUGUGAGAGAGAGUUGUAACCAAGAGGAAACUAAAGAAUUUCUGUCUUUCUUUCUUUUCUUUUCUUGUUUCCUUUUAUAUCAAUUUUUCUUGUAACAUAUUUCAAAAGUUCAUCAAAUAAAAAGUGUGUUGUGUUUUCUUUUAAUGAGUGGCUAAUUUUAAUAAGGUGAGGUGAAAGGUGAAGCUCAAUGUUUCAAAGUAUUAAAUUUAUUUUUUUCUCAAAUGAGUUUUUAAGUUUAUUUUAUUCUUUUUUAGUUAUUUUUUAUGUCAUGUUAAUUUAUAAAGUUUUUUGGAUCUGUAUGAUAUUUUGACAUAAUGUCAACACAUUAAUAUAGUGUGGCACAUUAGGUACUUUAUUAUAUAUUUAUCUACACACAUAAAAUUAAAUAAUAUAAUAAUUAACUGGUAAAAGUGAAGGCAAAAUAUAAAUGAGAGAGUAUUAAAAUUAUAGUUUAAAUACAGAGAGUAGAUCCCGAACCUUAGCAUAUUUUUAAAUUGAUUUCAAAUAAUUUCUUUUCCCCACAAUUAAUUUUCUUAGUUUUAAAUUGACUACUGGAUUUAAAAUUCCAUGUGGUUCGACCCCGGACUCACCGAGUUAUAUUAUAACUAGACACUCUUAUACUUGGAAGUAAUACAUUUUUGAGUCGUGUCAAGUUUUUGGUGCCGUUGUCGGGGAGUUUUCUAAAUUUGGUAUUAGUUUGUCUUUACUUUAUUUUUAUUUUAUUUUAAUAUUUUUUUGUUUUGCCGUUACCAUUUUUCCGUGAUUCUAAUUUAUUCUCUUUUUGUAACAUUUCAGUUAGCACCCCUCUUCUUUUCAAACCUUAACAUUAUCCAUAAAGUUUGUGAGAAACUUCAUCGUAGCCCAAAAACCUUUGCAAAUCAAUCCCCAAAUCAAAUUUAUUUCUUUAAAUUUCUGCAAUUUACUUUCCGCAUUUAUUUUAAAUGGUCGGUACUGCUAUUUAAAUUUUGUUAAUUUAUGUAUUUUUAUUUAUAUGGUCAGUUCUACCGCCUAGCAUUUUAAUUUCAGUUUAUUUAUUUUUGUGCAUUAAUUUAUUUAAUUUUAUGUUUUAUUAUAUGGCUGGUUUUAAAAUACCGCCUAAACUGUUUCUUUUAAUGGCUGGUUUCACCGCCUAAUUUAUUUAUUUAUUUUCCAAUUUGUUUAUUUUUAUUUCGCAUUUUUUGUUUAUUUAAUUUCCAGUUUAUUUUUAUUUCUGCAAAUUUCAUUUAGCGUUUUUGCAUCAUUAGUUUAGCACACAUCAUUAACAUUACAUGCGUCGUUGGUCUCGUACAAAUAAUGGUAAAUUAAUUAGAAGAUCACCUUCACCAACCUUAGAGAUGGCUGACAUAGGAGCUAAAAAUUUUUCGGAGCACGAAAAUGACCAAGCCUUGCAAAAUCUUCAUGAACAGCCUAGGACCCUUAGAGAUUUCAUGCAUCCUACUAGAACAGGGUCACCAUCAUGCAUAGGUUUCCCUCCUGAUGCAUCACGUUUUAAUUUCAAACCUAGUAUCAUUCAACUUCUUCCUACUUUUCAUGAUUUUGAGUUUGAAAAUUCAUAUUUGCACUUAAAGGAAUUUAAGGAAGUCUAUAACACAUGUAUUGAUCAAAAUUGUAGCAUGAGUAUAAUCAGGCUUAAGUUUUUUCUUUUCUCACAAAAGGAUAAAGCUAAAAUUGGCUACAAAAUCUUAGGUUAGAAUCCAUCAGAACUUUGGGAUGAAAUGCAAGCACAAUUUUUGAAAAAAUUCUUUUCACGCCACAGAACAAAUUCUUUCAAAAGACAAAUCACCACUUUCACUAAACAAUUAGGAGAAACUCUCUACCAAUGUUGGGAUAGGUUUAAAGAACUACUUAACAUUUGCCCACACCACGGUUUUGAAACAUGGAGAUUAGUGUCUUAUUUCUACGAGGGAUUAACAUCCCAAGGUAGACAAGUUGUUGAAAUGAUGUGUAAUGGUGAGUUUAGGGAUAAAAGUCCUGAAGAUGCAUUAGACUAUCUUGACUAUAUAGCAGAGAAUGCACAACACUGGGAUACAAUUGGGUCUUAUGAGUCAUCAAGUAAACCCCAGUCAUCUCCAUCUGGUGGAGGCAUGUAUAACCUUAGGGAAGACCAUGAUUUUCAAGCCAAAUUUGCAUCAUUAACUAGAAAAGUCGAAGCAUUAGAGUUGAAAAAGAAUGAUCAUGUAAAGUCUGUUCAAAAUAUUUCAUGUUAUGUUUGUGAUUCUACUGACCAUUUUACGCAGGACUGUCCAACUUUGCCAGGUCUGAGAGAAAGUUUGCAUGAAUAAUUAAAUGUUGUUGAAAAUUUCAGAAGGCCAAAUUCAAAUCCAUAUUCCUAAACUUACAACUCUGGUAGGAGAAACCACCCAAAUUUCAGUUGGAGAAAUGAUAAUCAUGCACAACCUUCACAACUAGUUCCUCCACGUCAAAAUUUUCAAAACCCCAGAGUUACCCACUAUAUGUCUCACCACCAAGAAACACUAUGAAGACACAUUGCAUUCGUUUAUUGAAAAACAAGAGUCGAUCAAUAACUAAACAAUGCAAACCUUAACCAAUUUGACAGAAACUAUCUCCAAACUUACAUAUGCUUUGACCAUACAUGAAAAAAGAAAGUUUCCUGCUCAACUUGAACCAAACCCCAAGAGUCAACAACAUCCUCAAAUGGGAAAUUCAGGAAACCAAAAUAUGAGUAAAGUUAAAUCGGUUAUAACCCUUCGUGGUGGUAAAGUGGUCGAAAACACAUUAUGGACCCUCGUGAAACUAGUAAAGAUUAAAUUUCAGAAAAUAGAGAAGAGUCCAUCGAACCUUUAAACCAUGAAGAUAUAACCAACUCUCCUCUUGUACCCCCAUUUCCUCAAGCACUGGUCAACCCAAAGAAAUCAAACCACAGUCCAGAAAUUUCUGAAGUUUUUAAACAAGUAAAGGUCAGCAUUCCUUUGCUAGAUGUCAUUAAAUAGGUGCCUUUUUAUACUAAAUUUCUAAAAGAUAUGUGCACAGUGAAAAGGAAACAUAAGGUGCAAAAGAGAGUUUUUCCAGCAGAACAGGUAAGUUCCAUUCUCUCAACCAAUAGUGCUUUGAAAUACAAGGAUCCUAGUUGUCCAACUAUUUCUUGCACUAUUGGGGAUAAAAAAAUUGGACAUGCUUUACUUGAUCUUGGUGUCAAUACUAAUUUGCUUCCUUACUCAGUGUACCAACAACUCAAUCUCGGUGAGUUAAAACUAACUUCUACCACUCUUUUACUUGCUGAUAGAUCGAUUAAGGUUCCAAAAGGAAUAAUUGAAGAUGUAUUAGUCUAGGUCGAUAAAUUCAUAUAUCCUGUGGAUUUUAUUAUUUUGGAAACAAAACAAUUGCUAAUGAAUGCAAACAAAUUCAUGUUAUAUUGGGUCGACCAUUUUUAGCUACUACUAAUGCUUUGAUAAAUUGCAAGAAUAAAUUAAUGAAUUUAUCUUUCGACAACAUGACACUGGAACUCAAUGUACUCAACAUGUGUAAACAACCCCACCACCAAGAAGAUGAUCAUAAUGAGAAUGAGGAUAUUGAUCUCAUCGAGCCAAUCAUUGAGGAACACAUUCAAGAUGAGAAUUUUACAAACUAUGCUGAAAUUUGUUUUGCUGGUUUUUUUGAAUUAAGUAAAGAAUUAAAUUGUGAUAUUGCUAACAUAUGCCCUACACUUGAUUCUAACAGGUACCUAUAGGUGACGAUGACCAAUCGAACUUUGAAGAUACGAUACAACCUGAAGAACCAAACGAAGAGGAAGCACCAGAGCUCGAAUUAAAGCCUUUACUAGAAGAAUUGAAGUAUGCCUAUCUUGGAGGGUAGCAGACAUACCCAGUGGUAAUUUCUUCCCAGCUCACGAAUGAUCAAGAAGAUAAGUUGUUAUCUGUAAUAAAAAGGCAUAGAACUGCAUUUGGUUGGACUUUAAAAGACAUAAAAGCCAUUAAUCCUUUAAUUUGCACAAUCGAAUACACUUAGAGGAAAAUGCUAAAACAACCCAUCAACCACAAAGAAGAUUAAAUCCUCAUAUGAAAAAAGUGGUAAAGAAUAAGGUCCUUAAACUACUAGAUGUAGGAAUUAUCUACCCUAUCUCUGAUAGUAAAUGGGUAAGUGCAACACAAGUAAUACCAAAGAAAUCUGGAAUAACUGUUGUAAAAAAUGAAAAAGGUAAACCAAUCCCAACACGAAUUUCAUCUAGUUGGCGCAUAUGCAUUCAUUACAGCAAAUUAAAUGAUGCCACUAGAAAAGAUCAUUUUUCCCUUCCAUUUCUAAACCAAAUUCUCGAAAGAGUAACUGGACAUCCCUACUACUGCUUUCUUGAUGGCUAUUCUAGCUAUUAUCAAAUCCCUAUAGGCUUAGAAGACCAGGAAAAGACCAUAUUCACAUGCCCAUUUGGAACAUUUGCAUUUAGGAAAAUGCCCUUUGGACUUUGUAAUGCUCCUGCAACAUUUCAAAGGUGCAUGCUAAGCAUUUUUAGUGACAUGGUUGAAAAUUGUCUAGAGGUUUUUAUGGAUGAUUUAACUGUGUUUGAUAAUUCUUUUGAUACAUGUAUUGAUAAUCUAGAAAAAGUUUUGGAAAGGUGCAAAGAAAAAAGAAUAGUUUUAAAUUGGGAAAAAUGUCAUUUCAUGAUCACUUCUGGAAUUGUCUUGGGCAAUGCUGUGUCUUCAAAAGAAAUCGAAGUUGAUAAAGUCAAAGUUGAAGUCAUUUCAAAAUUACCCUCAUAAAAGACAAUUAGAGAAGUCCGUUCUUUUUUAGGACAUGCAGGAUUUUAUAGGAGGUAUAUAAAAGUCUUUAGUGUCUUAUUUGGACCAAUUUGUAACUUCCUAAUAAAAGAUACAUAAUUUGAAUGGACUAAUGAUUGUCAACAAGUUUUUUAAAAAAUAACUACUCUUUUGACAUCAGCCCCAAUAAUGCAACCCCCUGAUUGGUCUUUGCCUUUUUGACUAAUAUGUGAUGCUAGUGGUUAUGCCAUUGGCGUUGUUCUGGGUUAAAGAAAGGAAGGUAAGCCCUUUGUCAUCUAUUAUGCAAGUAGAACUUUGAAUAGUGCUCAAAUGAAUUACACUACAACUAAGAAAUAACUACUUGCUGUAAUAUUUGCAUUAGAUAAAUUUCGUUCAUAUUUAAUUGGUUCAUCCACUAUUGUUUAUUUUGAUCACGCUGCUGUGAGAUAUUUAAUGUCAAAACAGGAUGCCAAACCAAGGUUGAUACAAUGGAUUUUGCUACUUCAAGAAUUUAACUUGACAAUCAAGGACAAAAAGGGCGCUGAAAAUGUUGGUGCAGAUAACCUUUCAAAACUUACGAAUGAGUCUUCAAUUGAAACAACACCCAUCAAUGAUUCUUUCCCUGAUUCUUCAAUUGAAACAACAACUAUCAAUGAUUCUUUCCCUGAUGAAUUUUUAUUUUCUAUAAACAAAAUGCCUUGGUAUGCUAAUAUUAUUAAUUAUCUUGCAAUAGGUGAAAUGCCAUGUGACUGGAGUUCCCAAGUCAAGAGGAAAUUCUUAACCGAAGUGAGAAGCUUUUACUGGGAUGAUCCAUACCUGUUCAAAUACUGCUCUAAUCAAAUUUUUCGAAAAUGCAUACCAGAUGACGAGGUAAGUAGGGUUAGGGAUGGCAAUGGGGAGGGGACCAAUCUCCUCGUACCCAUCCCCGAUAUUUUGCGUAUGUCCCCAUCCCCGUCAGAAUUACUUGAGAGAAUCCUCAUCCCCUCCCCGAAUAAUAACAGGGGAUCCCAGAGGGCCCCCGAUCCCCGAAUAACUAAUACAUUUUUUUUAUUUUCGAUUUUGAGUUAAUCAUAUUAAAAUAAAAAAUUCAAAUAAAAGUAAAGUUUGAAAUAUAUCUUACAUCAAUAUCCAUUACAAAAGUCACAUACAUUAAAUUAGUAAGUAACGCAACAUGCAAGAGAUACAAACUUCUUUUACAAACUAUCAUGAACAAAUUAAUAGUCUAAUACAAAAUUGUUACAAAUAAAAUCGAAUUUAGAUUCAAAAUUAACUUUUUCAAUGGUGGCGUGGGCACUUUAUAAAUGUGAAUUAUUCCCUUUACAACACAAUAGUUAAAUCAGAGCAAAUCAAGAACAAAUAUUAGAUUAGAUUAGAUUAGAUAUUAAAAUUGUGAUUCGCUGUAGGCAAUUAUAACAUCUAAAAAUAAAUAAAUAAUAGAUUUAAGUUGAAAAUAUUUAAAGAAUGUUAAAAUUAAAAAAAAAUUGGGUUAAUAGAAUCUACUCGGUCUUUUUAAUGUCCUAAAUAAAAAUUUAGGACUUUAAUUAGUUACUUAGGCCUAAAAGUUUAAUAAUAUAAAUAUUUUGAUAUUUUUAUUUUUACCAAUAUUUAUAAUUUUAUAAUUUAAAUUAUAUUAUUUAUUUACUAGUAAUUUAAAAAAAUUAAAAUAAAAUUAAAAAUUAAAAUGGGGAAAUGGAUAGGGGAUGUGGAUUCCACCUCAUCCCCGCCCCCUCCCCGAAUAAGAAAUUGGGUAAAAAAAUUUCUCCGUCCCUUCCCCGAAUAAGAAAUUGGGUAUGAAAUUAUCCCCAUACCCUCCCCGAAUGGGGAAAAUCCCCGAGGGUACCCGUCCCCGUGGGGAUUUUUGCCAUCACUAAGUAGGGUCAUUCAAUUUUGUCAUUCUGAAGCAUGCAGUGGCCUUUUUUUUUUUUUCAAAAAAGACAGCUGCAAAAAUAUUGCAGUGUGAAUUUUAUUGGCCUACAUUAUUUAAAUAUUCACAUGCAUUCUGUAAAAUGUGUAAGAAUUGUCAAAUGGUAGGGUCUAUUUGAAAGCGAAACAUGAUGUCUUUAAACUCCAUCCUUGACAUUGAAAUAUUUGACUGUUAUGGAAUUGAUUUUAUGGGCCCUUUUCCAUCAUCAUUUGUAUUUGUAUACAUUUUGGUUGAUGUUGACUAUGUUUCAAAAUGGAUCAAAGCGAUUCCUUGUCGGCACAAUGAUCACAAGAUUGUGAUCCGCUUUUUAAAAGAAAACAUUUUGAGCAGAUUUGGAAUACCUCGAGCCAUUAUCAGUGAUGGAGGUAAGCAUUUUUGUAAUAACCCAUUUGAGUCCUUAAUGAAUAAAUAUGGAAUUACACAUAAGGUUGCUACCCCUUAUCACCCUCAAACAAGUGGUGAAGUUGAAUUAGCAAAUAGGGAGAUAAAACAAAUCUUAGAAAAGACAGUUAAUCCAAACCAUGAAGAUUGGUCUCUUCGACUAAUUGAUGCACUUUGGGCAUAUUGUACUGCUUUUAAUACUUCUUUAGAAAUGUCACCUUAUCGGCUUGUUUAUGGAAAAUCUUGCCACUUACCAGUAGAACUUGAACAUAAAUCAUUUUGGGCCAUUAAAGCUUUUAAUUCAAAUCUUAAUAAUGAUGGCAAUGUGCUUAAAUUGCAAAUAAAUGAACUUGAAGAAUUAAGGAAUGAUGCAUAUGAGAAUUCCAUAAUUAUUAAGGAAAGAACCAAAUUUUUUCAUGACAAAAGAAUUUUUCAGAAAACAUUAAUUGGUCAAAAAAUGUUGCUUUAUAAUUCUCGUCUUCAUUUAUUUUCAGGGAAGUUAAAGUCAAAGUAGAAUGGUCCAUUUGUUGUAAAAAAUGUGUAUCCAUAUGGAGCCGUAGAAAUUAAGAAUUAAAAGGAUGGUGUCACAUUUAAAGUUAAUGGCCAAAGAUUGAAAUCAUAUCUAGAAUACCAAUAACGUAAAGCAGAUACCGAAAUCAAUUUGAGUGACCCACUAAAAUUUUGAUUAAGCCUUUUCCUUUUAACUUUUUGUAAAUUUGAUUUACUGUUACUUUAUCAUUUGAAUUAUUUGAUUUUUUUCUUUUUCCUUUUCCCUAUGUCUUGAAUGGAGUGUAUUGCAUUGUUUUAAGAGUAAUGAUACAGCCACAAACUCUUGUACAAACUUAUUUUGUACAAACUGAUGUGGCAUUAAUUCAUUGGUUGAAUGAAAAUAUAAAUUAAUAAAAACAAAUCAUGUGGGCCAAGUGAUAUUAAUUCAACCAAUCUUAUCAUGCCACAUUAGUUUGUACAAAAUAAGUUUGUACAGGAGUUUGUGGCUGUAUCAUUACUCUUGUUUUAAUUGUGUGUUGUUUGACAAUUGUGAUUUAGCUCACCAAAUUUUUAUACUUGUCAUGAGUACCUCCAUGAGAAAUUUCCUUUUCGAUCAUCUUAAAACAUUUUUUCAUGUAAAAUUUCACCUGAGGAAAUUGCUCCAAUUUUGUAAAUUACAUCCCAUUCGGAAUCUGCAACCACCAGAGUUAGUAUUUCACGUGAAAAAUUUAGAAAGACAACUCAAGGAAAUGGAGGAUGGUAUUUAUAAUCUACAAUUGGAACUGGAUUCAAUAAAAGGACGAAUGUGAGUUAUAUUCAUUGUUUGUUUUUUGUUUUAUUUUGUUGUUCUUCUUCACUUUUGAUUUGAUUUUGCAGAUUUGAUUUUUUUUUUAUUCAUUGUCCCGUAUAAAUGGCGGAUAACGGUACUCCGUGACUUUUUAAGUCAGUACACUUAGUUUCCCACAAUAACUGAAACCUCAAUGUCAAGCAUGGAAGAAAUACAACAAAAUUUGCAUAAAUAUUUUCUUUCUCUCCCUCAAAAUGCUCUUAAGAAGAUUUACAAAGCUCGUUGUGAACGACUGCAUUUGUUAAUGAUCAAUGGGAUUCCUGCUGACAUUUGUUGGUUAAUGAAAGCAAAGGUUCGACUGGCAGGUGAGUUUUCUAAUCUAUUUAUUUCCUACACACCUGGUUUUGGUAAAAGUACAUUUGCUAAGAAAAGAAGAGAUCAACGAUUUGGCUCUGAAUGUUCUCACUGUGUAAGACUUUCUUGCAAAAAGCCACGUUGUAAAACUUUAGGAAUAAUUUCUAUAAUAUUUGUGUGCUUUUUGGAUUUCGCUAUGGAAAGUAUAAAGUGUUCGUUCAGGCAGCCGUAGAUCUUGGUCAUGCUAUAGCAGAGAAGAAACUACAUCUUGUAUAUGGAGGAGGUGACUGAGGGUUAUCAAAACUUGUCUCUGAAGCUGCUUUCGUUCGAGGAAGCCAAGUGCUAGGCAUUAUUCCAAAAGCCUUAAAACCUUUAGGAUGUUUACCAGACUCACCAACUGGAGAAGAGUUAGUUGUCUCAAGUAUGCAAGAAAGAAUAUCUGAAAUGUUAAAUCAUGAUGACACUUUCAUUUUCUUGCCAGGAGACCUUGCAACUUUGGAAGCACUAAUUACAUUUGCUUCUUGGGCCCAUUUGAAUAUCCAUAAAAAACCCAUCGGUUUGUUAAAUGUUAAUAACUUUUAUUAUGGCUUAAUAACUAUUAGUUAAUUUUAUAAUCAAAUGCUACUGAUGCCAAUGUGCAAGUAUACAUAACAAGUAAUAAAAUAAUGAAUAUUCAAGAUCGUCUCCACAAGGAUUGAUGUCACUUGAAAUGCUAUAGCAAUCACAAUAGUGCAAACUAACUUUAGUCCGAAGUUAACAAAUGUAAACUAGGCUCUAUCGAAAUUGAUGAUUGUGGGAGAAUAAACUAAAAAAAUACCGUAAUGAAAUAAACUAAAUUAAAUACGUCUAAGAUUCAAUUGAAUGAUCAAACUCUCCUUAUGGGCUGAUUGCUUUUCAUCAAGUUAACACCAGUUGUUAGAGCAAGUGCUGCAGCACUGGGCAGAAUUAAUCUGCAUCCUCAGCUGUCACGUAUUGGAACUCUCAUACCCUUAAAUAUAUUAGCAAUGACCAGUUGCUAUUCUACUUAUGAUAUGGCCUUAUAACCCUUUAAUCUCUCCACCUUACAAGGUGAGUACCUAUGUCUAGUGUGUCACAAAUCUUAACUUCAAGUAUAGCCCUUAUUAGAUUCAAGAUAACUUAAUCCAGGAAACUUAAAUUAAGAUCAAGUAAUACUCUAAUAAUAUCCGCUAAGAUGUGCUCUUUUGCGGCUCUAUCUUAACUUGAACUAUUAAAUGGGUGGUCAACUGAAAUAAUAACUACUAGAGUAAAAUGCUACAGCAAUGACAUAACAACACAUAAGAACAAUCAAGAACCCAUUAGAUUGUUUGUCACUCAACUACAAGCAAAUCUAGUUCAUAUUCUGAAUGAGAAAAACAAACAUCAAUAUAUUCUUCACGGGAUACAUCAGAACGAUCAAAGAAAGAAGAAAAAUAUAAGUUGAGAACGGCAAAAUGCAAAUCCACAUAACUCUGCAGGUUUCCUGAAUGCUCCUGAAGCCGUCCUCUUCAAGCCUGAUCUUCUUCUCCCGUUUUCUCUAAUGUAUUAAUGAUAAUUCCUUUUGCCGCCGUUUUAUGUGGCCUCCCUUUUGUACUGCAAACUAGGAUAAAUAAAAGUCUGUGGGCGUGCAUGAGUUAAAUUAGGAAACACACAGAUCGCAAAUCUGCAGUUGACUCGCGCUUAAGUUUUGUCCCUUAGUGCUCUCAGAUUGCUACAACACUGGUUGCUCUAACAAUAGCUACAACACUACACUGUUCCUGAUUGUGCUUUCUUCUUUUGCUGUCAUCUUCUUUCCUCCUCUUGCUAGUCUAAUGUCUCAGCAUCCCUUCAUGAAUUAAGAAUUUCUGAAAACCUAUAAUUAUGCACAUGUUUUGAGCAUAAAUUAAUUUGAUUCAACUAAAAUUUAUUAAGGCUUAACUAAAAUGAAUGUUUAUGCAAAAUAUAACCAAAAUGUAAUAAAAACACCUUAUUCGCUCUCUAAAUGAUUUUGAUUUAUGUUUAGAAUUGAUGUAAUAACUCCCAUUUCAUAGAUUUAUCACACCCCCAAACUUAAACCUUUACUUGUCCUCAAGUAAUGACAACAUACUAACACUUCACGCAAACAAUCAUGCAACACAACUUUAGCUCUUUUAUCAAAUUUAUAAGGAUUCUUCCACCUUUAGAUCACAAUCCCAAUCAUAGAAAGUGAUCAUAGUAAAUCAGUUCUAGACUUAAGCUUCCUUCUGUCCACAACGUGUGUGUGAUACUUUGAUUGAAUUCCAGAAAUGCUAUAACAUCACCAAGAGAUUGCAUGUAAUUCAGCAGUAACAAAAUUUCAUUCAUAUAUGGGGUAGCAUAAAUUUCACAUACUCAAACUGUGCUGAUUUUAAGAUUGAAAACUUGAGAGUAUUCAACCUCCUUAGUUCAAUAUUUAUUUUUCAUGUGCAUGUCAAUCAAUUGUAAUGAUGACACUUAAUUACUCAAACCUUGCACAGAUCAAAGUUGUUGUAUCAAUAUCUGUAAUAUAAUCUUAUCUAGAGAUAUCUUUUACUCAAGGCUGAACAUGGGGCUCAUGAACAUACUUGGCUACUCAAUGCCUUAGACAGAGGACUUUCUUGUAUUAUUGUCUUACUUUUUUUUUAACACAAAAUGCUACAACAUUGCUUAUAACUCUUGUUACCUUUGAACAUAACUCUGCAUAUGGGGUAAAUACUCAAAUUUGGUUACUCGGCAACUUGAGCUAUUGGAACAGAGUUUAUUUCAUAGAUAUCACAGUCAAUCAAACUUGCUUUUCUCCCCAAACUUAAGAUCUUUUCUAUUCUUUUGGCUCUGCUCUAGCAAUCUCAUACAACUCAACAAAAGUCUAAGUGUCGGGACAGAAUUUCUACCUCCAUCUAUAACUAUCUCUACUUGGCAUCUCACAAAUACUGAAUAACACUCAAUUUAUCUUCAUUAGGUUUUCAAAUCCAUACACAAAUAUUAGAUAACAGAGCUUAACACAACACACAACACAAGCAUAAACACAUGUACUCAGAAACACAACCCCCCCAAAUUUGAGAGGUGAUGUGUCCUCACAAGCAUAUACAACGAAGUCACUCAAUUUGACAAGGACAUGGAAGACAUUAGAAAAUACCACACAAAUUGAAAAACAUAAUGAAAGAAAAGUUUUUUUUUACUAUGAAAUAGAUUGGCUAGCAAGAAGGGAAUACUUCCAUGUGGUUGGUAUUGCUGCAACAUUACGGGAUGAUAUCAGUGCUUCUUGGAUGCACUGCACAGCUUACCAUUUCGUUAAACUUGUGGGGAAGUAGCUGACAACAUUUUUGUCUUUUUCUUUACUGGGCUGGUGAAAGGAGUUGCGACUGGGGUAGCUUGCAUGGUUAACACCGAUCUGGUCUGUUUUGGUUCUGUCGAGGCUGCUGUGACAGUGCCUCUAGAAGUACUGCCCUUUCUUUUGCUAGAUUGUCGCGGACUAAUACAAACAGGUUGGCCAGGAGUUUGUUGUGGAGGAGUUGGGGUUGAUGCAUUAGCUACUUGUCCCUCAGCUGUGAUGGAAGUAAUGAUAUCAAGUAGUUGUUUGGCUUCUACGGGUGUAUGUGUAACUUUGGUUGCUACAGCAGCCAACUCUACAUCGAUUUGCUCCAUUUCGUCUUCAGAGGCUGGAGGUGUUGCUAGUUUUUCCUUGCCCUUUCUCGAAAGAACUGGAAUAGGGAGCUCCUCUUCAGGUUUCUCAUCUUUCUCUUCUUGGAUAAUGUGCCUUUUCCUAUUUUUGGAAUGGGUCUUAAUUGAGGUUCCUCACGUUCUUUCUCAUAAUCGUCCUCUGCCUCUGUGGGUGAGCUGUUAGUCACAGACUUGUCACCUUCUUCCUUAGGUUGAUCAGAUGGUUCAAAAUCUUCUGAUUUUACCUCAACUUGUGGUUCAUCUAUGGCAUUGGCUUCUUCACUAUAUUCUGCUGGAGCACCUGUGGUGUUGGAGUCAAAAUUGUACUGCUGGAGCAAUGAAUCAGAGAAAUUUCGAUGAGUGCUUUUCAUGUAAAGAGCGAAUUGGUGCAGUUGGUUGUCCAAGUAUUGUAGAUAGUUCCAAAACCGAUCAUUUUCUCUCUGCUAAGCCUCAGCAUAUUGAUUUAUACUAGUGCUUAAUGCCUGGAUUGUCUGUUCUAAACCAAUAGCUCGUCUUGCUCCUAUUACAACAGCUGGUUCAGUUGUCGUUCCAGCACUCUCACCAGCAAUUCUCUCAAUGGUACGUGCAAUAAGGGCAACAUCAUUCUUAACACGUUCAUCUUUCGCGUUAAGACAAACACCAGAUACUACACAAAUGCUGGUGAUGAGUGAAGAAAAUAGCAACGCAGCAGCUUUGUGAUUCUUUACGGCACAAUCUUUGAUUUCUUUUUCGAUGAUGCUGCCCACAUCUAUGGGAAGCCCUCGAACAAUGGCAUAUAACAACACCAACCUUUCUUGUGAAACCGUAGUUGUGUGAGUAGUUGGCAUAAGCCUAGAUUUCAGAAAUUUCAUCUAUACCUUAACAAUAGGUUUCAAAUCUAUCCUAUUAACUACACGCCCUUCCUCAUUAGCCCAUGAUGCCCCUUCUAUUAUAAGAGUUGUGAAUAUGGUGUUCCAUUUUUUCGGGGUCAAUUUAUCAAGCAACUUGGCAUAGUCACAAUUAAUUUCAGCAGGUAAAUUAUAAAAAGCAUUUAUAACUCCGGAGUAUAAUGGAACAAGUUUGUUUCUUACCCAGAUGUUGUGCUGAUCAGGGCUUACCAAAUUGGCAUAAAAUUCCUUGACUACUGGUAGUAUAGGAUCUCGAGGGUAGGUGCAAAACUCUAACCAUCCACGCUUUGCUGUAGCAUUGUGUAUUGUUUGCACAAUUCCGGUGAGUUGUUCUGGAAAUUGAAACCCUUUUUUCUUCCAGAAUCUUACACGUUUAAAUGAAUUCUUCAUAUUUUUCUUCGGCGUGGUAACUCUGGAAGCGUGAAGGAUCUUUGAAGCAGCUGGCUGUUUUCUUAUACCUUGGCAUUGCUAUAGCAGUAACAAAUUGAGGCUAAUAUCCCUGAGAGUAAAAUGAGAAGAUGAUGGUAAGAAUUAUUAGAGUUGUGCUUGCGAAGGAGAGGGGGAAUAGUGCCGUAGGUCACUACGCACAGUGAUUCCCUUUUAUAGUUGAAUUUAAGUGAAGAUAAAUCCGGUAAAUAAAGAUAAAUUAGGGAAGAAAAUAUUUUGACUAUAAUGAGUAUAUCCCAAAAACAUAGGCCAGCGAAAUUAAUGCAUUAAUUUAGGAGAUUUUUUCUCAAUUGCUAUCCAAAUCCAUGCAUCCAUCUAUCAUAAUUUAUCUCCAACGGUAAGUGAAAAGCUCUAAUUUUUAAUUUACUGUAACAGUGGUUGUUGCAGCACCCAUUUGCUUGCUCUAGCAACGGUUACAUACUCCACUCCAAUACCCUCUGACACAUGGUUUGCCUCUGCACUCUGUCACCAUACAACCUCACUUGUCAAAAUGGAAUUUAAUUGCCACACAUACUUCCUAUGAAAACUAAGACCAAUUCUAAAAAUAAUUAAAAAUAAAGAGAUCAAAUGAUAGCAAAAGUAAAGAGUUCAAUAAUGUGAAAGGAUAAAACUAAAUAACUAGAAUUAAAGAAUAAAAUUAAAUAAAAUAGAAGAGAGGAAGAACCGUUAACAAAACCCAGAGAAGAUCAAGCUUGGUUUGAGGUGGCUAUCUCCACAAUGGGUUGCCUCCCAUUGAGCACUUGAUUUAAGGUCCUUCAGCUUGACCUUCUUGAACUGCUCAGUAGCUGGGUUCUUUAAGGAGUAAAACCUCCUUUGAACAAUCUGCCGCUUGGUGUAUGUAAUGCUUAACCUUGUGUCUAUUAACUUUAAAUUCUUGACUUGUUUGUUCAUCAAGAAGAUCAACGGCCCCAUGAGGAUAAAAUUUUAACAACUUAAAAGGUCCAGAUCAGACCAUUGUGAUUUUUGUUUUCCUGAAAAUAAUCUUAGUCUUGUAUUGUGGAGCGGCACUAAUUGACUAGGGCUGAAUUGCAUGUUUUGAAUAUGCUUGUCGUGCUAGUGUUUUGUCCUCUCUUUAUAGAUUCUUGCAGUUUCUUAUGAAAAUAGUCGUAAUUCAUCAAGCUCACAAAGUUGAAGCUUCAUUUGCUCUGCUGCAGCAUGAAUAUCCAAAUUUAAUUGCUUCAGUGCCCAGUGUGGUUUAUACUCUAGCUCUAAUGGCAAAUGACAAGCCUUCCCAUAAAUAAUUCGGUAAGGAGACAUGCCAAGUGGAGUUUUGUAUGCUGUUCUGUAGGCCUAUAGGGAGUCAUGUAACUGCAAAGACCAACCCUUCCUUGUUGGGAUCACUACUUUUUCUAAGAUCUUUUUAAUUUCUUUGUUGGACACUUCAGCCUGACCAUUGGAUUGUGGGUGAUAUGUUGUUGCUACCUUAUGUCUGACUCUAUAUUUUACUAUAGGUGCAGCAAAGACUUUGUUGCAAAAAUGAGUACCCUCAUCACUAAUAAUUGGUCUAAGAGUGCCAAAUCUGGAAAAAAUAUUUUUUUGAAGAAAACCACCACCGUUUUAGCAUCAUUGGUUGGUAAUGCUGCAACUUCUACCCACUUGGAGACAUAAUCCACAGCGACAAGGAUAUAAAAGUUCCCAAAGGAUGGUGGAAAAGAUCCCAUGAAAUCUAUUCCCCAGACAUAAAAAAUUUCCACUUCCAGAAUGUUGGUCAAUGACAUUUCAUGUCUUUCAGUUAUGUUCCCUGUCCUUUGACACCUGUCACAACAUUUAACAAAUUCAUAAGCAUCUUUAAAAAUAAUAGGCUAGUAAUAACCUUAUUGCAGAACUUUAACAUAAGUUCUGUGACCACCAAAAUGUCCUCCAUACACUGCAGCAUGGCAUGACUGUAGUAUGUGGGGAAUUUCUCCUUCUGAAGCACAUCUUCGUAUUACUUGAUCUGAGCAUAACUUAUAUAAAUGUGGGUCAUCCCACUGAUAACUUCUAACAUCAUGAAGAAAUUUCUUUUUCUUCUGAAACUUCAGCUCAGGUGGUAGCAACCCAUUUACUAAGUAGUUAGCAAAAUCUGCAUACCAUGGUGAUCUUGAUUGUUGCAACACCUGUGUUUGCUGUACUGCCAACAACUGUUCAUCAGGAAAAGUUUCAAUGAUGUCCCUCCUUGUCAAUGUACUUGUGUCUGCUUCCAGCUGUGACAGGUGGUCUGCUACUUGAUUCUCAGUCCCCUUUCUAUCUUUAAUUUUCAGAUCAAAUUCCUGAAGUAAUAAGAUCCAUCUGAUUAAUCUUAGUUUGGCAUCCUUCUUUGAAAUUAAGAAUUUAAUGGCUGCAUGGUCUGUGUAUGCAAUCACUUUAGUACCCAGCAAGUAAGCUAUGAAUUGAUCAAAAGCAAAUACUACUGUUAGCAACUCUUUCUCUGUAGUGCUGUAAUUGAUUUGAGUUUGAGUAAGAGUUUUGCUUACAUAGUAAAUGGAGUGAAAAACCUUAUCCUUUCUUUGCCCUAAUACUGCUCUCACAAAAUAAUCACUAGCAUCAUACAUCAGUUCAAAUGGUAGAGUCUAGUCUGGAGAUAUAACCACUGGUGCAGUGAUCAGAGCUUUCUCUAAUUCUCCAAAUGCUUGGAGACAACCUUUAUCAAAGUGAAAAGGUUUGUCAUGUUCCAGCAAUGAGCAUAAUGGUUUAGCUACCAUGGAGAAAUCCUUAAUGAAUCUUCUGUAAAAUCCAACAUGACCCAAAAAACUCCUAAUACCCUUCAUUGAAGUGGGGGGUGGCAGUUUAUCAAUUACCUCUAUCUUGACUUUGUCUACCUCAAUGCCUUUCUUGGACACCUUAUGACCCAACAUUAUUCCUUCUUGCACCAUGAAAUGUGACUUUUCCCAAUUGAGUACUAAGUUAGUCAUCUCACAUCUUUUAAGAACUUUUUCCAAGUUGUAUAAACAAUCAUUGUAUGUCUCUCCAAAAACUGAGGAGUCAUCCAUGAAAACUUCUAAAGUCUGCUCUACCAUAUCAGAAAAAAUAGACAUCAUGCAUAUCUGAAAGGUUACUAGAGCAUUGCACAAACCAAAGGGCAUUCUUCUGAAGGCAAAUGUUCCAUAAGGACAGGUAAAUGUAGUAUUCUCCUGAUCCUCUUGAGCUAUAGCAAUUUGGUUGUAACCUGAAUACCCAUCUAGGAAACAAUAGUACUGUUUUCCAGCAAGUCUGUCCAACAUCUAAUCUAUGAAUGGGAGUGGGAAGUGAUAUUUUUUUGUGGCUUUGUUGAGCUUCCUGUGAUCCAUACAUACUCUCCAUCCAGUCAAUUUUGAAACAAUCCAUAGUAACAUGGUGAGAUGCAAGCCAAUCCAUGCCCAAAAUGGCAUCGAAAUCUCGAAUGUUUAAAAUAAUUAAAUUUGCCACAAAUUCAUGCUCACCAAAUCUAAUCAUACAAUCUCGAUACACACUCUCGCCAAGCAGUGACCCUCCAGUAAGUGUACUAACAACUAAACCAUAAUUCAGCUAUUCAGGCUCUCUCUCUAUAUGCAUAACAAAAGUACGAGAAACAAAAGAAUGCGUGGAUCCAGGAUCAAUAAGAAUAUAAGCAUCAUGGCCAAAGAUAGAUAAUGUACCCAUAAUAACUUCUGGUGUAACACGAGCCUCUUGUUGUGUCAAGUCAAAGACUCGAGCCUGAGUACGAGGUCGACCAAGUUGACCUCUUUGACUUGAAACAGUGGCAUGACUACCAGAUAUGGAACCCCGUGUCUGCAUACCCCUUUGACCCUGAGCUGGUCCAAAGUGAGAUUCAUACUGUAGGGCUGUCCCUCGAGCAGAACUGUCACCCUAAGAUAAAGUGGGGCAGAAUCUCUUAAUAUGUCUAGGUUGCCCACAUAAAUAACACACCUUGUCUCCAAUACGGCAUUGGCCUUGAUGGUUCCUACCACACGAAGGGCAAGAGGUCUGUUGUAUACUACUACGGUGUCCUCCGCUAUUUCUGUCAUAUUGUCCCUGAGUUCUAACAUUACUCCCCACUGAUGGUUGUACUGAACUGUGACUAACAGCCUGUCUUUGAUCUCUCGUGAAGCCCGUACUCUGACUCUUUUGGACGCCAGCAAAGUAAUUUGUAUGGGAGCCUCUCUUCAAUGGCCUACUACUCGAACCACCGUCUGUCCAACUCUGACUACGUUUUUGUUUCAGUGCUUGAACUCUGCGUCCCUCUGAAAUACUAUGAUGUACUCUUCGGGCUGCCUCAACUACCUCUCCAACCUCAGUAUAUCGCGAUGCGGUCAUGGUGAUGUGAAUCUCAAAUCGAAGAACCUCCUCAAACCGUCUGCAUCUCUCUCUCUCAUCACCAACUACAGAUGUAGUAAAUCUAGAGAGGUCCAAAAGUUUCUUUUCAUACUCCCCAACUGUCAUAGAUCCUUGAACCAACCAAAGGAAUUCACUCCGCUUAAUAUCCUAAUACACAGCUGGAAAAUAAUGAUCGUAGAAUUCCUUACGGAAAAUAGCCCAUGUAAGCGCAACAUGUCCUUAGUAUCUACGUUCCACUAUUUUCCACUAAUGAUAAGCCCUAUCCCCGAGUAAAAAAGUGGCAAUUGAAAGUCUAUCAUCAUCUGAGCAUCUCAUUACACAAAAAUAUGUUCUAAUUUAACAAGCCACGACUCUGCCUCAGGUGGAUCUCCAGAACCAUUAAAACUCUUUGCCCUUAAACUUCGUACACGCUCGAUAGUAUUUACAUGACCGACGUGCGGAUGAGUCUGAUUCUGUACCACUAUAGCCACAAUCUGAGCUAGUCUAUCAAUUGACUGCUCAAUGUUCGUAGCAUUUCCCAGUCCCUGUUGUACAACCUCAUGUGUUGAAGACUCAACUAUUCCCUCGUUUAUGGGAUCACUUUCCCCUGCAGGUACAUCUUCUGCAGUCAACCCAACUACUAGACUAGUACAGCCACGGCCACGUCCGCGCCCCAACUGAAACGACCCGCCCCGAAUCCCCAGGACGAAUCUAUCUAAUCUCGCCUAAUCGAAUUAAUAAUAGUUUUGAUAUCUAAGAAUUCUAUCAAAAAUUCGACAGAGUCUCCUAUAUAAUUAUGACAUCCCCAAACCUACAAUUUAUUCAAUUAACACUCCCAAAAAUAAUACAAUAUCUAAUCAACCUCCACAACCAACUUCCUCAAUUUAAAUAUCAGUAUCCUUCAAACAUAUAAUGUCAAGAAUACAAUAAUUUAUCCUUAAUCACAAAUAAGUAAUAAAUUAUACAAUUCAAAAUAUCCCAACAAAACAUCUAUGAUUCCUAACACCAUCACGUGGCUAUAAUUUCAAUCUAACCAUCGUUGCUGGGUUAACUGUUGUACAAAUCUCCUGUGGGGGGGGGGGGGGGGGGGGGAAAAAAAAAAAAAAGGGGGGGACAUAAAAACCCAAGAAACCCCGGGGGGGGAAAAAGGUUUUUAAAAAAAAAAAUUUUUUUAAAAGAAUUUAACCUUUUCCAAAUAAUUUUCUUUAAAAAUCCAAAAAACCUUACUAAACCUUUUUUAUUUCAAACCUACCCCGGAAUUACCAAAUUACAUAAAUCUGCAUAAAAUCAAUGAAAUCUUAAUACUUAUGAUAUCAAAUACUGAAUACCAAAAAUUAUCACCAAACAAAUACCUAAGGGAAUAAUCUCAUCAUAUCCGGACCUCAAUGGACGAGUAAUCAUGGAACCGUCAUGCCCCGGAGCUACAACGGAUAGACAGGAAAAUGUCAUCUCAUAUCUCAUGUAUCUCAACAUCUGUAUCUAUGUAAUCAUCAUACUGCAUGCAUAAGCCCCCAAAAGGCAAAAGCGCCCAAACACAUGGCCCAAAGCCUCUACGUGUGUUCAGACGGGCCUCAAAGGCCUCUCAUCUCAUAUCAUAUGUAUCAUUGUAUUCAUCUCAUAUUAUCUGUAUCUUUGUAUCUGAAGGGGAAGGGUAUUGUCCAAUGAUUUUCCAAACAACCUUUUAUACACAUGUACAUAAACAUAUAAUCACAUCUAAAAUCUCAUUUCCUUUUUUUUCAACAUAUCUCAAAUCCACUCAAUUCUAAUAUCAUGCAUUUACUCAAAAAAUGAUAAUAAAAUCAUUAAUCAAACUCAUUUUCAAUAAUAAUAAAUAUUAGCACAUAGAAUAAAAAUCAAUUUUCUAGAAAAUCAUUAAAUCGAAGCAUUAAAUACUUAUUAUCAAAACAUGUUGUACUAUAUGGUAAAAUCAGAAUAUACUAUGAAAAUAGGUUUUAUAUAUUCCACUCACAAUGACGAUGUCGAGACUCGGUAGCACCAACGUCCGUGGGUUGAUUUUGGCUCACAGGUCCUCCUAAUUAAAUAAACGACAUAAUGAUUAUCUGUAUCAUGAAAUACGACUGAUAGUACGAAAUAAAGCUCAAAACCAAACUCCCGAAUACAUAAAAUUUCAAAAUUACCAUUAUGUCCAAAAAUUACCAAAAUGCCAUUGACACCGAAAUUUACCGAAUUACCAUCGGAAUCAUAAUUUAUCGAAUCAUCCUCAAUAUCUUAAAUUGCCAAAUUGUCCUCAUUUCGGAUAACAAAAUUAAUCACAAGUUUUGAAUUUACGAAAUUACCCUCGAAUUGCGAAAUUACCAAAAUGCCCGCAAUAAUUUAAAUUACCGAAUUACCCUCAAAAUCUCAAAUUACCUCUCUAUCUUAAUCAAAAAUUACCAAAUUAUCCACCAUUUUCAUAAAUUACAAAUUUACCCUAAAUUUCUAUGAAAUUACCGCAUUGCCUCUGCCGGUCAACGGUGACUGGACUUCAGUCAAAGACGACAGGAAGCUCUGGUCUAAUAGUUCAAACCUCGGUGAGUCCAACGGUGCUGGCGGUGACCUCCUAUGCGCGGCGACGGCGGUAGAUCGAAGCUCCAAAAUCCGUGAGUUUCCCAGUGGUCGUUUGCAGCCAAGACGCCGUCCCCGAUGGUCGGUCAGAAAGUGAUGAGUGUGAGUUGAGGAGCAAGAUCCAGGUGGUGGCGUGGCUAAAAAUCUGGCAGGAUCAACGGCGACAAAAAAGGAUUGAGCCGUGGAUUUUCGAGCUUCAAACAGCGGCGUUCCGGUCAGCUUUCAAUGACGAUGACAGAGGGGAUGUGACCGGCAUCUCACAAGCUUCAGAUUGGUACCAAGCUCGGCCGAUGAGGUGGCCGGAAUCGACGGCUGGAGCUGGGUCAAAGACACGGGUCGGAUCUGAGUCAACUUCUCUCUCUCUCCUCUCUCGCGUGCCCCUCUCUCUUUCCUUUUUUGGAAACCAGCUCCCCCCCUUUUCAUUUAUAGAAAUAAUUGUAGGUUCUCAGAAAGUCUUAAUUCAUGAGGGGAUGUUGAGACAAUAGAUGAGCAAGAGGAGGAAAGAAGAUGGUCACAAAAGAAGAAAAGCACAAUCGGGAAUAAUGCAGUGCUGUUAAGGAUGUUAGAGCAACUUGUGCUGUAGCAAGCUGGGAGCAAUGUGGGAGAAAACUUAGGCGUGGGUCAGCGCAUGUUUCCUAAUUUAACGCAUGCACGCUCAUGAAUUUGUUUUUACCCUAAUUUGCAAUAUAAAAGGAAGGCGUGCACCACAUAGAAAGGCGGCAAGGGAAUUAUCAUUAGAAUAAUUACAAGGAACAAAGAAGAAGAUCGGAAUUGAAGGCAACAUUGGAGAAUCGAUCAGAAUUAUUUGGAAUUGUCUUUCACCGUGCUCACUUAUAUUUAUCUUCUUCCUUUAAUUAUUUUGAUGUAUUCCGAGAUUAAUAUAUUUAUAUUUAUUUUUCUGUUUCAGAAUAUGAACUAAAUUUACUUGUAGUUGAGUGACAAAUAACCCAAUGGGUUCUUGACUGUUCUUAUAUGUUGUUAUAGUAUUGUUGUAGCAUUUUACUCUAGUAGUUCUUUAAUGAAUAUAACUGUUAUUUUGGUUGACCACCCAUUUAAUAGUUUCAGUUAAGAUAGAGCAGCAAAAGGGCAUGUCUUAGCGGAUAUUACUAUAGUACUACUUGAUCUUAAGUUGAGUUUCCUGUAUUAAGUUAUCUUGAAUCCCAUAAGGGCAAUACUUGACGUUAGGAUUUGUGACACACUAGCAUAGUGUUUACCUUAUAGGGUAGAGAGAUUAAAGGUUAUAAUGCCGUACCAUAAGUAUAUUAGCAACUGGUCAUUGUUAAUAGAUUUAAAGGUAUGAGACUUCCAACAUGCGAUAGCCGCGGAUGCAGAUUUAUUUUGCUCAGUGCUACAGCACUUAUUGUAACAAUUGGUGCUAAAUUGAUAGACAACAGUCACCCCAUUAGGAGAGUUUAAUCAUUCAACUACUAUAAUCUCAAUUGAAUCUUAGACACAUUUAACUUAGUUUAUUUCGUUACGGUGUUAUUUUAUUUAAUUCUUUCACAACCUUUAUUUAAUUAUUUCACAACCCUCGAUUACUUUGGAAAUUACUUUACAAUUGUUUGUUUCGGUCCUAAGUUGAAUUGCACUAUUGUGAUUGCUUUAACAUUUUGAUAACAUCAAUCCCUGUGGAGAGGAUCUUGAAUACUUAUCACUUUAUUACUUGUUGUGUAUACUUGCACAUUGGCAUUGGUAGUAAUUGCCUAUACAAAUCAACCAACAGCCACCGUAUGGCGUUCGAGAGCUGGAAACUCAACGACACGGAACGCCGCUACACUAUGCAAGAGAAGGAGAUGAUAGCCAUUGUCUAUUGCCUACGUUUGUGGCGACACUACUUGCUUGGCUCACACUUCGUGAUCUUGACGUAUAACGUAGCAACGAGCUACUUCCAAACACAAAAAAAGUUGAGCCCCAAGCAAGCUAGGUGGCAAGACUUUCUUGCGGAACUCGAUUAUAGGCUCAAGUACAAGCCUGGGAAAGCCAACGUUGUUGCGGAUGCUCUAAGUCGUAAAGUAGAGUUGGUUGCACUUAGCAUGAGCCAGCCAAAGUCCGAUCUCGCCAUACGCAUCAAGGAAGGCCUCCAACAAGAUCGUUAGCAAAAGAUUUGUUGGAAAAGGUGCUUGAAGGAAAGACUAGACGAUUUUGGCAGGAGGAAGGCAUCCUCCUCACUAAGGGAGACCGACUAUUUGUGCCGAGGUGGGGAAAUUUGCGGCAAGAGGUGAUCAAAGAGUGCCAUGACUCGAAGUGGGCUAGCCACCCCGGAGUGGAGCGCACGACCACACUCGUCCAAGCCUCCUACUUUUGGCCACAGAUGAGAGAUGACAUCGAGGCCUACGUACGGACAUGUCUCGUGUGCUAACGAGACAAGGUAGCGUGCCAACUUCCGGCGAGACUAUUGGAGCCUUUACCAAUAGCAUCAAGACCAUAGGAAAGUGUCACUAUGGACUUUAUCUCGGCCUUACCCAAGUCCGAGGGGUGCGGAAGAAUCAUGGUGGUAGUCGACUGCUAUAGCAAAUAUGCGACUUUCAUUGCCACACCAACCGAUUGCAAAGCGGAUGAGGCUGCCGACCUAUUCAUCAAGCACAUCAUCAAGCUUUGGAGAGUUCCGAAGAGCAUCGUGAGUGACCGGGAUCCAUGCUUCACCGGACGCUUUUGGACAGAGUUCUUCAAGAUGUUGGGAACCGACCUCAAGUUCUCAACAAGCUUCCAUCCGCAAACGGAUGGACAAACUGAGCGCUUCACCAGACGCUUUUGGACGGAGCUCUUCAAGAUGUUGGGAACCAACCUCAAGUUCUCAACAAGCUUCCAUCCGCAAACGGAUGGACAAACUGAGCGCAUCAACAGCCUACUUGAGAUGUAUCUUAGGCAUUAUGUGAGCGCUCACCAGCGAGAUUAGGCCAAGUUACUGGAUGUUGCCCAAUUCUCAUAUAACCUACAACGGAGAGAGGCUAUGGGCAAGAGUCUGUUCGAGAUCAUCGUGGGAUUUCAACUGAUGACGCCCAACGCCAUAGCCUCGACCUAUGGAGGAAAAAGCCCAACAGCCCACAAACUCGCUCGCGAAUAGCAUGAAGAAACGGAUAUCACGCGAGCAUAUCUUGACAAGGCCGCACGGAGAAUGCAAAAGUGGGCUGACUCGAGGAGACACCACGUUGAGUACAAGGAAGGCGACCAAGUGAUGGUGAAGCUCCUACCCCAACAGUUCAAGACGUUGCGGAAAGUCCACAAAGGGUUAGUGAGGCGAUACGAAGGGCCUUUCGAAGUGGUUCGACGUGUGGGCAAAGUCUCCUACCAACUCCAACUUCCACCAAGACUCAAAAUCCACCCGAUCUUCCAUGUGAGCUUGCUCAAGCCAUACCACGGAGAUGCGGGAGAUCCAAGCCGAGAGAAUCAAGACAUUCCCUGACUGCCAUUGUCACCGCAUUUGACAAGGACGUGGAGUACAUCCUUGCUGAUCGAGUAAUCCGAAGACGGGGCAUACCGGCUUACAACGAGUACUUGGUGAAAUGGAAGAGCCUCCCCGAGAGCGAAGCAACAUGGGAGCGUAGAGACGACCUAUGGCAAUUCGCGGAACAUGUGCAACUCUACAAGCACAACAACGCGACGAGGAUGCCGCGGACAUAGGUGGGGAGAAUUGUUACGGGCCGCUCAAAACUCUACGAUCGAAGGUUAAUUUUCGCAUGCGGGCUCGUUUAGCACUCAAGGCGAACACACUUAGAAGUGGGGUUGGCUUAGAAAUGGGCCGCCAAGACAACUAAGUAGUCGUGGUGCGCUUAGCAACACAAGCCCGGCCCAAGAUCUAGAACUCUCUACAUAUUGCACAUACACUAGAACAUUCUAGGACUCACCACUUGGGUCCCUAAAUAUUUUGCCACUUGUAGUAGAGCUCUCUAGAAUUAAGCACUCCACCCCCUAUAAAUAGGAGUGAGCACCCAUCAUUUGCAUCACCACCAACACACCACACAACACACCUAGCACACAAGCUCUCUUGUACAAGCACCCUUGUAAUUAUUCAAAGUGUAUAUAAUACAAUCAUACUUGGCCAGCCCACUCUUGCUUCCCAUAACAUUUUCUACAAGUGCGUGUGUUUGGCUUGUUUGGGGAGUAAUUAAGGCUUACUUGGCGACUCACGCGCUAAGGUCGCUCAAGUGCCGCACGGGAUUUUGCUGCGGAAAAUUAUCAUCCCGUGACAAUAUGCUACACAGCAAUCGACAUUAUAUUAUGACGACAUGUAUGUAUGUCAAGUAUCAGGCCUCAUUUGUUUUAAUUAUAGAAGAAAUCCUCAAUUUAUGGUGAAUGAUAUGUUCCUUUUAUGUAAUCUAUACUCUUGUAUAAAUGGCAUUUGAGCCUAUCAGAUUCAAAAGUGGAUUUUAUCACUUUUAUCCUACUCUUUAAAUAUUGUCAACCAUGUGCCAUAAAACCUUCAAGAACUUCGAAAAAAUUAGGUGGUUCCUGAAUCUUCACAAAGGUACAUGAAAUUUGUAAUAAUAAAUAUCUCAACGGGAUUUGCACGAAAUUUUCAAGAAUAGAUAUCUAAAGGGGACUUGCAGUGAAAAUAAAAGUUCAAAACAUCGAUUUUCUCCCAUUAAAUUUAUUUGGUAAAUUCUCUUAAAUUGUGCUGAACAUGGGAUGCCUAACCGAUGAUAUAUUAUUUUUCAGGCUAACAACUGAUCAGACUAUCUUUAAAGUUCUUUAUUUAAUUAGCGAAUUUACUAGAAAUGGAAGCUUGAGAGACGUGAAUACUAGUUUAUUUUGAAUGUAGAAGAAACUGCUGACAAAGAAACCAAAUACAGUAAUAAACAACAUGAUCAUUACUUAAAAGGUCAUCCUAAGCAAGGCUCAUUAUGUCCCGUUAUUAUAUAUUAUUUAGUUUUUCUAAGCUUUCCCUCAUUUCUGAGAAGUUUACCUCCCAAAAUGGAAAGUGCAUAUGAGUCAAAUGGGUAGGUGCAGUGGUUAAGCUUUUGCACGAGCUGCGGGAAUGAACUCAACCUCAUCAAGCUCUAUCGGAGCAAGAGAAGGGUCUUUCAACAUUGUCCUGAAAUCCUCACAAUCACCAUCAAAAUAGGCCUUCAAAAAAGCCGCAGCAAUGCCAGCAACACAUCUCCUCAUGGGAUCCCUUGGUUUCUUUCCAUUCGUGCACAAAAGUUUUGAAAUUGCCCAAUUCUUUGGUCCCUGGGGAUUAUCAUCUAAAAUGUCCAUGUGACCAUAAUCCUUAGCAUCAAAAUGAGCAUGAUCUGAAUAUGUACACCUCUUGAAAAAUUGCUCAUGGUUUUUGUUUUCCGGUGCACAAGGCUGCAUGCACUUUGUCACACCACCGAGUCCGGUGCCAAUUACAGUAACAGGAAUUGAGAACUCGAAUGAGUCAUGACUGAGAAUCGGGGGUUCAAGUUCACUAUGAACGCUGGCUAACCCCGCAACUGGGUCUAUGCCUACUAAUGCUGAAAUUUUAAUGCUAACUGGAGGAUUUGUUGCAUAGCCAAGUGCCAGACCGAACGCUAUUAGUCCUCCGCGACUGUGUCCCAUAAGAGCAACGUAGUUUAGGUUAGCUUCAACAUUUUCCGGGAGUUCUGAUUGAAGGCCUGUUGAUAACCAGUUGAGGACGUUUGCUGCAUCGUUAACUUCUCCGUUUCCUUUCGGCGGCAGAAAAUCGUAUAACUAUAUAAGCAUUCAUUAUGUUAGCUAUCAUAUGCAUUAAUUUGUAAAAAAUAAUUAAUAUAUAAAAUGGUAAAUAGAUUAAACGGACGCCAACAGAAAUAAGGUGAGACCAAGUCAAGUGAGCAUGUACCUGAGGGGCAACAACGAUGUAUCCAUGGGAAGCCAAGUGGUCUAAGAGAUUGGAAUAGCUUGUGUUGCUGAGAGCAGUGCCGUGGAAAAACAAAAUAACUUCAUAUGUUCCUUUUUCUUCUGGAUAAACAAUAUUCAACGGCUUUGGAGGAAAACUAUUAAACCAUGGUUUAUUCACUGUCUUGAGUUUCGGGGAAUAAGGUCCACUUGAAAAAACUGAUAGUAAGGCCGUUGCCAAACCAGGCUUAGCUUCAACGGAGACGGGCUUGCUAUCGGCUACUGCUGUCAUUGUAGUCUAAAUUGUUUGUGUGUUGAGUUUGUGCACGAAUCUGAUCUGAGAGAGCAAGAGCUUAUUUAUAUUAAAGUUGAUAUGGUAAAUUUUACUUAGGGCUGAAACUCCGGUCUAAUUCAUAUUCAUAAAUAACUUUAAGACUUAAGAAUUUUUCAAAUCUUACAUAUUUAAUUAGCAUAAAAUUUAUUGUAAGGAUAUUAUUAAGUAACAUUAUGAUGUAACUUAUAUCAACUUAAAAAUUAUAAUUAAUGAUCUAAAAAAUAAUUUAAUUGGUUCUAUUUUUUAAUUAUUAGUUACAAUUUAAUAGUUGAUGCAAGGUGAACCAUAAUAAUUGUAAACUGUUACCGAAUUGUUCCGUUAACACGCCAUCCAAGUACAAACCGACGCUUUUGCAUAGUUUUUGUCGUGCGAAUAAUAUUGAAGUGAUCCAUCAAUUGUGCAUUGAUAAUUUUUGGACGAUAGCAAAAGGAAAAUGCACUUGCAGACAAACUUACUUUCCAUGAUACAAACAAAUCAUCAUGGAAAACUUCUGCUUUUGGACCACAGGUGGCGAGAAAAACAUGGGCUUAGAGCUUUUUGGACGACAAACGUACUGUUCAUGAUAACCAAAGAAAUCAUCAUGCAACACUUCUGCUUUUGGACCACAGGCAGCGAGGAAAACAUGGACUUAGAACUUUUUGGCCCUUCAUAUUUUAGGAUUAUUAUAUCCUUUACUAAAAAAACAACUAAAUUAUAUAAAAAAAUUAUAAUAAAAAUUUGCGAGAUUAAAUAAAUAUUUAUAAUUAUUAGAUAAAUCAUAACAAUCAUGCACUAAUCUUAGUUUUUUUUAGCUUUAAAAUUCGUUUACCACCUAUCCUUUAAUGAUAAUAUAUAAUUAGAAUUUAUUUUCAUCAAGAUCGUACACAGAGUAAACGGGUUAAGAUUCUCUUACGAUCUAAAAUCGUAGUAUAUAUCUAUGACAUUUCUUUUAUUCAAAACAACCAUUAGGUAGAAGGGUUAAGUGGGAUCACUCACCUAUAAAUUAAUUAAAAAAUAAAAAACUAGCAAAAGCAACAACAUAACAAAAGGAGUCAAAUUUAAGAAACAAACUAAGGCCAAAUCCUUACAAUAGAAGACCAAGAGAAGCAGAUCACUAAGCUCAACAAAUUAUGACAUUUUCUUAAAUGGAAAAAAGUAAAAAAAGAGCAUAAUGAUUAUUUAGUAAUUGAGAAAUUCUAAAAUGCAUGACAAGCAUCAUGUGAGCCAAGAAGGUCAUUGCUCAUGGUGCAUUGCUCUUUGUACAUUUAUUCUACUGCCCAGUUUUGAGACUAUUGCAAGUAGAUGGCCAAAAUUAUUUUAUUUGUAAAAUACCCUUACAUUUUUGUUUUGUUUGGUUGUCGUUUAGCCAGUUGGGGGCAUUAUUGAUAUUUUACAAUGUUAUUAGAGAUUUACUAUUUUAUUGCUUUUAGCAUAGUGACUUAUCAAUUUGAAUGGGUCAAGUUCCUUUUUCUCUCGUUUUAUUUCUUCUCUCUCUUUAAUUUUCUCUCUCCUAAGUCUAGGUUCUUUCCCUUUGUCUAGACACCAAAACUCUCUGAAUGGCUGAUGUUCUGAACUGCACCAGUGAAGAUGGCUGCUCCAGCUACCUCGGCCAACUUCAUGGGGAUGAAGCUGCAGUUGCUUGUGGAAGCAUUGAAAGCUAUUGACGCUAUUCAGUUCUACAAGACAGCAUUUGGUGCUGUGGAGAUCAGUCGCAUUAUGGAAACUAAACGAAAGGCUGAAAAGGAGCUCAACUCGAGAUUAUCGGCUCCACAUUUCUUGUCUCUAACUUUUCCAAUGAUUCUGCUGCAGCUAAGAAUAUGGGAAUCAGAUGCGUCCUCUGGUAGGAGAUUGAUGACGUUGAGGCUGCCCUCACCAAGGUUGUGAGUGCUACAGUUGUUGUUGAGGGUAAGCUUGCUGAAGGCGACGGCGCGUGUUGUAGUGGGCGGCUGGGCGCGUGGGAAAGGUCGAGGAUUCUUGUGGUUUCACAUGGCUCAUUUGCUCUCUGGUCAAGAAGUGCGCUGACGUGGAAGCGUUUGAGUGGCUUGAUAUGUUCUUUAGAUAUUGAUCUACGACCACAUAACUCUCUUUUCCCGUUCAUCUUUAAGGCUUUGGGCUAGGCGAUGUAUAGUUAUAGGCUUGAUGAUGUUGCUCAAUGUUGAUGAAUGUUUAUCAUGAUAAAGAUUGUUUUUGAUUAAUUUUGAAGAAAUCGACUAGACUUAAAAAAAAAAUUGAAUGGGUGAUGAUGGGAUUGGUUGGAGUUGCUAUUUCUUCAAAUUUUUAUUUUUUUAGGAUUUUAAGGAAAUAUAUUAAUAAUUUAAAGAGGAUAAAAUAAUUAUUUUAGUUACUUUGGACAUUGGAAAUAUUUGGAAAUGAUUGUGAUUUUCGCGCCAAGAAUCUCACUGGCACCAGAGAUAAUAUUGUUUUUUAAAAGUUAACUACCAGUCAAGAGAAAAUUUAACUAAUAGUAGAGGAUUUUUUACAAAUAAAAUGAUUUUGGCCAUCUACUUGCAACAGCCUCAAACCUCAGGAGAGAUUUUUAAAAAUUACCCAUUUACUAAUUGCCACCCUUAUACUAUCAUAAUUGGUUGAAAACAUACCCUAAAUAAGGAAUGAAUAGAAAGGAGCAAUCCUCCAAUAAUAUCCAAGAUGUCUGUCAUAUAAUAACUAAAACAUUUGAACAAUGCAGUGACAUAAGGGCGAUGGCAAAAUAUAUUACUGUUCACACUAUAGCACACCAAAAUGACACUGUUCACGUACAGUAUUUUCGUUUUUGUGGCCUUGAUGUCACUGUAGUGUUCAAAAAAUCAUUUUUUCUUUCUAGAUACUUAAGUUGCAAGACGUUUCCAAUUAAAAUGAUAUAAGGACUGAAGAAGUGUAAAGUCAAAGAUGUCAAAAAAAUGCUCAAGUGAGACAUUUUGGAAUAAGUAAUAACAAAGCCACAAAACUUGUGCAAGUAUCCUAAUACAAAUCAAAUUAGCACCUUCAAUAAUGCUGUGAUUACGUAUUUGUGAUACUAAGUAGAGACACUCGCUGAUUUGUAAUCAAUUAUUUAUAAUAUUAAAUGAUUUGGUCAUUAAUUAUUAACAAAAAAUUUUCAAUUCGAAACUCAAAUUCGGGAUUAUGUAUAAGAGGAGUUUACAAUAUUAUAAUUGGACCUUUUCAACGCUGUAAAUGAGUAUAAGAUUUAUAAAAACAGUGAAAAAGAUAGUUUACAAUAAUGUAAAUUUGUUCUAGAUUUAAAUUCUAAACCUCAAACUAACCCUAAUUAUUAAUAUGUGGUUUUCAUAGCCCUGUUAAUUGAUGAAACAUAAAAUAUCACAUCAGCGAGGAUCACAAAAAAGGCAUAUAAUAGUACUCUUCGAUGAUUAGUGCUCAAAGCAUGCAUCCUCUUACAAAAUAUAGUAUUUUUCCUUGUUAUUAAUAGUUCAAUUGGCGGAGUAUAUUUAUCAAUUAGUGGACGAUUAAGUCACGAGUUACUUAUUGCCGAUUGGAUAAGUAACCACCAAAUCUGGAUAAGUAACCACCAACUCUGGAUAAGUAACCACCAACUCUGUGGCGAGAUUAAGUCACGAGUUACUUAUUUUUAUUAUCUCUGUUUGUCAAUUUUCUUUGCAUAUUCUGUGUAUUUACAAGUUGUGAUGUCUAUGGUUUUGUUAUUUCGCACGUUAAAGUGCUGAUGCAUACUGCAUACAUAUAUUCGAAUGUGGACCAUUAUACAAACUAAUAAUUCUCUGAAGUCGCUCUCAUCCAAAUGAAUUGGAGUAUCAGAUACAAAUAAUUGUAAUAAGAUACGCAUGAUGAAUACUUUGUAUAAGAUACAAUAAUUUGGUAGUUGAAUUUACACACUGAGUUGAGUUGUGACCUAUCUUCUCAUAAUUUUUGUGUUAUGUACAUAUUUAUAAUUUGUACCUUUAAGUUUUAAUUACUUUUAUGGUACAUUUACUAAUUGAUCAUCAGAGUAGAUUUGAAUUAAAAUGGAUUAGAAUAGGAAUGAUAAAUAAGAAUAAAAAUAAAUUAUUUACUUCAAUUAUAGGAAUCAGAAAUGAAAUGAGUUUAUUCUCAUUUAUGUGUUUAACUUAUUAAAAUACCCUAAGUUUAUCAUUGCCAUUAUUUUAUUAUUUAUUAUAAUAAUUUUCAUUAUUAUUAUUAAAAAUUAUUGCUAAUAAUAAUAACCAUAAUAAUUAUAAUAAUAAUAACAAUAAUAUAAUUUUCUCUCUAUCCUUUUGUUUUUCGCUAUUUUUUCUGUCUUUUGGCAUUUUUUAGGCUUUUUCUCCUCUUCUUGUCGUUUAUUCUUAUUCUGUUUCUUCUUUGCCUCUUUUUUUUUUUUUUUGAUAUUAAUCACGAGGUAUCCUGGGGAGGGCCCCAACUGUGGGAAGCACCUUUAAGCCCGUACCACAAUCCAGACUAGAAGUCCCCGCUCGAACCGAGAGGCACAGGUUCUCCCAACAAAGGCGACUUCCCUGCAACUCGAACUGGGGAGCAAACCCAGUUAAGCUACAUAAGAGGACUCCAUUACCAGUGGAGCCAACACUUUGUUGGUUCUUUGCCUCUUUUUCUUCGUUACUUCUUCUUCUUCUCAUUUUUUAAUUUCUGUUUUCAUUUUUUAUUUUUCUCUUCUUUAUUUCUUCCUCUUCUCUGUCUAUUUCAACUUCAAAUGAACAAAUUAAAAACGCCGUCAGAGCUGCAUGACGACCGAGAAAGCGAUUAAGAUGGUACUGCUCGAUCACAUUGGCGACUGCUGUUCUGAUUUGUGCUGAAGCAAUUUUGAUUGCCGGAACAAAAUAAAUUAUAAGUUUCGGGUUGCCGUGACUUUUAAUUAUUUUUUGUAUUUUAUAUUUUUAAUAUUUAAAUGAAAGAUAAAGUUAAAAUAAUGAAAUUUGGAUGGGUACUUUAGGAAAUUUCGGCAAUGAAAGUCUGAUUUAAGAAUUAGAUUCCAUCCAAAUCAUAUUCUCAAUUUGAUGCGGGUCAGAUAGAAGGCUGAAUCACACAUGAAUGCAAGUUCGACACCAAAAAUUAAUUUGAAUAAAUAAACGAAAUAAAAAUAUCGUUAUCAUGCAUGAGUUUGAGAUAAAUGUUAAGAAAUUGACAAUUUGAAUAAAGAAAAUAAGAAAAAAGAGACUCAAUCAUGCAUGAGCUUUGCUUGGAGCUACUUGAAAGACCUUGCACCUAAGCUACUCUAGCUCUCUAUAAAUUCUAACUCUUCUUCACCGAAUGCAACGCGCAUCAAACAGAUAUAUAGCUUUGAAAACAACAAAAUGAAGAUUUCAUUAGCAACAACACUCUCUUUCCUUAUCCUUGCCUUGGCCUCAAACUCUUUGUUGGUCUUGGGCACCUCAUCAGUUCCUGAACCUCUCCUUGAUGUCCACGGAAACAAGGUCGAAUCCACCCUUAAGUACUACAUAGUCUCAGCCAUCUGGGGAGCUGGCGGUGGUGGAGUUAGCCUACACGGUGGCAGAAACGGAUAUUGUCCGCUGGACGUUAUCCAGUUACCUUCUGAUAUGCAAAAUGGAAUCGAAUUAACACUGUCACCGUAUAACAAUUCUACAAUUGUCCGAGAAUCCACUGAUCUCAACUUGAGAUUCUCAGUGUUGCUAUCUGGACGUGACUAUUGUAACGAACAACCGUUGUGGAAAGUUGAUAAUUAUGACGCGGCAUCAGGCAAAUGGUUUAUAACAACCGGGGGACUUGAUGGUCACCCUGGAGCUGAAACUUUGCUAAAUUGGUUUAAGCUUGAGAAAAUUGGAAAUUUUCCAGGUAUAUACAAAAUCGUUCAUUGUCCAUCCGUUUGCGAGUCUUGUGUCAAACUCUGCAACAACGUUGGCCGUUCGUUUGAGGAUGGCGUUCGACGUCUGGUUCUGGUUCGUGAUGAUGAGCCGGCAUUUCCUGUUGUGUUAAUUCCCGCUACAGAAAGAUCAACGUCUGUGUAAUCAAUGUACCCUAACCAGCUAGCGGUAUUAUUAUUCUAAAUAACGGACCAGGCUAGCUGCUCUUUAAUCUCUAGGAUUAAAAUUAUGAAUAAGUACCCUGUGAUCCUUUCGGGGUUAAUAAAUUCUACUGUUGGUGUAUACCUUAUGAAAAUCGAAAUCAAGUGUUCUUUGUUUUGAUUCACUGCUUCUUUUUUCUUUUCUUCUUUUUGGAAUUCUGUUUCUUGCCAUUAAUGGUGAUCAUUAAUUAGAGGUUAAAGCCACGUCUUGAUACUGAUCAUCGCAAGCUUGAAUAAGAGUGGAAAAUGCAAAAAGUCAGGUGAUUGAUUAUUUUGCCGACUAAUGUUUUAAUGGAUAAGCACCGACAAACUCUGUGGCAAAGAUUAAAUCACGAGUUUCUUAUUGUUACAUAUGCGUGUGUGUACAGUGGCGAAGCUCGCAUAUUUUUUUGGGUGGACUAUACUUUUUAAAAAAAUGAAAUUUAUUUCUUAAAAAAUUUGUUUUAUACAAACGAAAUUAAGCACACUACAUAACCAAAAAUCUAACCAUAAAACUACAAAAAAUAUAAUGUAAAUAAGAAAAAAAUUAUCAAAUAUUAAAUUUGUUUGUUUUUAUUUUUUAUAAAUAUUAAAAAAAUAAAUUUAUAAAUUAUAAUUUUUUUAAAAAAAAGCUAACCCGGGCCGCACCUUUAGCUUCGCCCCUGUGUGUGUAUGUAUGUAUGUAUGCAUUUUAUGUUAAUAAAUUUAUCUUGUUUCUUGAGGUUUACUUUAAAAAAAAACUGCGCACAAAAGUAUUAAUAAUUUGAAAGGGCGCGAUUCCUCAAAUUAUGAGGGAAAACAAAUUAUUAAUUAGCACAAAAAUAAAAAAUUGUGUGUGUGUGUGUGUGUGUGUACGCAUAUGUACAAGCGUUUACACGGCUAAGCUUUCAACUUCAAUUUAUUUUGAAUUUUUUGCUUUAUAGUUUCUUCAAUCUUCAAUUUAAUCUCAGUUAUUGAUUAAGAAAAAUUGAUCAUCAAUGAAUAUAAAAAUUAUUUCACUCAGCUUUUACCAAUCAACCAUUGUUUUUAAAAUUAUUAAGAAGAUAAAAAAAAAUUCAUCAAUCCACCUUUUUUUUUUCCUUAUUUUUGGAAUAAAAUGGAAUAAGUUGAGGAUUACAAUUGUUUGAGACAUAUUUUAAAGAUCAUCAUUGUAUGAAGAGGGUAAUCCACAAUUUACCCCUCAAACAAUUGCUGAAAUUUAGCAUUUGAUCUCAUAAAUGAAUAAAAGUAAAAUUUACCUUACUCAUGUCAUUGCUUAAGAGAUUUAAAAUAACUUCAAUUUUUUUUUUUUUUUUGACUUAGUGCUCUCACCUUCAUAUUUAUGUGCAUAUUUAAGAUUUCCUUGGAUGAAAAGCAAUGCUUCUUGUGGCUAUAAUAUUUUGGGAUGGAAGAGCGUAAAAUAAGGAUAGAUAACUUUCUCUUUAAUUCCUAGGGUCUAUGCUAGUUUUAGUCUUUGUAUUUUCAAAAAAUCAUCCAAAACUUCUUGGUUGUUAGUCUCUCAUAGUUGGAUUUACUUUAAUUAGAUAAAAUGGUAGUUUUGUUAUAAUAAAACUUAAAAUUCAAAUAAAUUUUACGUGAUACAUUUUGAAACAUAUAGAAAUAAUAAGCGUAAUUUAACAACCUAAGGGUACUUGACAUUCUAUUUGGGUAACCACUCGAAUUCGAGUCUUGGGGAGGUAAGAACUAGUGCAUAUCAUGUAGUAAUCUUUAUUUUUACCAUAUGUUAUAUUAUAAUAGCCAAAAUUGAAUAGGAUAGUUUUACAAUGUGAAGGGGGAGAGUGAGAGAAAGAAAUGUUAGGACAAUAAUAUCUUGGUGAAAACUAUCACUUACAAUUUAGGAACAUUCAUGUUGUAUUGCCAAGAAUCAAUAAUAAAAAUAUGCGAAAGCAUAUCUGAAUCAAUAAUGCAUGAUUAUUCUGUAAAGUCAUAGUUAGCCUUCCAAAUCAAAACUUUCUUCUAGAGAAUCCUUUAAUUUUCUUUGUACACUCUUUUUGAUGAUAGGAUGUUGUUGUGCAAAUUUUAUUGAACUCGCAAGCGCACAAAUCUAUUGUAGAAUAGACUAAUGGUGACGAGUGUCGAUCUUACGAGGAGAUGGAUUUUAAUUGUGUAUAAAAUUAAUUUUGUAAAUGGGUGGUUGGAUCUCUGGUGAAAUUGAUUUAGAAUAUUCUAAAACAAAAAAAUAUUUUCAUACUUUUAAAUUUUUAUUAUGAUUUAGUAAAAUAUUUUCGUAUUAGAAAAAAAUUCUAAUUUCUUAUAGAGGUCAUGACUCUUAUUACAUGAUAAGGUAGUGUCAUCUCACUCGCACAUAAAUGCCGCUCUAAUAUUACAUUGAAGCUCAUGAAUUUAAUUUAUAAUAAAACACCAACUCAAUAAUUACGAGUCAUUUUAAGCUAAUAAUAUUAGCUUACAAAUAUUCUUAGCCAAUGUGUGAUUUUUUCCUUUGCGUAGGACGCGCCAAACCUGGCAAGUGGCAGGUCAUUAUUGAACGGAGAAGGAGAAAGGGACUCUUGAACUUAGAAAAUGGCAAGUCCUCUAUUGUUAGGCCCACCACCUGUUCAUGCCCCCACAAAAUUCUUUUACCUACUGACGACUAUUAGUGCGGAAACAAAUCAUUUUUAUGUAAGUGGCUAGUUAUUUUUCAUUACCAGCUUUAAUUAAUGUCAAAAACGUCAAAACGUCAGAUGAUAUAUUGCCGAUUGGAUAAGUAACCACCAACUCUGUGGCGAAGAUUAAGUCACGAGUUACUUAUUUUUAUUAUCUCUGUUUGUCAAUUUUUUUUUUUAUUUUGUACAUAUUUCCUCGGUUAUCUUUUUUGCAUAUUCUGUGUAUUUACAAAUUGUGAUGUCUAUGGUUUUGUUAUUUCGCACGUUCAAUUGCUGAUGCAUACAUAUAUUCGAGUGUGGACCAUCAUACAAACUAAUAAUUCUCUGAAGUCGCUCUCAUCCAAAUGAAUUGGAGUAUCAGAUACAAAUAAUUGUAAUAAGAUACACAUGAUGAAUACUUUGUAUAAGAUACAAUAAUUUGAUAGUUGAAUUUACACUCUGAGUUGAGUUGUGCUCAUUUUCUCAUAAUUUUUGUGUUUUGUACAUAUUUAUAAUUUGUACCUUUAAGUUUUAAUUACUUUUAUGGUACAUUUAUUAAUUGUUAAUCAGAGUAGAUUUGAAUAAAAAUGAAUUAGAAUAGGAAUGAUAAUUAAGAAUAAAAAUAAAUUAUUUACUUCAGUUAUAGGAAUCAGAAAUGAAAUAAGUAUAUUCUCAUUUAUGUGUUUAACUUAUUAAAAUACCCUUAGUUUAUCAUUGUCAUUAUUUUUAUUAUUUAUUAUAAUAAUUUUCAUUAUUAUUAUUAAAAAUUAUUGCUAAUAAUAAUAACCAUAAUAAUUAUAAUAAUCAUAACAAUAAUAUAUAUUUUUAUCCAAUAAUUAUCAAUUAAAUCUUUUUUAAAAAAUGGGCAAAAUAUUCCGAACUAUAAUCAAAUCUCUUAAAUCUGGCAUUAUUGCCUUUUCGUAAGAAGCCACGGUUCUUUCAAUAUCGACGUACGAAUUUUCAUCUUGUCAAUAUAUUACAGCAUGAUUAUUGUCGUGAAUUAUUAUUUAUUGUACCAUGGCUUUUGCCUUAUAAGUAAGAAUCGUCAUCUUAUGCGACUUUUGAAUAAAUUGUUGUGUGAAUAAAACAAAACAAAAAAGAUAAAUAACUGUUAGCCAUUUCUGGAUUAUAAUUAUCUUCGCAUGUCAAUGUACUACCUAGUUCAAUAUGCGAGGUGAAUUUCAUCCCAUUGUAAUUGCAUAUUCUAGAGGCAGUUGGGUUUAAAAUAUUACGGUUCCACGUCCAUGUAAUUCAAAACUUUGCAGUGGGCCACUUUAUGAAAGAUUAAAAAAGAAAAAGAAAUAAAAGAAAGGAUUUUUCCAAUUUACUUCUUAUAAGAGAUUUGGACGUGUACAAAAAUUUGUUUCUUAUUAAUCGAUCAGAUAUGAUUCUUACCAUAUUUGCAUCGCAAGUAAUUCAAUAUUGCAAUUAACGGAUAAUGAGUAGGAUUUCUUAUUGGAUACUUACCAUCCCCGCCCAGGAUGACAGAAAUUUCAAAACCUUGAUCAAGAUUUGUGAUCCCAUGGCGAUAGUAUUUGGCCCAUAAUUUUGAGUAUUGAAUGUAGGGAAGUUGGAAUUCAAUAUCGAAAUUUAUCUAUUUGAUAAUCAGGAUGACAAAUCCAAGGAUAUUUAAUCAAAUGUUUUUCAAGCAAUUUUAUUUGAUUGAUCACUUGAGUUCAAGUUUUAAAGAAGCAAGAAUUAAAUUAAAAAAUUGAUUGGUACUUUGUCCACCUUUUGCUUUUUUAUUAAAUAAUUUUUUAUGAAAUUUCAGACACUGGAAAAAUCCUAAUCAUGAUCGCAUUUCAACAGAUAACUUUUCCAAUUUUUAGUUAUACGUUAGUUUCUAUUCAAUUUGAUAUUUGUCAAUUAGAUAUUUGGGAAAACAAUUGCACUGGAGAAUGAAUCAUUUUAUUUUGUAUAUAUUUGGGUGUUAAAUGUUUACAUUGGUUAUAAUUUUCGAAAAAUAAAUGUGACUAGAUUAACAAGUGUUUCACAAAAUAUUUCGGAACACAUUUUCUUAAGAAAAAAAAUUUAAGUUCUCAAAAUUAUUAUUCGCUUUAGUUGUUUGCCUUAUGAAACAAUUUUUUUUCCCCUAAAGGCAGACACGAUUAAUUACUUGAUUUUUUUCAAUAUAUUACAUUAGAUAGUAUAAUAAAAAUACUAAUAAAUAGAUACACUACAAAUUGUUUAAUGAAUUCGAACCAACUAUUUUUAUAAUAAAAAUACGAAAAUGGUUUGAAAGAAGUCAAACCAAACAAAACCUAGUUUUAGAACCAAACUAAACCGAAAUAUUUCAUUUCGGUUUGGUUUGGUUCAUAAAUUCGAUAGGUUGCUAUGUUUUAUGGCUCGUCUUCAGAUAGAAGGUUGAAUCACACAGGAAUGCAAGUUCGACACCAAAAAUUAAUUUGAAUAAAUAAACGAAAUAAAAAUAUCGUUAUCAUGCAUGAGUUUGGGAUAAAUGUUAAGAAAUUGACAAUUUGAAUAAAGAAAAUAAGAAAAAAGAGACUCAAUCAAGCAUGAGCUUUGCUUGGAGCUACUUGAAAGACCUUGCACCUAAGCUACUCUAGCUCUCUAUAAAUUCUAACUCUUCUUCACCGAAUGCAACGCGCAUCAAACAGAUAUAUAGCUUUGAAAACAACAAAAUGAAGAUUUCAUUAGCAACAACACUCUCUUUCCUUAUCCUUGCCUUGGCCUCAAACUCUUUGUUGGUCUUGGGCACCUCAUCAGUUCCUGAACCUCUCCUUGAUGUCAACGGCAACAAGGUCCAAUCCACCCUUAAGUACUACAUAGUCUCAGCCAUCUGGGGAGCUGGCGGUGGUGGAGUUAGCCUACACGGUGGCAGAAACGGAUAUUGUCCGCUGGACGUUAUCCAAUUACCUUCUGAUAUGCAAAAUGGAAUCGAAUUAACACUGUCACCGUAUAACAAUUCUACAAUUGUCCGAGAAUCCACUGAUCUCAACUUGAGAUUCUCAGUGUUGCUAUCUGGACGUGACUAUUGUAACGAACAACCGUUGUGGAAAGUUGAUAAUUAUGACGCUGCAUCAGGCAAAUGGUUUAUAACAACCGGGGGACUUGAUGGUCAUCCUGGANNNNNNNNNNNNNNNNNNNNNNNNNNNNNNNNNNNNNNNNNNNNNNNNNNNNNNNNNNNNNNNNNNNNNNNNNNNNNNNNNNNNNNNNNNNNNNNNNNNNACGUCUGUGUAAUCAAUGUACCCUAACCAGCUAGCGGUAUUAUUAUUCUAAAUAACGGACCAGGCUAGCUGCUCUUUAAUCUCUAGGAUUAAAAUUAUGAAUAAGUACCCUGUGAUCCUUUCGGGGUUAAUAAAUUCUACUGUUGGUGUAUACCUUAUGAAAAUCGAAAUCAAGUGUUCUUUGUUUUGAUUCACUGCUUCUUUUUUCUUUUCUUCUUUUUGGAAUUCUGUUUCUUGCCAUUAAUGGUGAUCAUUAAUUAGAGGUUAAAGCUACGUCUUGAUACUGAUCAUCG
rnacentral:lncRNA from 1 species